UUUACGGAGUUGCAACUAUUCAUUGAAAAGAAUUCAGUUCUUACAAGUAAAUGCUCAAUACCCAAGUAGGCUUACAAAUUUGAUCAUGAUCAAGUGCUUUUUGGAUUGUCUCAUGUCUUUUGAUUGGUGUUUAUCCCCACAACAUCUCGAUUUUCUUACAUACAAAGUAUUUACUUGUUACUAAUAAAGUCUAGCCACUGUUUUUCCUUAGAUCCCUUAUUUCACUCCGAUAGUAUCAUAGAUCGGGAUCGAUGCAGAGGAAAUGAAUGCAUUUCUACACUAUAAAUAAAAUAAAGUAAGUGGAAUAGAUAGAACAUUGGAUCAUGCCACAUCACUUAUUCUAUUCUACGGGAUCUUACGGAGCCUGUUCAUGCAUGACAUGAUUCGGGUAUGAUCAUAGAAAAGAUUCUCCUCAAGCGAACCUGCCUAUCCUCUGCUACGCUACAUAGGGGGACUUACGUGGUGGUUGGAUGCGGAGACACAUUUGGUUAUGAAUUCCAACGUGGCGGAUAAAAUCAUAUAUCUGCAUGGCCCAAUUAAUAGUUCAAGUCACACACUCCCAUAAUCCAUCCUCUCUUCGAAAAAUCCACUUCAACUAUUCGUAUCAAUUAAGAAAUACAAUACUUCGGAGUUGAAGAGAAGUAUCCAAAUAACAUGUCUUAUUUUUUCAAUAAUCCAUAUUUGUAGCAAUGAAUCCAUAUUUGUAGCAAUGAAAUAAUAUUGUUCCUUCCCGAUAUGAUAUAUGAUCAAUUACAAAUAUCUAUGAUCUGUCUUCUCUAUAAAGGACCCGAAAUACCUUGCUUACGUAUCAUUGGAAAGUGCAUUAACAUAAAUACGGCAGUAAGAAGAGGCAAUACAAAAGUGUGUAAACUAUAAAAACGAGUCAAAGUGGAUUGGCCCACACUAGCACUUCCACGUAAUAACUCUACCAAAGGCGAUCCUAUUACAGGAAUAGCUUCAGGUACACCUGUCACGAUUUUUACUGCCCAAUAACCAAUUUGGUCCCGAGGUAAGGAAUAACCAGUUACACCAAAAGAUGCAGUCAAUACACCUAAAACCACACCUGUAACCCAAGUUAAUUCGCGGGGUUUUUUAAAUCCACCUGUGAGAUAUACACGAAAUACGUGCAGGAUCAUCAUUAGAACCAUCAUACUUGCUGACCAUCGAUGAACUGAUCGAAUUAACCAACCAAAAUUGGCCUCAGUCAUUAUGUAUUGAACAGAGGAAAAAGCUUCUGUAACGGUUGGACGAUAGUAAAAAGUCAUAGCAAAACCUGUAGCUACUUGUACUAAAAAACAAGUAAGUGUGAUCCCCCCUAAACAAUAAAAUAUGUUGACAUGAGGAGGAACAUAUUUACUAGUUAUAUCAUCUGCAAUCGCCUGAAUCUCGAGACGUUCCUCAAACCAAUCAUAUACCUUAUUGAGAUAGGUAAUCCAAAAGAAUUCCCCCUCUGAGAACCGUAUAUGAGAAUUUCAUCUCGUACGGCUCAAGCAGAAACACACAAAUACUGAUUUCAACGGAUAUGUAAUAGAAAGUUCAAAACUUCUUAGCCACUUGAUUCGAUUUGCCCCAAAGAUAGGAAGUAACAAAAUCCGGAAUCUCUUCUUUGUGAUGAUAAUGCCAAAAAUAUCAAGUUGGCUCAUCCGUCUUUCUUUAUGUUGAUCGGUACAGGCCUCUUGAAUCUUCUCUUUCCUAUUUUUUUAUUUGUUAUUUGAUUUGUUAUUUUUUUGUGCGUAAUGCAGAUUAACAAUAGUUUUGCUAUUGAUAGGAAUUCCCUUGUUGAGACCCUAUGAAUCAAUUGAAACCUCAGAUUCAUACUAGAACCACGAUGAUUUAAUCAAGCAAAGCCUCAAGCUAAACUCAAAGGUUCUCUGAGUAAGAACCGUUUGAUGAUCACUUAUUCAAUGAAUGGAUGUAAUGACUCAACAAAAUCUAGAGAAACAUUUGUCCUUUGUUCAAACUGAAAGAAGAAAAAUCGUUUGAUUUAGGAAAUACCUAUUUGAAUUUUUUUUGAGUCCGGUUGCGAAGUCUGAAUAGUAAAUAGUAGGUAUGAAUCAUAGUUCAAAUAUUUCUUUUCUUGAUCUAUUCUAUAUAUUCCGUGCUCCAGAUACUAGAAUAAAUAUCCGACGAGUUAGAAUCAUCUUGAUAGAGAUGACAGGCCCAUUUUCUGUAUUAUCAAUAGGAUCAAUUAUAACAAGUCACACACUCAUAUUCCGGAAAUACCGAAACAAAUAAAUCUCACGGUCGAACUACCAGAAUGGUCUAGAAAUCCGAGUCUUUCUUAAGUAAAGUAAUUUUUUUGAUUGAAAAACUGGGACUUUCUAGUUCUUAUGAACCUAACUCAUUGAAAUUCCAUCCAGUAAAACGGAAGAAUUAUAAAUUUCCAAAAUAAUAGAUAGGAAUAUCGCAAAUAGAGCCAUUGCGACCCCCAUAAGUGGUGUAGUCCCCCAGCCCGGUGCUACUUUACCAUAUUCCGAAUUCAAUGGUUUCAAUAAAUUCCCUACAGUAGUUCGUCUUGGCCCAGAUCUAGAACUACCCUCAACGGUUUGUGUAGCCAUAAAAUACUAUUCCUUGGUUGAGAUCUGUUGACUUUGUAUACCAUUCCGUUGUAGUUGUAAAUAAACGAUCUUAUCGUAGAUCCAUUGUGAUCUUGAAAUUAUCUAAAAAUGGAAACAGCAACCCUAGUCGCCAUCUCCAUAUCUGGUUUACUUGUAAGCUUUACUGGGUACGCCUUAUAUACCGCUUUUGGGCAACCCUCUCAACAACUAAGAGAUCCAUUCGAAGAACACGGGGACUAGUUGAAGUAAUGAGUCUCCCAUAUUGGGAGGCUCAUUACUUCAAUUUAGAUAAUGAAAAAUUAUUUCAUUUUUUAGUUUUAGUCGGAACCUUAGGCGGUUCUCGAAAAAAGAUAGCGAAAAAAAUUAUCCCUAAAGUCGAGACUAAAAGGAAUGUAUAAACCAAUGCUUCCAUAGAUUCGAUCGUGGUUUACAAUUAUAGCUUCCACACCUAUUCAUUUGGGAUCAUUUACCAUAUAAAGAAAAGUAAAGAGUCAAAGAAUAAAUGGUGAUUCAAAUCAAGAUUUCUCCGGUACCUUAUGUCAAAUCAAAAAAAAUAGAGGCGAAAGAUACCAGAGCAAUGUUGUAUCAGACUACUUGUCUCCUUGUAGUUGGAUCCCCAAGUUUUUGAAAUGUUCCAAAUUCCACUUGAGCAUCCAAAUCUGGAUCAAUACCAGCAAAAACAUCUCUGAACAAGGUUCUAGCACCAUGCCAAAUGUGUCCAAAAAAGAAGAGCAAAGCAAACGUAGCAUGCCCAAAAGUGAACCAACCCCUUGGACUGCUACGAAAAACACCAUCGGAUUUCAAAGUAGCCCGAUCUAAUUCAAAAAUUUCACCUAAUUGGGCACGUCUAGCGUAUUUUUUUACAGUAGCAGGAUCACCAUAACUAACUCCAUUGAGUUCGCCACCAUAGAACUCGACAGUUACACCUACUUGUUCAACACUAUAUUUUGAUUCUGCCCUUCUAAAAGGAACAUCGGCUCUCACAAUUCCGUCUCCAUCUACUAAAACUACCGGAAAUGUUUCAAAAAAAGUAGGCAUACGACGUACAAAAAGCUCGCGCCCUUCUUUAUCUCUAAAGACGGGGUGUCCUAACCAUCCAACAGCUAUUCCAUCCCCGUUGUCCAUUGAGCCUGCUCUGAAUAAUCCCCCUUUUGCCGGAUUAUUACCAAUGUAAUCAUAAAAAGCUAAUUUUUCGGGAAUUUUAGACCAAGCUUCCGAUAAACUCAGAUUUUCGGCUAGUCCGGCGCUAACUCUUCGAUAUAUUUCUUGCUGAAAGUAUCCCUGAUCCCACUGAUAACGAGUGGGACCAAAUAAUUCGAUUGGGGUAGUUGCUGAACCAUACCACAUAGUUCCAGCAACAACGAAAGCUGCAAAAAAAACAGCAGCGAUACUACUAGAAAGUACAGUUUCAAUAUUUCCCAUACGUAAUCCUUUGUAUAGACGUUGAGGCGGACGGACACUAAGAUGGAAUAGACCUGCUAAUAUGCCCAAUGUACCCGCUGCAAUAUGAUGAGAGGCUAUUCCUCCCGGAACAAAAGGAUCAAAACCUUCCGCGCCCCACGCUGGAUUUACAGAUUGUACUUUUCCAGUUAGUCCAUAAGGAUCGGACACCCAUAUUCCAGGACCAUACAAACCUGUUACAUGAAAUGCGCCAAAGCCAAAGCUAAAUCCUCUUCCCUUCGCUCCUUCCCCGAGCAUUCAAUUCAGUUUUCGCAGAUGAGUUGUCGGGAAUGUCUAUCUCUAUAACAGCUGAUAUGCGACAUAUCUAUAAUCUCUCUUAUUGCAGCUGAUAUGCGACAAUUCCAGUCUUGAGGACUUUCAUAAAAUAGGAAUAGAAAUCCAAUCUCAUUCUCUAAGUGUCUUUUUUUUGCCAGUUCGUUUUUCCUUCUAUCUCAUAUCAAAUAGAAAAAAGAUCUUACCAUCAAUAUGGCACCGAGCUAACUUCCUGCACUGUAGUACGAGAGACUCUACUCUGGCUGAAUGGCUCUCAUUUUACUGUAAAGUCCUAACCCUCGAAUUACGAGCUUUCCACUUGCUACUCAAACUGGAAAAAGAGGACGGCAUUGUUACACCCUCCCCUCAGUCUGUUACAGAUGUCCAUCCCCUUACUUUCUUAUCUAAUUUGACUGAAGGAACCUUGGACCACUGGAGCUUUCACCAUGCGAAAGACAAGACACCCGCCCCUCUUGACAAGACGGCUACAAUCACUGGCAUCAGAAGAAGAGCAGGAAAUGGGAAGACUAGAUAGAUAGCGUAUACUGGUUAAUCACAUGAAAGAGAAAAAGAACAGGAAACAUAUAAAGAACCGGAAAGGCGCGUGCUACUGAAUGGGUAACGUAACCACACCUUAUCAAAAACUGACGGGACUUGAAGACGUAAGCUGAGCCUCUUUCUUGAUUUGCUUGACAGACUAUCGGGAAUCGGGAAAAGGCAAAGGGCACAGUCUUUAGGAGCUUAUUCAUACAAGACUUGCUGUCGUUAGGGCUGUCUUUCCUAACAUGGAGACUGUCCGCUUUCAAACUGAGACUAUACUAAACGUGAAUUGAGAGUACGAGUUUGAUAUAAAGCUGCUAUGAUUAAGAGAAACAUCUAGCCGUAAGCAAUUCCUUUUCCUGGCUAUAAGAAAAGAGGCGAGCUAACACUGGUUGGGAAUAUUACUAGCGAAUCUGGGACUGACAAACUAACUAGACCAUUCUCUAACUUCUCUAAGACCUUCUUACUACGCGCUUUAUUGCGAUUCCCUACCAUUCGACUCGACUGAAAGGAUUUCCACCCCUAUCUAAUCAACCGGAAGCUGAAAGAGAAGAUGACGUGUAAGCCCUCACGCAGGGUAAAAUCACUGGCUUGCUAAGAGAACUCCCUUCACGUACAACGAUAACGAGACUUUAGGGUCGAUGGUUUUGAGUCUAAGAAAGGACAGAAAGAUGAUAACUUGACCUUUGUUAGUGCUUUAGUUAAGUAAUACCAGGAGAGCUUAACAUCAGUCCCUUCCUCACCACUUGCAUUCUAUGUGAUCUUCCUUCUACUCAAGAGCUGCCCCUGCCCUUUCGAUCUUACAUGUGUUAAGUAGGGAGAGUCAAUUGAUUCAUUUCACCAAUGCUUCGAUCACUUAUACUUUUGACCGGUUAUAGGAACAUUCCUAUAGAUAGCGGAGAGCUAGAUUAGAUCUCAAGGAAUGGAAUCCACGCAAGGAAAGGACAGUGUAACCAUCACUCGUUAAGAGUGAACCUUUUGAUAAUGCGGGAAAAAAAAUGACGAAUAACACUCUUUAUUACAUUAUAGAUGCGGAUAAUCGAAUCGUCUGUUUGAUAGAUAAAUUUUCCACCUUUCUUUAAAGCGGUAUAACACUAACUAAGGAGGUAGUUCUAGUUCCUAGCUUUCACUUGGGCAAUUUCUAAUGUCAUUAGAAUCCAUAGAAGAAAGAGAGAGAAAAGAAGAGGAAACGUACUAAGUAGUAGACCGCCCUAGGAAUGUGAAUUCUAUUGCCUUCCUUGCUUUCCGUGAAAAAGGAAGUUCCUCUUUUGGGUAAUUAGUGAAAGCAGCAAUUCCGGUAGAAAGAGACAAACCUCGUUCGUGGAAUAAGACUUUUUCGCUUUGCAAUACCAUAAGCCUUAUUCCCCCAAUCCAAAGCGAAGCUCCGCUCAGCGAUGAUUUUUAGCUAUUAAGGCACAGAGGACUGCUUCUGUCGAAAGACUUUCCGUAGCUCAGUACUGCCGUAUUGACUUCUGUACUUUAUAUCUGGUAUUUCUUUAGACCCGUCCCGCUAUUCCUGAAAGUAGGAAAUAUACGACCUUUCUUUCUCCAGCGUAUUUUCACCCCAUCUACUAAGCCAUCCAUUAAGGUACACCCCUAUUCUUAGUAUCCCCAGGCUGACAAUCAAAUUAGCGGCACCAAAGUGUUCAAUGAAACCCCAAGAGGUUCCCGAAUACGAAUACACAGGUCCGUCUGCCUUGGGCGCAUAGAACCCAGAUCUCGCUCCCAGAUCAACCUUCCGUCUUCUUCAGGGUGGAAGACUUUCCGUCCAUUAUGGAGUAUGCCAUCCCGGCAAGACAGACACGAGAGCAGAUUGAGCUCCUUCCCUUCUUAUGCAUAGCGUCGCUAGCAGAUACUAUCCCACGCACCCAAGGAGAGAUCCACAUUUAGAAAUCUCUUUCCUCUUUGAUAAAAAAAGGGGAACAAAUUCAAAGGGCCCAGAGAAUAGACUACUCUACUUAUGUUAGUCGGGACCGUUCGUCAACUACUCUAUCAGGCCAUCGGCUUGCGGUGUAUGUUUUCCUACUAGGUCCUGGUCUGCGGAAUCCUUCAGAAGAACAGUAAGAUGGUACAGGAGAACCGAAUCUCUACGACUACGUAAAGCAUUCAAAAGAUAUUCCGAUCUGUUAUCGCUGAGCUUCGCCGCGCUUGCUGUACUUCCUGCGAUAUCCAGUCUUGCUAUUGCCUAUUGUUUUCCUUUUACGUUCUCGUCUCUUCAAUCUAAAUAAAAAGAAAGAGUUAGAUCCAUGCGCAAGAAAGAAUAGAUUAGUAAGGCAAGGAACUGAUUGACCAUUCAUUCUGUAACAGUGGAAAUUAGCCCUCGUAAGGCCGACAAUAAAGGAGAAGACUUGAAUAGCAGACUAAGAGGGGCGUAGCGUCUUUACUAUUGGGAUAACUUGAAUCUUCCUCGAUAGGUACAUAGAACGAAGCUUUCAGUGCAGCAUUCCAUUGAAGACGAGAAAGCAAAGAAAAUACAUAUUGUACCAUUCCUAUAACUCCUAUGGAAUUUUUUUUUUGAAAGUGGAUAUAUCCAUCCUGAAGGCCUUUUCAACAAGAUCGAAAAUCAUGCUUUUCAUCCCAAGUGGAAUGCCAAAAGCAGCAGAAGAUCUAUUUAUUUCAAUUCCGAGGAAGAUCAAAGUCAAGGGGCGAAGCGAAAGCUGUACAAUAUACCUAGAUCCGAGCUAGCCGGGUAUUCACUCGAUUUUCAGUCUAUGAUUGCCUGCUAUAAGUAGAGAGGAGAAGGAGAGGUGAGAGGUAAGGCUAUGUUCCUUUUUUCUUUCUCGAUGGGGGAAAGCUUAAGUUAAAAAAGUGGUCAAGCCAAGAAGAAUCGGGUGGGAACAUUCGACUUCAUCGGUCGGGUUCGCUUUACUUUACCUUCUGUCUGUGCUAGCUAGGCUAAGCUAAGUCUGGCUGCUUUAGUGGAGCCGGUGGCUUGACAAAGAGAGUACGGGAAGAAUUGAUUCCUAUGCGUCCGAAGCUAAUGAAUCUGAUGCCAUGGAUUCUGUUUUCAUGCUAGCGAGAAACGAAUACCUGGCUUCAAGGGAAUGGGCAGAGACCCGGAUUUACCUUUUUCCAAUCAAAGGAUCAGGAUAGGAGAAUGGAAUGGGACUAGACCUGCAACCACAUUCACUCACUCUAAUCUCUAAUAUACAGCGAAUUCGACGGGAGAGACUUUUCACUCAAGGAAAAGGCCUUUCGGCUUACUUACACGAUAAGGGGGAAGAGACCUCAAAGCACAUUCACUGAUAGCAGAAUGGACAGCUUCGAAGGCUUACAAGGAUACCAGAUUGAAAAGCAUUGCCCCUUCCACGAUGAAAGACAUUAGGCCCUGACCGAUAGGCUUAAGGGAAGGAUUGGGCAGGCAGAGACGGAGAGGAUUCCAUACGGGACUCAGGGGUUCCCCCAAGCGAAGAGCAAAUGAGACCGGAAAGAAGAGAAACUCGAUAUACGAAACUCAAGAAGGUUCAAUCCAUCUGAUUCCCCAUUUCCUCGCUUAGCCGGACAUAGGCACUUUAGGAAGACAACAAUGGACGUAAUGGACUACUUUUCAGACAGGGCAGUUACAUUCUCUAGUGAUGGAGCAACCGAACUGGAUGCCUCCUUCCCCGAGUAUUCCAGUAUCUCGCUUUCUAUUCGUGUUGUUGCAAUGCUAACGAGGUACUAGCUUUUCUACAGAAUUCGUACAUUCAAAAGUACAAGUUGUAUCUUCCAUAAGAAGAUAAAGCCCAAAGGGAAAGGCGAAACCGAAAACCUCCUCAACUUAAGAAGUAUCAAUACGCGCUUAAAGCAUUUCCAACUAUAAUUGCGUAAGAGAAAGGAAUUCAUUGACUUCGAACAACAAAAAGGAGGUCAAUGAGCACUAACUCUCUUCUCUGACUUUUUUUUUUGAAAGGAAUGCUGCUAUAAAAAACGGAGGCGGAAUUACAGUUCAGUUCGACGUAUAAUGCAGGAUAGCUGCCGCGGAAAAAAUUCACAAAAUUUUCGUAUAGAAACAACAGCAGCAGUACGGCUUUUAGAGGGCCCUCUCCUCUCUUCUAUUACUUGUUGGAGUUCCCCUGUCUCCCAUCUUCUUUUCAAGUCCCACGCUUUCCCCGGUUAACAACGGCGGACCCUCUUUUUUGAAAUGAAAUAGAGUCCCAAAAAGGAAACAGAACAAUUUUGAAUCAAAGAGUUGAAUGGCAACCCGAAUGAGCCCACUUGAGCAAUUUUCCAUUCACCCAUUAAUUCUUAUGAAGAUAGGCAACUUUUAUUUCUCAUUCACAAAUCCAUCCUUGUCUAUGCUGCUAACUCUCGGUUUGGUCCUACUUCUUCUUUUUUUUGUUACGAAAAAGGGAGGGGGAAAGUCAGUGCCAAAUGCUUGGCAAUCCUUGGUAGAGCUUAUUCAUGAUUUCGUGCCGAACCCGGUAAACGAACAAAUAGGUGGUCUUUCCGGAAAUGUGAAACAAAAGUUUUCCCCUCGCAUCUCGGUCACUUUUACUUUUUCGUUAUUUCGUAAUCCCCAGGGUAUGAUACCCUUUAGCUUCACAGUGACAAGUCAUUUUCUCAUUACUUUGGCUCUCUCAUUUUCGAUUUUUAUAGGCAUUACGAUCGUUGGAUUUCAAAGACAUGGGCUUCAUUUUUUUAGCUUCUCAUUACCUGCAGGAGUCCCACUGCCGUUAGCACCUUUUUUAGUACUCCUUGAGCUAAUCCCUCAUUGUUUUCGUGCAUUAAGCUCAGGAAUACGUUUAUUUGCUAAUAUGAUGGCCGGUCAUAGUUCAGUAAAGAUUUUAAGUGGGUCUGCUUGGACUAUGCUAUUUAUGAAUAACAUUUUUUAUUUCAUAGGAGAUCCUGGUCCUUUAUUUAUAGUUCUAGCAUUAACCGGUCCGGAAUUAGGUGUAGCUAUAUCACAAGCUCAUGUUUCUACGAUCUCAAUCUGUAUUUACUUGAAUGAUGCUACAAAUCUCCAUCAAAAUGAGUCAUUUCAUAAUUGAAUAAAAACGAGGAGCCGAAGAUGUUAGGGGCUACAGCUACGCUUUUGCAGCACCGAACAUGGUUCCGGGUACUCAAGAUAUUGUGUCUGGAGAGGUAGAUAGAUAGGACUACGUCUUGCUCGAUCAGGACCCUAGCUUUAUUGCGAGCCAAAAGACCCUGAAAGAAUAACUAAGGAAAUACCGCAUUUAGAACAGAAGCUCAUUUACUCCGCUAUUUAGACAGCUCGUUGACUUUACUUAACGUUGGUUUCGGUUCGAUCCACUAUCCUUUUUGAAGCGGAUAGUUCACAGUGCUCAUUCUCAAAAAAACCGGAAAAGCCAACUCAUCAUGAUGUUUCCACUCCAUUUUCAUUACGAAGAUGUAUCACGUCAGGAUCCGUUGCUCAAACCGAAUCACGCCAACGUUAUGGAAGUUCCUGGAUCGUUUGAAAUAAGAUUAGUACCAAAAGCAGCCUCUGAUUUCAGAAUCAAAUAUGGAAAAUUGGCUAUGGAGAUUCCGCGCGGUCAGAGAUUCAUACAGACAGAAAGGGGCCCUUAUUUCCAAGCAGGAAAGUCGUUUCGAUCCAAUCCAUUCUUGGGGUCCGAAAAAGACACAGGAUAUGUCAGUGACUUUGCACGACAAAGCGCUCUCCGAGGGUAUGGAAUGUCUAAUUUUUUGGUCAGAAUCUCGACAGUAAUGUCUAUGUUAGAUUCUCCGGUCGAAAUACGGGAAAACCCCAUGAAAUUUUCGAUGGAAACGGAGUUUUGCGAAUUCUCCCCGGAACUGGAAGAUCAUUUCGAGAUCUUCGAGCAUAUUCGAGGGUUCAAUGUUACUAUUGUCACUUCGGCAAACACAAAAGAUGAGACUUUACCACCGUGGAGCGGCUUUUUGCUAAAAGAUGAGGGAGAAACUAAGUAAGAUGUCGGAGAAGCGAAAUAUACGAGAUCACAAACGUAGAUUGCUCGCGGCUAAAUAUGAAUUGAGACGAAAGCUUUAUAAAGCCUUUUGUAAAGAUCCCGAUCUUCCGUCUGAUAUGCGGGACAAACAUCGUUAUAAGUUGUCCAAGUUGCCAAGAAAUAGUUCCUUUGCACGAGUAAGAAACCGAUGUAUUUCCACGGGUCGCCCUCGUUCCGUAGUUGAGUUCUUUCGCAUUUCUCGUAUCGUUUUUCGUGGAUUAGCAUCUCGAGGUCCUUUGAUGGGCAUAAAGAAAUCGUCUUGGUAGCAACCACCAAACCAAUAGAACAAAGGUUAGCUCUGCAGCUGGUCCACAAGCAAGGGUUGUAGGUCCAUUACCGUCCGGCUCCGGACCGAAAAGACCUAACGGAGUCAUCCCAACUCUCGGAUCGGAGAUGCUAACGAGACGGGAAUCGAAGUGGGGGACCUCUCUACCGCACCUGUCUCCCCAGACAUAGACUACAGGGUAGUACUCUUGGAAAGAUAGAAGAUCACCGCGUGAACAACAUCUAAAGUGACGAAUGUCACUCCCGAGGGAUCGACCACUAUUAUAAUAUAUUUUUUUAGAGAACUCUUGUUCAUGUUCACGCCGGAGUGCUGAGGUUGUUCCCACCAUUGAAGUCAGAGUCUGGGUGUGGGCCCGCUUACUAAUACUUACUAAUAGGGUUCCGAAUGAAAAAGACCAAAAAGUGCUUCGUUUCGUUGGUAGAACCAACGCCAAUAUCAUAUUGACUCUCUCUCGUCCAAUAAGAGUUUCCGAGAGUGACUUUCUUCAAAUUCUCUCCUUUCCAAAGCUCCACAAGGCAGGCAAAAAGAAAGAGUAAUAGGACAACAAGCAAUGUUGCUUUCAUUUUAGUUCUUUCUUUGUUGAGAUUGAAAUCGACCUUCUUUUGAAAAGGGGUAGGUAGUUUGCACGCAGGCAAAACUUCUUCAUGAAAGGAGUUCCUGACUUUUCUUUCAUAGGUUUCUUAAUGACUAGUCGUUCGUUUGAAGCCUUAAGAAACCGGCAGUUUUUUUUCCGAAUGACGUUCUUUUGAGAAUCAAGAAACCGAAAAAUCCGUAGCCCAGGUGAUUCACUGCCUCCCUCUCGCUAAAAUGGGAUGAAUCUUCUCAUGCAGCUUUUUGAUUAUUCAGGGCGCAGCGAAGCCAAUUUCCAUCAAGGCAAGGGGGUAAAUAAGGGGGAAGAGGAGUUGUCACGAUAGAAAAGAGAAAUGACUAUAAGGAACCAACGAUUCUCUCUUCUUAAACAACCGAUAUCCUCCACACUUAACCAGCAUUUGAUAGAUUAUCCAACCCCGAGCAAUCUUAGUUAUUGGUGGGGGUUCGGUCCGUUAGCUGGUAUUUGUUUAGUCAUUCAGAUAGUGACUGGCGUUUUUUUAGCUAUGCAUCACACACCUCAUGUGGAUCUAGCUUUCAACAGCGUAGAACACGUUAUGAGAGAUGUUGAAGGGGGCUGGUUGCUCCGUUAUAUGCAUGCUAAUGGGGCAAGUAUGUUUCUCAUUGUGGUUCACCUUCAUAUUUUUCGUGGUCUAUAUCAUGCGAGUUAUAGCAGUCCUAGGGAAUUUGUUCGGUGUCUCGGAGUUGUCAUAUUCCUAUUAAUGAUUGUGACAGCUUUUAUAGGAUACGUACCACCUUGGGGUCAGAUGAGCUUUUGGGGAGCUACAGUAAUUACAAGCUUAGCUAGCGCCAUACCUGUAGUAGGAGAUACCAUAGUGACUUGGCUUUGGGGUGGUUUCUCCGUGGACAAUGCCACCUUAAAUCGUUUUUUUAGUCUCCAUCAUUUACUCCCCCUUAUUUUAGUAGGCGCCAGUCUUCUUCAUCUGGCCGCAUUGCAUCAAUAUGGAUCAAAUAAUCCAUUGGGUGUACAUUCAGAGAUGGAUAAAAUUGCUUCUUACCCUUAUUUUUAUGUAAAGGAUCUAGUAGGUCGGGUAGCUUCUGCUAUCUUUUCUUCCAUUUGGAUUUUUUAUGCUCCUAAUGUUUUGGGGCAUCCCGACAAUUAUAUACCUGCUAAUCCGAUGCCCACCCCGCCUCAUAUUGUGCCGGAAUGGUAUUUCCUACCGAUCCAUGCCAUUCUUCGCAGUAUACCUGACAAAUCGGGAGGUGUAGCCGCAAUAGCACCAGUUUUUAUAUCUCUCUUGGCUUUACCUUUUUUUAAAAGUAUGUAUGUGCGUAGUUCAAGUUUUCGCCCGAUUCACCAAGGAAUAUUUUGGUUGCUUUUGGCGGAUCGCUUACUACUAGGUUGGAUCGGAUGUCAACCUGUGGAGGCACCAUUUGUGACUAUUGGACAAAUUCCUUCUUUCUUUUUCUUCUUGUUCUUUGCCAUAACGCCCAUUCCGGGACGGGUUGGAAGAGGAAUUCAAAAUUCUUACACGGAUGAGACUGAUCACACCUGAUCAGUGAAAAAUUCUUACACCAAUCAUUUUUUCAUUUACGAGUGAGUAUUACACAAAGAAUUUACAAGCGGAUGAGUUUGAGGCCUCAAUAGCUUAGAUAGGGAAAAAAUACUAUACUCUAGUAUAGGGUGGUAGGGCUGAACUUUCAAAUCCGGGGAGCCGACCACGGAAGCCUACUAGGUAGUUCGAAUCUUCCUCUGCCAACUAACUAGGACACGGGCAUCAGGUCGUCCAUCCAUUCAUUUAUAUUUACAACCUAGGACUAGUACUGUGGCCAACACGUGCUUCCGUACAUCACCAUAACUGCCUCCACGCAGCCCCUCAAGGCAACAUAACUCCUAUUGUGCCUACCAAGCCUCCAAAUAUACUAAAGCAUCAAGUAUCAAAAAUUUGAACUUUCCGAGUAGCACAGUGCUGAGUAGGGUGCCGAGCAUCAAGUCACCGAAUAACCCUUCAGAAAGAGUGCGUCACUUGCGUCUUUUUUCCGCAUCGAAAAGCAAAAUUUCUACUAUACUUCUCACUCUACCGAAAAAGCGCCUGAAACGUAAAGGAAUCUACGAGUAGUUUCAACGAGUUGCCCUAUAAACCGCCCAAGAACAGAAAGAAGAGAAGGAACUGCUUUCCUUAUGAACCGAUAGCCCUAGAGGAACGAGCCCACUAGCCGGAAGGAAAGCAAACUGAAAGCUCUACUGACGAGCGUCCCUAACUUGACUUGCCCGAAAGUGGAGCGAUUUCCUGACUCAAAAGCCGAAAAAAACUCCAUGGACUUGCACAGAACAGAAGGAGUUUUCACGGCAGGCUUGAAGAACUUGCAAAAGAGUCCCUGAACUAGACCUGCAACACUGACUUUCUCUCUCUAUCACCGUCACUGCCUUCCGACUGUCACUAUCCCUUUUGCAACGGAAAGUGAUCUCUCUGGCCGGAUCAAAACAGAAAGAGUGUCUUUUAUCACUAUGAGCUUUCCGCUUUCACUAGACUGACUGGACUUGCUUGAAAGAACUAGCUCUACUUCCGGCUUUAAGGAGCUUGACUUUAAAGUAGUUUACUUAAAGACUUCAAAUUUCCGAACGGUUUGAGUUACCACUUCCGCUAGCACCUGACUCGCCCGGCAAUACUGACUUGAACCGGCUCCCGCUUUGAUGGAGUUGUACUGGCUCUGGCACAGGUUCAGGUACUGGUGAAAGCUCUGUCUCUUUCCUCGGUUCUCGCUUGAAGGAGCGCUUGACUAAAAAGCAAAGAGUUUAGCGUUUUUCUUCCCGUAACCGACUUGACUUUCUGCCCAAGGAAGAAAGUCAAGAUUCUCUAAGCAAAGCACUCUCCAAGCCGAAAGAAAGAAGGAAUGUCUUACUUUCCCUACCGCACGGUAUGAGAGUUCCCACUUGAACCGGACGAGCAGCUUGCUCCUCGGAACCUAAAACAGAAGAAGGAGUUUAUACGACGCUGGAAAAGAAGAAAAAAGCAACCCUCAACUGUUCUCACGCCGACAACAAAGAGAGACAUACUUAGGCAAUCAACCGCCCAAGAUAGAAUUUCUAACUAUCCAAGCCUAAAGCCCGGAAGGAAAGGGAAGGGAAUUCUAUCUGACCUGACCUGCAAACCAAAGCCAACUAAACUAAGAAGAGAAUGGAUUUUUCUCCUAUCCGAAAGGAAAGCCGGAAAGCGAGUUGCGAGUAAAAGCGAAAGAAUUCCGAAUCUAAGAAAGAAGAGGGAAUUUAUCUAAGCCUAAGCAACCUGCCAAAAAACCAAACUCGACAGUCUCUAUCUCUACAGCCGAAAGCCUUCCUCUCAUCUCCAAAGCACCACCUACCAUCCUCGCGUAAGGAAAGGAACUGCUUACCGCAACUGUCGAUUUCAUAACUAAGCCGCCUGCGUUGCUUUAGUUUGAGACCGAGACUGAGGGGAUAUCCGUAGGUACCUUUCAGAUCCAGACUAGACUUUCAUUGAAAAAAAAAGAGAACAACCACCAUGAUGAUCUCUGAACCAAAAACAGAUUCGAACUCCUUCAUUCUCCCUUUGGGAUCUUGCUCAAGGUGGAGACGCAGAGGAAUUUUCAUUCAAAGACCCGUGCAUCGCUUUGCUUUUUGACGUCAUUGCGCGGAGGUGGAUUCUCGAUUCAUAACGAAAGCAGAACACUCGCCAGGGAUAGUCAAACAUAGGGUGCGGCGUCAAGCAACAUCUUCAUUAACGAUAAAAGAAACGAUCGUCAGAAGCUGAUUGCAAAACACCAAAUCUAUAUAGAAAGCAGCAUCUGUACGAGCUCACCUCGACCUGUAGCAAAAGGAGAGAGAGGGAGUGUGUAAAGACAUAAUGAGACUGGAGAUCAACAAUGGAAAACAAAACCAAGUCGCAUACCGGAGACGAAGUUAGGCAUAAGGCCGUGCAUGACUCAUUACCGAGCAAGAUGAACUCAACUGGGAGAACGACAGGAAGAGGUUCAGCGUCAAGCUGCCAAAGGUAGAACACAACACCUAGGGUGCAUGUGAAGGUCCUCAGGGAUACAGAUAGACAUGGGGUACCACUGUGGAUCCCAGUUGAAGGAGCAGUUGGAACGUCUUCAAUGAUCCGUAUAUGUUGUUGUUUCCACUUCCCUCAAUACUAGCUGAAGUCAUACUAAAAUCAUGCCAGGAAGCGUUGCAUUAGUGAGACACCGCAUCCACUACAAGUCUAAACCCUGAUAUCUUUUACACAGCCCAAGUCUUCACUCUGAAUGUCAAAGAGAAAGACGCAGGAUUUCAGGAAUAUCCUGAGAAAGUAUAGUAUAACGCCCGAACCUAACUAGAGAGUCUUAGUUGACCCAAAGUCAACCAAUGGGACUUCAAAAAAAAAUGAGGCAGAAAUUCUCCCCUUCAAUCCAAGAUGCAGGCAAAAAAAUAUCUGAUCAUAGCCUGUCAUCUAAUCCCAGUUCCUCCGAGACGUCGAUGAAUCCUCAUCAUCCGUCUCCUCCAGUUCCCUUACCUGUGUCCAUUCCCUCAAAUUCAAAUGAAAGAAAGGCACAUCAGAAAGACAAGAGUGAGUGUCCAGCCCUGCAGAACCAGUCCAUGGCCAUACAAGAGACCUAGAUAGAGAGCUAAUAAUCUUUAAGCAAGAAUGCAAAGCCGAGAGGCUAAGCGAAGAACUAAUUAGGGUUUGCCCUCUAACUUUGUCCCAAAGGUGGGCGAUCCCCAUAACUUUGAAGAUGAAAGACCAAGUCCUUAGGGUCAAUGCUUUCAUUGACUCCGGUUCUGAUCUGAAUUGUCUGCGGAAAGAAAUUGUCCCUCCAAGAUACUGGGACAAAUGUUCAGAAAAAGCCUAUGCAGUGAAUGGAGCACCUUUACAGAUCCCUCAUAUGGUCUGGAAUGUCCAUGUUUGCCGGAAUCGUGUUUGCCAGAAUUUUGACUAAGUAUUACUAAGGGAUCUAGAGCACGACUGUCUCCUCGGAACCACAUUCCUCUCUGCUUUGGAGAAGUUCCGGAUUUUCAAUGAUGAAAGGAUAGGAAUGAAAGCCUCAAUCAAGGAAACCAAAGUCUUCUUCCCGUCGAGCCUCCUAGGCUCUCGAAGAUCAGAAAGAUUGAGUUGAAGACCGAAGCAAUUGUUUGGGUUAAAGAUGUGAAAAAACCCUUCGUUUUUCACAUCAGCUCCAAACUCCCGAAAUCCAAGCAAGGAUCAAAGAAGUUCGAGACAAGACCGUUUUUUUUUCGUUGGUUCCAAACCAGUUUUGGUCUAGGCAUAAAUGGAGUCUUGAGCUUCCCUAUCGUUCCGGGUUUUUUUAGAGCAAGAUACCAACCAAGUCAAGGGCGAUCCAAAUGACUGAAGCCGACAGAAAACUUCAUCAAAGAUCUCCUUUAGAAGAAACUCAUCCGACCAAGCACCAGUCCCUGGUCAUGUGCGGCCUUUUAUGUCAACAAUCGCUACGAGCGUGAAAGAGCCAAUCCACCAAGGAGAUAGUUAUAAACUAUAAGUCGCUCAAUGAUGCCCUCAAAUGGAUCCGAUAUCCUGUCCCCAGUCGACUGUCUCUAAUUCAUCAUCUUUCUGGCGCCCCGAUCUUUAGCAAGUUUGAAAUGAAGUCUGGAUUUUGGCAGAUCCGGAUUGCUGAAAAAAGGACCGGUAUCAAACAGCUGGUACCGUUCCGUUGGGACAGAAUGGGCCUUUUGGAUUGAAAAAUGCACAGUCAGAGUUCCAGAGAGCCAUGGAUGAGAUAAUAAAGCCCCUAGCCUAUUUUGCAAUUGCCUACAUUGAUGACGUCCUUAUCUUCAGCAAGGCAAAAAGCUUAAAGCUUUUUGAAAAUCCAUUGAAAGAUCUGGAAUAGCGUUAUCAGCCAGAAGGAUGAAGCUUUUCCAGGAAGAAGUCGAGUUCCUUGGGCAGAAGAUCGAAGAAGGAAGAAUCAGGGUUCAAGAUCACUCCAUGGAAUUCUCUUUAAAAUUCCCUUACAAUCUUACCGACAAGAAGCAACUCCAGAGGUUCUUAGGAUGUCUGAACUACCUGUCCUAUUACUUUAUUACAAGAACUUGGCCUACGACCGAAAGAUCCUAUCCAAUAGGCUGAGGAAAAAUAAAUAGAAACCCUUAUCUUAUGAGUGUACCGAUGCCGUCAGGAGGAUCAACGAAAAGGUAAAGAAACUCCCAAUUCUUGCCCUGCCAGAUGACAAUAACGAGAAGGUGAUCGAGACCGAUGCAUCCGAAGUUGGGGCUGAGUCCUUAAACAGGUACAUGAUCGAAAGGAAGAGGUAAUCCAGUAUGCCUCCAGCGCGUGGAGUGACGUCAAGAAAAACUAUUCGACAAUCCAGAAGAAAGUUCUAGCAGCCUUGAAGUCCAUUCUAAAGUUCCAAAUCUACAUCCUUAACCAGAGGUUCCUGUUGAGAACAGAUUGUAAGGCGUUGAAAAAAACCCUUAAGAAAGAUGUCAAGACCCUCGCUGCAAAACAUAUUUUCGCUAGAUGGCAAGCCCCUCUUUUACUUUGAUAUAGAACAAAUAAAGGGGGAGAGUCACAGUCUCCCUUAUUUCCUAACCAGAAAAUUUCUUUUUUGAAAGGGAACCAGCCGAAUCAACAUGGUAUCCUGCGAAAGAACAGAGAAUCAAUGGGUUGUGAAUCAUACAGAAAUAGAGGCUCCCUGCCUUGAGCCUGAAGUCAUUGGUGGAAGCGCAGAUGGUUGGAACGUUGCAACCAUCAUCCUUGGACCCAGAAUAUAGAGCUCUUCCCUGCAACCUGGAGGAUGGAGAUGAGCUCAAGAUAGAUUAAAGGCAACGAAAUCGGCAUAUAUAAAAAAGCACUCUUACAGAGGCAAUGACAUCGCGUACUCCGUAUGCAUCUUCCAGAGGAUCAUCCCUUUUUCAGAGUGGGGAACUAUCACAAUGUUAGAUCCUCAAAUUCUAACUGGAAGCCAUAUCCGGUGCAGCUAUUUGUAAUAUCAAGAGUCCUUCAUUGAGGCUCUGAAGAUUAACAAUCCAGAUCGAACUCAUUCAUGGUUCUUUCUACUUGGGAGAAUGUUAAAUGUCGCCAGUAGGCCCGCUUGCUUUGAUAUCUGGUGGGCAAGAUUCGGAUUAUCAGCAGAAGCAGUACCCGAAUCAGAAGUCAGAAGAAGGAUCAGUACAGAAAGCCAAAUUGAAAUCCCAACCAGUCAAGAGGUAUUCGCUUAUGUGGCAGCAAAUCAGAUACCGUGGACGAUGAAAUCGGGGUUUGCACUUUGGUUUGAUCUCACGACAGCUGACCUCACUCGUACCUUCUACUCUAGGUAGUAAAAGAAUAAGGACGAGAAAUGAAAUAGGUAAAAAAAGCAGUCUUUUUGAUCAGAGAUAUCAGCAGUUCCGCUGGACCAUCAUGUGCCCCCAAUACCUUAUAAAAGCUUAGGGAGAGAAAAAGUGACAAAGCAUUCCUGGAGCAAGUGAAGAAGAAGGAGUCGUGACCCGACCAAUCCAGAUCCUCGACCCAGAAGACAUGCAGCCAGUUGCUACCAAGACACCAGGGCAAAAGGGAAAAAAAAAGAAAAAUAUAAGCCCAGUUAUAAGGGCAGUCUUGUCAAAGUUUUGAGUGACGAGGGUCAUAGGCUAGAAAGUAUAGAUUCUUGGAAUGUUCCUUUUCAUUUCAAUAGAAUUUGAGUGCAUGUUAUGCCUAUCAAAUUAUUAUUAUUAUAACGGUCAUGUGAGUGAAUAAAAGAAGAAGGCCACUUGGAUUCCCUCAUGUGAGUGGACAUGUGUCUCCUUGCAUGAGACCUUGAUGACCAAGGUUGAUGAGUCACCACUUAAGAGAAAAAGUAUUCUCUUGUUUGGACUAUAUUGACCAAGUUUGACUACCAUAUAGAGACUUGUGUCCCAAGGAAUGAGACAUGUGUCCUCCUAUAUAGAUAAGUUUCUAAGUAGGCAAGGGCAAGGGUUGCCUUAGUUCCCAAGUCAGUUGCCAUGUGUCUAGAUGUCAGUCUUGUGAGUCCUUGUAUGUAUCCAAUUGAAUGACACUUGUCACCUCCAUGAAGGCUCUCUAAGUCUAUAUAAAAAGUCGCCCAUGAGAGGAGAAGUGGAGGUUGGUGAGAGGUUGAAGUGAGACUUGUGAAGAUAGUGUGAGUGACUCAUAUGUCUUAGGAGUGAAGUCCUUUGUAAGCAAGCUUUGAGGUAUUUCAAAAAUGAAAAAUGUUGACUUCUUUAUUUUAUUGUGCUUAGAUCUCUCUCUCUAUUUCUUUCUAUCUCUCCCUUUCUUCAGCUAGCGUACCUUACUCCUUCUAUCCUGCUUUCUAAAACAAGGAAGGGAAUAUCUGAGACUCUUUGAAUCCAGUACUAAACAAGAAGGAAAGGAAGGAGAUAGAUAAAGAUAGAAAUCACAAUCUUGCCCUGUUGAUAGGGAAUCUCUCUAUCUCUAGCUGUCCUCUUUGUGCUGUCUUCUGUGUUUGGUACUUAAGUCAGUCAGUGUGAUUUUCUGAUGGCAGUUCAGUCUCCCCUUAGCCCAACAGACCCGAGUCAAUAGCAAAGAGGAACCAACCACGACUUAGCAACAUGUCUGACGAGGCAACUAUCUGCUCUCUCAGUGGUGGAAUAGAAAAAUCUCUAUCUCUGUCCGAAGCAAGGGAGGGAAGAGAAGAGGUGGUGGGGAAAGCGCCGGGCAGGGGCUAAGCAAUGGUUUUAAAGACCAUGCGGAUAAGGGCAAGACAUGAUUAAGUGCUUCUUAUCUUUCUUUGGGCCUAAGCUGCCAUAUUCUUCCAUCUUUCUGAACCUGUAUCAGCCCAUUCCUUAGAAAGACGUAGAACUGUUAGACUCACGUUAGCUCGCAUCGGGCCUAUUCGCUUCGUUGUCCGAAUAAGCCUUUCACUUCACCGAGAGAUCAAGGCUCCUCUUCGUGGCAAUAAGAAGUUGGUCUGGUUGGCUUGCUUGCCAAUCGAUGGACGGAAACGAGACUGUAGCUCCAGUUCCAUGUCCCAGGGUCUUAUUUAAUCCGAAGAAUGGAAAGAGGGCUGGCUUGACCCGAUUGAAGAGACGGUUGCAGUGUCGGGUGUAUCAUACAUUGGUUGGACUUUCCGAGUUCGGCCUGGGAGUUCGAAGAAGAUUAGUUCAAUAGCCAAAGCGGACCAGAGAAGGUUAGUUUAGUGACCCGCGGAGAUAGACCAAAGAAAAGCUGACCGGGGCAGGAAACAAAAGAAGAAAAAGUAAGGCUUGAUUGGCUAAGGGACAUAGGUAAGGAAAAGCUCUUCAAGAGGUUCCACUCUUACAUAUACUUAUCAUACGAAUAAGAGAAGAGCACCUACACCUACGCCUAAGAAGACAACAAGUUCAUCAUCAACCGGAAGACAGACACGAAGGAGACAGAGAUUAGUGAGCGGAAGUGAUAGACCCAAGAAAAAGAGGAGAGGCGGAGGGCAUACUCGAGAUCAGUGACUAUGGAUUGUAUAAAGUCAAGGCUUUGUUGGGACAUUCUAUCCCGCAUAUCGCGCAUAUGUCUGAAUGAUAAACCAGUGGCAUCUGACGACCGACCACGUGCAACUCUUGCCUGGGCCAGCAAUAGCUACCCGCCUAACAUUUCUUUCUCCCCAAGCGGAGCAUCAACUAUGAGAAACAUGCCCAGGUACAGAAGAAAGAGAUGGAGGAGUUUACUACUCGACUGAUAAGGUUAUCACAUAUCUUACUCCUUUGGGGUCAGGAGAAGAGAUACAGGAAGAGGAGAGGGAAGGAGGAAGUUUACGACCGACUUCCCAACUUACCUUAUCGGACUUUCAUAUCUGCCUCGAAUGAAACUUGAUCUCCGGGGUAGGUCGGUCAUAAGAAAUUUUCGACUAGUUAGUGUUAAGCAUAUGGUGCGGGACGGGGGGGGAUCCUCACUCUUGACAGCCGGCCGCUUUCAAGCGCAAGCGCCUUGGGUUGGAUUACUUCUUUUCUAUUUGCGAGGAUUCAAUAUUUCAUCACAAGGAAAUUUCGUAUAAUGACUGACUGACCAAGUCAAGUCGUCACUUUCAUCCACAUCCACAUAUAGUAAAGUGCGCGACCGAGCAAGCAGUAUUCUUUCUAUGUAGUACGAUCAAUCAAGCCUAUCGCUGAUUGCGCGUCCGUUGAUUGAACACAUUUUCUUUUGUUUGAUUCAGUGAGAUUGGGUUGGUGUUCCGUGUACCUUAGUACAAGAUCGAAAAGUGGCUAAUUUAGCUCAGUCGACGCUCCCCACCAAUGAAUGUUGGUGACUUCUGUUCCAACUGGACUGGGAGAACAACAGUCAGGUGCACCCAUUGGACGCUGGAGCCAAUGUUCUACACACAGAAGGACUGCACACCAUACUAAAAGGUCAAAGUAAAUACAAAGUUAAAAAUGAUCAAAAAACAAAAAAGGCUGGGCAUUGCCUCAAACAUGCUCUUUUUUUAUAAAAAAUGUGUAUCUAUGUAUUAUUAUACUAUAAGCGAUCAGUAUAGAUAUUAUUCUUCUGGUAGCAAAGAUUUUGAUGGAAGUCAGUUUGAACAGGAAUUGUUAGUGAGCGAGAUUAGGUAUCUAUACCGUAGCUGUCCAGAUUUAUUUGAAGUUUCGGAGAAGGAAGUGGAAAAGAUAGUGAAAUCAAUACUUUCGCGUGAGUAUAGAUUUUCACCUCUGAAAGUUGUUAGAAACAAUGGUAAUAAUCCAGCUGUCUUUCGAAAAGACUAAUCAGCUAAGUUCGAACCCAAAUGCAACUUUCUCUCUUCUUCCUAACCCAAAAGAUGAGAUUGUUCUUAUGUCAAUGACUCGAAUAGUAACACGACACUAUCUUGAGUCUAAUUUAUGUUCAAAAGAAUCAUUCUUCUUUAGAGAUCAUCCACACUUAUUUUAUAAUUCUUUAGAAAAACUUGGUCAAGUCAAGAAACUCUAUCAACUGGAUCUAAGUCGAUCCUUCCUAACAAUGGAAAAAAAAAUCUUAUUUUCAAAUAUAGAAAAAAUUAUUUCAAAUCAAUAUUUAUUAAAAUUGAUUCAUGAUUUCUGUCAAUUAGAAGCGAAGGACGAUAAUGGAAAUAAUAUUCAAUAUUUCGAUUUCGCGCCGGUGGGAAUUUUUUCAGAAGCAUUAUUUCAUAUCUAUUUCUCUAUCCUUGACAGAGAGUUCAUGCGGGCAUACCCAGAUCUCCCAUAUGUUAGAUAUUUCCACGAGGUAUAUGUACUUGUUCCAGCGAAUAAGAUGGAAGAAUUCGAUUCAGAUGAAGAGUUCACUACCAUUUUUAUGGAACUCAACUUAGAUGGAAAGGUAUCAAUUCUAUUUCCGGGAGAUAAAGAUAUUGUGUGUUACGCAGGAAAGAUUGGGAUAUCCAAAGAAGGAAAUAUUAUGUUUACUCCGAAGAAAGAAUAAGAAUAUUCUAAGGCAAACCCACUGACGAAGCGUCUGAGCCUCUGGAGGUAAGUGAUUGUGAUUGAAACUAACCUCUUCAAAUUGCUCGCCUAGCCUUGAGUUGGUCCAAUCUCCUGGUCCAUUGCCCUAUCGGUUAGUGGGAUAAAUGGUAGAGGGGGCUUUUCUUUCAGUUUCUAUUUACUGUCUUUUAAGCUGUCUCAGGGAAUGUGUAAGCGUUCCCCCGUCGAAAGUCCUGACUUCCUUCUUUAUCUUUACGUCAAAAAUGACGUUUUAGAAAGGAAGUGUCAUUUUUUCCAAUAAAAUCCCAUGCAUUCAUUUCAGGCCUAAUCCGGCCAGCCAUUUAAACCGUAAGUCCCGCGAAGCUGAUGGCCGCUGGCCGAAGAAAAACAAUAAUACAAAAAGUCAUGUUGCCAUACUUUACAAACAAGAUCAAACUUUCCCUCAAAGUCAUCAAUCAACCAAGAGGGGAAGACCAGGUCGGGAAUACACCAGUGAGAUACAAGUCCCCGGCUAAAAAAAUUCUGCCCAGGAAAAACGUGGAGUCAACGCUGGAUAGGACAUUACCGCUAAUCCAACGAAGUUAUUCUGGUAGCAGGACCGUAUUUUCAAAUAAAAUUGAGCUAGGUGAUGUUUUGAUAAAAAAGGUCACCCAAGGAAAAGAAAGAAAAGGACCCGUAAAGGAUCUGUUAGAAACACAAGACAUAUUUGGAACGAUUGAAAAGACUCCGGGGAGAUCGAAGUACCAAAUGCUUAUGUAUCCCGAGAUAGGCCUACGGGGCAUUAUUAGAGAAAAAGCCCCAAGGCCGUGGGUCAAGACCAGAGAGCAACAGAUAUACCUGGGGCAACAGAGCACUCAGGCGGGGUACGGGCAAGCACUGAACAUAACCGAGAUACUCAGUAAAUUCUUACCAGCGCUAUAUAUUGGGUGCCUUCUAUGGUGGGACUAUCUCCCGGAGAUCAGUCAAACGUUGUUAGAUCUAGAACGAUUGAGAGAAAUUGCAGAGGCUUCGAUUGCUAGUGAGUUGGGGGACGAAAUCCUUCAAACUGCCAUGAGUAGUGAGCAGAGCGAGGGGAGGUGCAAACUGCUAGAAGCGGCGCCUGAGGAAAGGUCGGCCAGAGCCACCGCUAUAUGGAUUGCGGGGACUGUGCUUGCCAUAGCCAUCUCCGUAGCCGCAGCCAAAGCUAGAGGGGCUUAGAGAAUAUGAAGAUACUACGGAGGUUUUUGUACAAUGUUCGAGCACCGCCAUUUCUAAUGGUUGUUGCAAAAAAGAGAAAUUUCCUUAGACAUCAAGCUCUUAAUAGGGAAUCACACGCUCCUUUCUCUUUUUGAGACUGGUUUCUUAGUGUGGCAUGGAUCUUCCCCACUUUUGACGUUGACGUCUAGGGUAAGAGCAAUCUCCCUGUCUAAUACACCUUCAAAAAUCUAUAAAAUCCCAUAUAGCUUGGGACUGGUCGAUUCUUGCUAUGGUGUCAGAAUCUAAUGUAGCCUUUAAAAAGGCGAGGCCCCUAGCGAUAGGAGGAAAGAAGAGUGGGUAUGCGGGCUUCUUUCGCUUGACAAAGAGGCUUUACCAGUCUUUGAACUGCGUCACCAAAGCGAUUCCUGUUGAUGCAACGAACUCUUUCUAUUCCACGAGCCCUUUCGAGAGAGUCUUCUUUCCGCUACUUUCUUUUUCCGGUCUUUUCUUCUUUCUAAAGAACCAGCGAUUUGAUACGUCGGUUUGUUAGAAUGUUCCAAUUGUAAAUCUAUCCUAAGCUUAACACAUGCAAGUCGGACUAUGAACCACUGUUUUCGGGGAGAAUCUACAAAGGUAAGGAAGAGAAAAGACGAGUUAGCUCAGUUGAUAAAUGCAAGGCUGAUAGAUGUCCAACUUUGCCAUGACACAACAGAUAGCGGACGGAAGCGAGGAAGAGAGAACCACACCCUAUACUUUGAAUUUCUAAAAGAAUGCAAAUGGACAUGAGUAGUAGAGUUUUUUGUCGAUUCUUCCUUUCUUUCCUAUUCAUUUUGACCUUGUUGCUCUGUUUUUUGUGUUGUCUGUGUCUGAUUUUCGGAUUGGAUUUUCAUGUCAUCCUUGUCAAGAUCCAAUCCAUGAUCUUAGGCAAAGUAUUCCACUUCUUAUUUUAUAGGUUCGGUUGGGUAGGGGGUCUCCUUGUCCCAUUCUUUUUAUCUUUUUUGAAUGAGGACCCCUCGACUUUGAUGGGGAACAUGCAGUCAGGAGCUUCCGGAGCAUCAAGCUCGGAAGUGCGCGGAAUCCAAGCGCCGUUAAGCAUGGGGGACCCCAAUACGGGGAUGGCCAUUUACAAGGCCCCUAGUCCGGUUGAAGUCUUCGAGAUUCCGGAGACACCCCAUUCCGGCGCUUCGGAGGCCGCACCGGGGCCAGCGGAACCGGGGCAACCCUCAAAUUUGAACCCCCGUCGAGCGGAGGUAGAGCUUGAACUUAUGCGCGUUUUGCAGAAGUUAGAACCGACAACUCUCCAAGGGGCAAAGCUCCUACGAUCAUUAGAUCGCCUUGGCCUGGAAGGGGCUUCUGAUGAUCUCCUAAUCGCUCUCAAAGAACAAAUCUUGGAACUUGAAAGAAGAAGACCGAUAACUAGAAAUAAAGCAAUUGGUAUUUUUGAGGAAUUCCUCAAAAAUUGGAACAAACACCUUUAUUUAUAGUUCUAGCAUUAACCGGUCUGGAAUUAGGUGUAGCUAUAUCACAAGCUCAUGUUUCUGCGAUCUCAAUCUGUAUUUACUUGAAUGAUGCUACAAAUCUCCAUCAAAGUGGUUAUUUAUUUAUACUACUUACCUACGCGGAUCGGCGGUUUCGGAGACCGAACUGCCCUAGCUCCAGAAGAGGUUAGCCGUAGGAGAUUCAAACCUUGACCUUCUCUUUUCUUUAUGAAGCUAGGAGAAAUUAGCCGGAGGGCCAUCUCUCCAUAUAAGAAAUGGGGUAUUCCUUACGGUUAAGCCAACUCCCUCGAGGGGCUACAAGUGCACUUAAGGUUUCCUGCUUAUUUCCUGUACCAAAGUCAGUCCCUCAGGGCCAUCAACCGGACGUAGGUUCUUCUGCCUUUUCACAGAAAGAAACUAGAUCCCUAAGAACAGGGACAAGUACCCGCUCUAUUCCUGACUUAAGUAAUCCUUCUGGUAUCUUCUCCUAUCUUGUAUCUCUCUUUUAGCCUAUCUCAUUAGAAAGAAGCCAAAGCGACGUACCUACCGAAUUCCACUACUUCUCCAGCGAAGCAUUAUGUUCCAAGACCGGCAACUCCCACAACCCCAUGUUGUGACCAAGCAACUUCCGCGCCUCCCCCUCGUACUGAUACUGAUUGUGCUUUCCAUGUUUGCUUUGCCAUAUUCUGUAUUCCUUAUUCUUUUAUUGGUAUUACCAAAUGAGUAUAGUUUUUAGUUAUUUUCAUUGAUUGCGGAUUUCGUUUCUACGCUUUCAAAAAAGUCCGUUUUUUUGGAUGUUCAUGUCCUUGGCUGUCUUCGUGACAAGAGAUACAUUUACAUAAAAGAAUUCUUUGUGGACAAGCGGUAAGGCCCCCCAUGUGGCGCACCCUCAGACCAAUAGAAGGGGAUUUCGAACUAAGCUAAUGAAGGUGAUUCGCUCCAACUACGGGAUGAGUGCCAACCCCGCCGGUUAGAGCUCCUCCUCCGUAUCUGUAUAUCUGCAUCUUCCUCAUAUGUAGUUUCUAUGCCUUCAGAAAGGCCCUAUUAUUGAUCCACCAUACUUCCUAUGAUAGGCUGUAAAGAAGCUAUAUCGGCUCAUAAUUCGGCUAUAUAAAAGAAGUCGUGAACUCCAGAAAGUAGGGAACUCAAGCGAAGAGACCAUAGAAUGGUACUGCUACUUGAAAUCCUGGGGCUAAUGGCAAGACAGAGGGAUUCGUGGGGAGAUGUGCUAUACUAUAUUUAUUUCCUCAUUUCCCCAUAAUAUUUAUGAUUCAAGUUACCAUCAGAUUGAAUGAAAGGGAUGACCGGCAGAUGAUAGCAAGGCUAAACAGAUUCGAGAUUCUCGAUCAGAUGAGCGGACAGGGCAAGCACGUACUACCAGAAGAGUAGACCUCAGAGCGAUAGAUUCCCAGUGCUUGAAGAAACUUAUUUGGAGCCUUCCUUCACUCCUGAACUAGACUCAACUGAGUGCGCCUAUGAUAGGCUCCUGCUACUAAGGAAAGGACUCUAAGAGACUGACUCGCGAUCUAAAGAAAGUGAAAUUCUGGUCGAGAAGAGAGUAUAUUUAGAUAUGCGCUAUAUUAGGGGGAUAUAGACUAGAUAAGUCCAAGACUACUAUUGGCUAAUGGAAUCACUUAGUCUAGCUCUAUUACAUAUAAUGAAAGAAAGCAGCAUAGCAAAUGAUUCUUUAGCUAAUGAGAUUCACACUCAUUCACCAGGAAAGACCAAUCACCAAUACCAGUUCAGCGGAAAAGAGAUGGCAUGGGGGAAUGGAAUACGGGAAGGCGGGAAUGACAUAGGGAAUGGGAGACUUCGAAUGGAAAGAACUCAACCGAUUUGAUCAGAGACGCUUGUACGCUUUCCGACGGAUCUAUUGGAUUGAAAACAAAUUAGCGCUACUUGACUAAACUAAAGAAAGAGAGUCCAUGCUUAACAGAGUCAUGUCGGAAUAUAAAGAGGUAGCUUGCAGGCAUCAAUCUUGAGGGCUAUUCUUGAUCCUACAUUCGAAAAAGAGAAGAGAGUAUAUGCUUAACACAGCAGUGUCGGACUAAUUCUCUCCCCUGCUGAGCCUUAGAAAGGGAAUGAGUUAUAAGGGAUUUGAAAGAUCACAAAUGGAAGAUAAAGAGAACGACGAUAAAAUAAAGAAGAGUAGCGCUUUCAUAAGCGAGAGAGUAGAGCAAGAAAGCACCGCCCAAAGCGCCUUUCAGAGGCGGGUACACGGUGGCCUACGCUCCUUGAUCGCUUAUAAAAGCACUCUGGUUCCCAAAUCAAGAAGAAAGCCCCCCGAUUUUUUUGAAAUUUAGUCUGUAAUUUAAACAAAUUAUUCCAUCACGCUCUUUGUUAGAUAGGAAAAAAUGUCAUAGUAAAGUAGGGCAGGCGUAAGCAUUAGUAGUUUGAGUAUUUAUUAUGGGUCCAAUGCACUCACCACCAUUUGCUUCCCAAGCCAAGACAUAGGAAAUGUCAGGCUGGAAUGAUCAAAAAUCUCCCUUCCCAUAUCUUUGGACUAGUUAUAUAAAGCUAGUUCAGUACCAUUUAGCACUAGAAGAGGUGGAAGUCCUCUUCAAUAGGUUGGUCGUAACUGAUGACCAAACCAGAAAAUAUUUUCUAUUACGAGAUAGACAAUGGAAGAGUUAUGGACGGCCGUUCAACCUUUUCUUAUGGCGGCUCAAGAGGCGCUGCCGCCGGUGCCCGAUCAACCACAGGUGGCAGUCCCCUCCCCUGCUCUCCAUCCAAAUGUUGAUUAUGAUCCACUGAACCAGCAGAUUGGGGGAGAAAGCCUAUCCCAAAUCUAUUUGCAGCUCAUCUGCAAAUACAGGGGAGGGGGGGGCUUCCUCCGGAGAAUACCUUCUUCGAAAAAGCUUGCUCCAUCUUUGAGAGUAAACGGAAAAUACUUUUAAAGAUGGAGGAGCUUGAUCCGGGUAGGGGCUGGCGUUCGGGCGGGGCCCGGUUUAUCAAGGCUAAGAAUGGCGGGGACUUUUCAAUGAAAAGUCUCAAUUUGAUGUUAUGAAACCCCAAAACCAACUUAUCCUUCUAGAGGCCUUAACCUCUGUGUGUACUGAGAUUGAAACCCAGCAUAAUGCAGAACCUCUCGCGGGUCCAAAUAAUCUCCUAUAUACCUGCGCAAUAAAUAACACAAUAAGUGCAAUAACCAAUACGAUCGAACAGCUUUUCCAACGUCACAAUCCCCCCUCUUCCUACGAAUUGGACGUACGCACAAAUAGUCACUGAUAUCCUUGGGGAUGAUAUGCCCCUGCAAAAUGUUUCUUCUGUAUUGAAAAACAUCACUCACUUGGGCCUUGCUAGUAAUGAAUUCCAUCAAAUCUUCAAUUUAUUGAAUUUGACAGGAGGAGGUUUUGCUUAGCACCUAUAUAUAUCUAUUUAUAAUAGCUUCCGCGGGAGCAUUAGUGGAAUUUUUUUUAGUUCUUUUUUCCUUUUUUUCGACGAUUUGUGGUCUUUCUUUCUUAUAUACGAAAUUUUUGACGUCGGUUUCAUGAUCGAUAUAGCGUUGGGGCUCUGGGUGGGCAAGGCGUCUUGGGGGGAGACUUAUACGUUCCGGCUUCUCUUCUUUUCCGUGGAUCUCCUCGGUUUCUUUCCCCGGGGCAUCUCUGUAUUUUAGUCGGAUAAUCGACUAAUCACCUAAUCAAUCUGUCUUGCUGAUCCCCCCUUUACCAGGUUUUGUUGGGCAAACAGGUUCACUUUUCAUAUGCUUAAUAAGACAUGUGAUUGGAGAAGUCAAACACCUGGUUUUGGUUUUGUUAUUCCGGAGGUGAGAAACCUAUUUCCCAACCUGGUUCUAUCUCUCAGGCGUAAACUUCUUUCGUAAAGCACUGUUCAAGCUAGUGCGAGGAAGAUGAAAAGUCAAUCUAUGCCACGAGCUCCAGUCUCACAGUUACUGAUUAACUUCCUUCACCAGCUCCUAAUUGAAAAAAUGACCCAAUCUUUCACAACAACCGAUUCUGAUUCAAUUCCAACAAACCUUCCACCGGGAAAGAGCCAAGCCAAAGAAAAGAAAAAGAAAGUCCCACACCUAUGAGUGCGCAAAGAGCUUAUUCGAGAGCAGCUGAGUCAAUAGCACUGGAUUUAAGGGAUGCCUAUUUGUCCACAUCACCAGUCAAGUCAAAAAGAAGGAAGGGUAAGACAGUAAGAAGGGCACUAAGACUAGCAGCCGAUUCAAUAGCAGUUUAUUCUCGAACAGUAAGUACUAAUCUCCUCUUCUCCUACUCAUAAGAACCAGAACAGGCACUCGUAACCGUCCCUUUCCUCUGUCCUUUUACCCUUUGAACAGCAACCGGAAACAGGCAUACAAGCAGGUCAGCUGGUCACGUCACUUCUUUGGUCUGCUCUGGUCAGGAACACAAUCAAAGGAAGGGGCGCUCUCCUACGGUCACUGGCUUCUCUCCUCUGUUUUGAGAAGUGAAACGAAGUACUUCCCAACAGCCAACAGAAGCACGAGUCUAACGGUCUACAGAGUAUCCCUGGGCUGAUGGCUUUUCUUCCUUCUCUUAAUACUUAUGGGGUGUAGGUCUUGUCAGAGCCUUCUCGUCGUAUUAGCUAUCGCAAUCGGGAAAGCACCGGUCUGGUUACUGCUAUCCCCUCUCGUCCGCUCUGGUCUAUUAGCUCUUCUGCUCUGGUCUCUCGUCCCGCUUCGGUCACUAGUAGGAAAGCCAGUAAAGUAAGCCUGCAUACAAGCCAGCACCACACCAGCCAGCCCUCACUCAGGAAUAGUUAAGCAAGCAAAGGAAGAGGCCGCAGGCGCGUAGCGGCAAGUCAACAGGUAAAAAAUCUCCUCUUCUGCUCUAGCCUUUCUCGCAUUGGCUGCAGGCUUGCUUUUUUGCCUAACGUUGGUUCUUCGCGCUAUCUAGCUAGCUUGCUAACUUGCUUUGUUCUAAAUCUCUCAACAAUUCCAGCUCAGCUUCAUAAUUGGGAGUUGAGACUACCUUAUCCUCUUCUGGAUAUUUAUAGACCAAAAGCCCUUGGAUUCGCUACUGGUUCAUCAAAUCAUUCUUUGCCCGAUCCUAGCCUUUUCCUAUGGCUUCUGAGAAUCAUUCAUUCCUCGAUCCGAACCGAACCGAGCUAACCAACCUUCUUUGAAGAGUCAAUUACUUUUGAAACUCUUCCCCCUGCGGCCUCUUUCCAACCCCACCCGCCUCCCUUCUUCCUAUUGAUUUGGGCCAGCCGAGUAGUAUGUCCAGUCGGAAAGACGCUUGGAAAGUUUGACCUUCUUUCCUUACCCACCGUGGAAAUUCAUUCAUUCCCUCUUCCCUUCUUAGCCCGCCCAUGGUUUUGAGCGUGCUUCAAGCUCUGGCUUUGCUAAAUUUUAUUACGUACGAAAGAAGAAAAGUAGGAUUGAUUCCUAAUUAGUAGCUUCGUCGUCAUGAUCGUUAGUGCUCUAUGAAACCGGGUCAUUUUAGGCGAGAUCAGAUCAUUGAACACCAAUUCAAACGAAAAACCGAAACUGACUUCGAAACAACGGGUUCGAGAGCUUCAAAUCCAGCUCGAGGAGUAGGGCAAGCAGCAGAACGAAGAAAAGCUCCUAGGCGUCAGGCAGGGGAGAAUCAUCAUUGUACCCAAAGCGCACUUUGCUCCUCGUUCUUCCAAACGAUCGGAGCAAGCGGUCCCGGGGAAGGGCACAACGAAAGACUCCCCAGCGCUCGAGGCGCUUGCGACGGAGUUUUCCCUCCUUCGCUUCCAUUCUCUCUUUCCCUUCGCUCAUCUUUCUCUCAGGGCACUCCAUCAAUCCCUCGACUUGGGCUAUGAACUCAUUUAUUCCAUCUCGGGGUUGAUUAUCGAUCGAUAUAGCGCACUGAAACGGUUUCAGGCACCAGCUUCCCUUUCAUUACUUGGGCGUGUAGGUUAGCCUAAAAAAGCUCUAUGCUAUGAAGAUACCACGAUCGUUGCGCCUUUGUGCUUGUCACGAGCUGGGCUCGAACCAGCGCUUUCUAGAUGCGAUGCAUCGUCUAGAUUUCAACCUUUCUGAUCGAGACUUUGGUGACCCGGUUCCCAAAAUGGUACUCCGGGGGGGGUUUCGUUUCCUUCUUACUCCCCCAUCUUCCUCUCCCUCUUUACGUCAAGCACCUUUUGCCUUCUUUGUUUGGCUACUACGAUGCUCUGUCCUUUGGAACAAUUUUGAUCUCGCCUUCCGGAGUGAAAAAAAUUCCCCCGCCCAAGAAGUAAACCGGUGAGCCCCCUGGUACUAUGACCAUAAUUUUGACUAGGAGAUUCAACUUCUCCAGGAGAGACAUAAAAUGAGAGACAUUAAAGUCCUUCCAUUGCCCCGGAAAAAGAGGGAUAAACAAUUCCUCAUUCAAACGUGCAUAUGAAAAGGAUGGAAAGUCUCUUUCGAAGUAUCGAUCCAAAACAAUAGAGCAGUUGUUUUGUGCUGAUAUUGCGUAUUGCGAUUCUGCUUCCCAAUGAAUGAAACUACUAGUAGUUUCAUUCUCUCAGAGGUUUGAGAACUUGAAGAAGGAAGAGAUCCGAUAGAUAGGAGAAGGGACGGACCGCACAGCAAUGAAGGCGAACCACCUAUAUUUAUAGAGUUCGACCAGCAGCCUCUAGCAGGGAUAGGAGCGGAGCAUAUCAUGUCCUCCAAAACCCUCAAUCAAUAGGAGUUUUUUUCCCUCCCUCCUACUAUGUAUACUAUACAACACUUUUUUCUAUUUUUAGGAUAUGAGGAGACCUCCCCUUUCCUCUAGUACUGACCUAACAUCAGUCAUCCGUUGGUCUACCUCAGGAACUCCCCACUCUCGCCCCUAUUCUCUACCUGACAGCAGCAGUCUUCGGUUGUUCCUAUUGCUUGAUGGUUCUGUUAUUCUGUUGCGUGCAUAUUGUUGACUGCUAUUGAGUGGCACGAGCACACACAAGACUGCUGUACGCCGUCUAGUAUCUCUACCCCCCAAUUCUGAGGCCGGCGGUACUCUUGGGUCCCGCAUAGUUUCCUGUGAAGGACUUUCUUUCCAAACACAAACAAGAAGCAUAUCUAGGAAUUACCUGACGAUGCCAAAGCAGCUUGUUCCAACCAACUCUAGGCAUUGUUUUUCUGAUAGCAUUCCAAUCGGAUUUCAAUGUAUACUCCCUUGUAGGAGUUUGAUUCCAUAUCACCUUAUCUUCCGUACCUUCGGCCGGUAAUUCCACCUCUUUGAUGUUGUCCAAGGCAUGUUUUAUUUCCACAGUAAUUGGGGGUGGCAACCUCAAAGUGUUCCCUUUUUGGUUUUUCAAUUUCUCCACUCUACAAUCACCCUCUAAAAAAGAAAGAAUAGAGCAGAUCUCUUCCAUAAACAGAAACUACUCUUCCCUCUGGUAACCAAGGAUCCGUCCACAGCUUAGUGCCCUUUCCAUCCCCUAUUUGAUGUCUAAUGCAUCCAUGAGCCAGCUCUCUAACUGAUAGGAUACUUCUCAAAACCCAAGAAGAAAAGUGGGGUUAACUUCAACCUCCCAAAUGGACUGAUUCUUCAGAAAUUUCUGUCGAAGCAAUUGUGCCCACAAAGCAUUACUUCCCCGGGCCAUUUCCCAGAACAGUCUGAGCAAAGAUGCACGGUUCCAGUCUCCCAACCUUCUCACACCGAGCCCCCUCCUCCUUAGGUACACACACCUUAGUCCAGCUAACCGGGAGGAAGCUCUUCUCAUUUUCAGUUCCUUUCCACAGGAAGCUUCUAAGCAUUUUCUCUUUUCAUAUAAAAAAUUUUUAUGAGAUGGGGCUGCUCAGCCACCUUUUAGAAUCUUCUGAUAGUACUCUCCUUGGCCAGAUUUCCUCCUUGAUCUGCAUCCUAUGUUCAGCAGUAACCAUUCUUUGAUAGUAGUCAACAGCAAACUCAGCUAUCUUCAUGUUUUUCAUGGAGGUUACCCCUUUCAUCUUUCAAAACUCUCAUACCAUUAUAGGCCUUCUUACUAGCCAUAGACGCAUAAAACGAUUUGGUGUUAGCAUCACCAACCGAGAUCCAUAGGGCUCUCGAACUCUGUCUGGCUUGGAUUUCUUCACAUUUGGCUAGAUAAGCAUGAUUGGCUUUCAAAGUUUUCUCUUUGCCCACAAGAUCACUGUUCAGAGGGUCCGGUCCUCUUGCAGAGGAUCUUGAAUCUUCACCAGUUCCUCUCUGCUCUCUCUUACUUUGUCCUUGAUGUUUCCAAAUUCCUUCUUACUCCAGGCAGGCCUUAAGAGCAUUCUUUGUCAACCUUAAGAAAUGGGUAACAGGUUGGGUUCCCUCUCACCUCUGCUGUCCAGGCCUCCUUAACAACCUCCAGGAACCUGGGAUGUUCAGUCCACAUAUUGCUGAACCUGAAAGGCUUCAUCCCGGACUUCAUCUUGCUACCAUACUGCACCACCAUUGGUGCAUGGUCACUGAUCCCCGCUGGCCCAUAAUGAACAAAAGAUUCAUUGAAGCUUUGUAUCCAAUCCACAUUGACUAGACACCUGUCCAACCUUCCUACAGUUCUCCUAGAACCUUAAGACUGGUUGCUCCAUGACCACAAGUGGCCAAUGGCUUUAAAGUCCUCCAAAACUAAAAUGACAAUACCUUUAUAAAAAAACUGAAGAACCCUCCCAGAUAAUUGUCUUCCACCAAGUUUUUCGCUUGAGAACCUCACAGUGUUGAAGUCCCCGGUGACCAACCAUGAUCCCUGGAUGCGUUUAGACACUUCCUUUAGCUGCUCCCAAAGACAUCUCCUCUCAGAUAUAAGGUUUGAGGCAUAGACAGAAGUAAGAAACAAAAAAUUUCUCAAUUCUUUUGUCCCAGCAGCUACAAGAUAAAGCCUGAUCAGAUCUCUGUAUCUCGUUCAUUUUAUAGCUAUUUCUAUUCCAGAUCAGCCAAAUUCUGCCGUUCCCGGCUGCAUUCUCCACAGUAAUGGCUUUACAAUCCUUUCCCAAGCAUCUGGUCAUUCUUGCCGCCUUUCCACUCCUAACUUUGGUUUCCACCAAGCCAAUCAAAUCUGCCUCUUGCGCUCUUAUAUAAUCUUUGGCCUCUCUCUGCUUCUCGACUUUACCGAUCCCUCUUACAUUCCAGAUAAGGACCUUCAUGUGGAACUAUUGUUGUUUUCACAUUCCCCUCGCACCUUAGUGCUGCCUCUGGUUUUUCGUCUUGUGCAGCCCUCAUUUGUCUCAUGUUCUUUGGCCUUGACUCUCCCCCUCCCCCCCUUUUCUUAGAAUUCAACAUUUCUUAUAUGUUCUGCAUUUUGUUCGCCCACUCUUCAUUCAGGGUGGUUAGAACCAGGGGAGGAUCUUCCACCUUUUAGGUCAUAGCACCAGCACCUGAACACUUACUCUUACUGCUCUUCUCAGGUUCACCUCUUUUCUUAGGAUUGGCUGCCCUGAGGUUCUUUUUUGUUUUCAUUUUUUUAUCACAGAACAAGUCCCCCUCCCUAGCUACUAUAACUAGAGGACUCAAGAUCAUGGUCGUAGGUUCAAUCCUAACUCUUUCAUAAUCACAAUCAUGUGGCUUUACCACAAACAAAGCAGCACUCGUAGGGUUACCUUCCCGUAUAGAGGCACUCUACCUAUCGUAAUUCCACCGUUCCGUGGGAAAGACUUCUCUUGCAUUACAGGUCUGCUCAUCUAUCUCACUUAUUGUAUUGAUCUUAUCUGUUCACAAUGGCAUUCAGGAGCUUACUGCUUACUAAGGCAUUUAAGGAACUAGCGGUUAUUCCGAUUCCUACUCCUAGUAGGCCACCCACUCAUCCCAACAAUCCCAAUUCAGGCCGACAAUUAUUUUCAUAAGUCGGAAAAGUGUGAUUCUUUAAAGAAUUUUCUUUUUUUUCUAUCGUCAGAAUUGAUUCUGCCUAUACUUCAAUGAAAGCUCCUCCUACUCCUCCUCCUUAUCCUCAUAGAUCGUCGUUGGUCCUUCGUUCGUAGUGGUCAUUGUAUAGUGAGAAAGCUCACCCUUGCCUUUAGACGAGAAAGCCCUCUUUUACAUCCCCUAGACAAAUCCAUAGGAAAUGCUAUAACCCAUUGUUGUUCUUUUGACGAUGAACCACUCCGGUACAACAAGCUAAAGUGACCUCUACGCUUCGUCCCCGGUGCGUAGGGCCGAUCCCCGUGUGCUAGAGGGAGGACCAGAAAGCUUGUGUUAAGCAUAUAGUUGGUUUUUGUCUUGUUUAGGCAUUUGGUGUCCUCUCUGCCGGCCUGCUUAGCGACAGAGCCACCUUCUUUGCUUUGGGGUCAGUGAGGAGGACAGGACAAUCCCCCACUCCGGCGGUUUCUUUCUUUACAACCGGAUUAUACCCGGCCCGGUCCUAUUUCAAAGCAAAGAAGGGAAAUCUUCGUAAAGGCAGCAAGGGGUGUCGCCUUCGAAUUGAGUAGUGAGUCUUCUUUCUACUCGACUUUUGUAAUCGAAACUUUAAUCGAAAGUAGACUCAAGCCUCACCCUUUUUUUUAUUAUGUUCAUUUUCCGAAUUUCGUUCUAAAUACUGGACUGAUCUUUCUCCGCUUCAAAAAGGGUCUAUUUUGAUAGAUAGAGAUAGACAGGAACUAAGUAAUAAGAACAGAAUACCAAAGGCUUACUCCCAUUUCUCUCUACUCUACUCUAUCUAUGAAGGCUAUGAAGGAAUUCGUUCAUAGAAUGCUUUUUGAUUGCACUACUUUUUGAAAACAACCGUUCGGGAUAGACCCGGCGGAGGAGAUUGUACCAAAGGAGACCCGUUUUACCGAUCGUUUGGUUGGGUGUGUCCUUAGUCGCCCCGGAGAAGCCAUACCCUUAGGAAGCUUACCCAACUCAUCGCUUAACCCCCAAGAAAGGAAGACAACCCAAGUAAAUCGUGCAUAAUUAAUGAGGAAAGAUUCUCUAAAAGCCGGCGGUUUCUUUGUGUUAAGAAUGGAUACUUCUUGGUGUUUGCCGGAAUUCCGACUUGGGGAUACCUUUGACCGAUUGCCUGCCCCUUCAUUAUGAUUAGUAAGAUGGGGAAAAGCGGAAGAGGAAGAAUCAAACAAAGAAUUCAUGAAUGCAAUGAAGCAAGCCAAGAUCAAUGGGGGGCAUCCAGUCAAGUACCCACAUUCCGAUUCCCAAUCAUGGAUGAGCCUCCUCUACGGAUGCAAAGAACUCCUGCACCUUAUUUCAUGAAUGGGCAAUCCGAGAGACCUCGAAAGCGAUUCGCUUAUGAAUCUCCUAUUGAAGAGUUAUACUAUGAUCGCUCUGUGGUCCCCAUGGAGAAGCCUCUCGGAAAGAUGGAGAUUGAGAGGCAAUGAUACAAGCUGCAGUAGAGCAGACCAAUACGGGAGGAAACUGAGAUUCAAGGAUUUUUGCCGACAUCCAGAUGUAGCUCUGCCGGAAGGGUUCGACGAUACCGAAGUUUAGUAAAUACAAUGGGGUCGGCGACCCAUAUCAUCACUUGCUGUCCUUCUGUGGGGAUUGCCGAGGCCUUGAUUCCCAGUCUGGGUUAUUGAUCCACCUUUAUCAGAAGUCAUUAUAAGGGGAAGCACUCAAGUAGAACUCAUCUCUCCCCCUUGAUGCUCUACGUAGUUUUGACGAUGUGAUUGACAGAUUUACCAGCCAGUAGUUGCACCAGGUGGAACAUCCCCCAAUCUCUGUGAUCUGGUGAAUGAAAAAAUGCAGCCCGGUUUUUCAUUCAUUACCAUUGUUAACCGAUGGAGGAAUUUAGCAGCUAAAGCAAAAUUGAACAUCAAAAAGGAAGAUGCAGUACAGAUGGUUAUCGAUAACCUGCAUGGGCCCAUCAAGGAAGCGAUGGUGCUAGGAGAUUGCCGAACAUUCCCUCAACUGUUUGAACGAGCUGCCCGCAUGCAGAGGAGUAUAAAAGACGGGUCUAUCACUUUCCUCAGGAACAGAAAUAAUGGGGGAGAAGACAAGCCGAAGAAGACCCUAAGGACCCAGCAGCCAACUCAAGAGGUUACCAUCACUCCGGAUCAAAUUAAUGCGGUUCAAGCACAGCAGAAUGCACAGAGACAACAGAGCACCCGGAAUCAGCAAGCCAUCCAGGGGGCCGGGGCCGUCCCCCAACCCACUCAAAACCCUCUUACCCAAUCGCAACCGCAAAACCCAGCGCAAGCUCCGCCCAGACCCGCUUAUAACAACGCUGCGCCUCCGGCCAAUUAUGAUCCUCAGCAGCAACAAGGUGCUCCUGGGGACCCAAUAGAGCUCACUACCCGCCAUUACCCCUACCCUAUUUUCCAUCCUUCUGGCCUGGAAAGCCAUUUCUCUGCCCAGAGAUAAACCACUCCCCUGGCCAGACUUAUUUCCUCUCGACUAUUCGACAAUUUCUCGACUAUUCGACAAUUCUGUCCAUUUCACCGAUACGCGGGCCAUACCAUCGAAGAGUGUCAUACUUUGCGUGAUGUCAUCUAUGACAUGAAUGAUUAAAAUCGUAUCAAUUGGAACGAAGUUAAGGCAUACCUGAAAGCCGCCAAUGUCACUGAAGCGUAUAAAAUGGGGAUCUAUACUAAUCCAAUGCCACAACAUCAAGGGGGACAAGUCACUACUCAGAGACUUACACCAGUACAAACUAAUCCAGGACCUUCUGCCAGCGCUAACACCAGCCGAGCUUGCACUGCCGCUCGAAGAGAGAUGCCUGUGAGACCCCCUCGACGUUCUGUAAUUCGAAGGAGGUUCUGAGAAUGAAAAACUCCGAAGUCACUUUCUUUGUCCCCAGGUAGCGCUUGCUUCCAAAAGCAGACGAAAUCACUAUGGAACCGGACCUCCUCGCUGCCGCUCAAUUCAUUACUUUUAAGAGGCAAAUUCGCUUUUUUAGUAAGGGUGGGUGGAAAAGGUGAAGAAGGAAUAAUGUAUCCGAACGAAUGCAUCGGCAGAUGCAAUUACCCCUUUUUUUGAAAUCCCCUCGUCACCUACUAGUGAGCCGGAAAGCUUAGGGACGCCUCUCGUUCCUCUUCCCCCAUUUGACAACCGUAUCUCAGAAUGUUCGGAUGAUUCUCUGGAACCCCCUUAACUAAAACUAAUAUAUGCUUCAAUACUCAAGAAUGGGGAUAUACCGUUGGGAAAAAGCAGAAGAAAAGGAUUUCACGGGCAGAAAGGCGAAGGGAAGUUCGGAAAAGCCUAGCAGACGGGACUAUCAACCCCUUUCUAUUAAGACCUCGGCACCUUCCUUACCCCCCUACGAUAAAUUGACCCUAUUUUGAAGAGGAAAGCUCCCAGGUUCAGCAUCUUAAAGAAGUGCAUGACCAGAUUGGAAGCACUGAGGUCAAUUCGCAAUGGACCAACUCACCCAGCCAUGAUGCAUGACAGAAGAGAGCGAGCACAAAAUGGAGUUUCCCUCUUGGGUGAGGCUUGAGUCCGGAAAGAAUCUUUUUCAAUACUUGAUCCCCUAUGUUGAACUUUUUCUAUAUUACCUUAUUAAUGGAAAGAGGGCUGGCUUGACUCUCGUUCCGUCUCACAAGAUCUAAGACCAAGUGUUGGCACCCUCCAACUGAGACAGUUCUAAUCUGACAAUCGUGUCGCGAUCGGUCUUUCGGUCAUGGGCAACCUUAUGAGCACAGACCCAACAACAGGUGUUACUGAGCGUGGACGGAGUCCGUUACAAGUCUAAGAUUUUGAAGUUAGGGCUAAACCACUGAGCGACUAAAGCCGGGAUUUCCAAUUUCACUCCACCCGAAAGGUCGAGAAAGGACUUAUGUAUGGCCCCAUUGUUCAGGUAAAGGCGGGAUUCUUGCUUGCUUGACAACUAAGGAAAAAGGAUAUGGGUAUAGUAGAAAGAUUGACUCACUAUCAUGACUUUCAUUGGCAAACUUCUCGACGAAAGCCAUUCUUUCCUUUCCGGCUUGCAGGUCAAGGAGAGCGGAGAUUGACGGCUCACCUGGUUCACGAAAGACUUCUACACCAUCCAUUCACCAACAGUUUGGUCGAUUUGACACAGCUAAUCAAAUUUUUGACUUCUUGGCAAAACGUUAAACUACUUCCGAUCUAGAAAAUAAGUACCAGCUCUCGGGCAUACUUCAUCGCAUUAAACAAGAACCUGGCCAGUCUAUUCACAGUUUCCUUACUCAUAUGAACUCUGUGUGGGAUCCAUUGGCACUUUUUGAACCUAAAUGGACAUUUCAUGCUGAUGCUGAGAAAAUUUGCUGCCUACAGAGAUAAUCAGCGCUUAAUCAAGUUUCUUAUGGCCCUUAUCGAUGAUUUCAUUUCGGUUCCUGGCUCUCUCUUACAUCCUAGUCCCCCGCCUCGCUUCUCUUUAGAAGGCCCUUUGUCUUACUUCGAUUUCAUUUCUUCGACCAAAACAACUACUUGUGAGGAAAAGUCCCAACAUCUAGCUAGGGGGAUAUGGGUCUCGGUAACAGUCCUCGGUCUAUAGCUGAUGCGCUGGGGUUCUGUUUAAAGGGACCAGGCUACGCUAUUGAGAAAGCUUAAGAUUCAGCAGUGGGGCGCUCUAUCGUGGAAGUAAUGGCCUUGAUCUUUCAAAUCUUCCAGGUAUGAAACAGGUCGUAAAGCAAGGUACGUUAGUCUUGGGAGUUUUCUUCGCAAGAAGGUAGCCUUUUCUAUACGAUGGAUGAAUGUGCCGCUAGGAGAUCCAUGUCCCUCAUAGAACGAAGACCCAAGCCAUAAAAACUCUGAGGAUCCCUCAGACCACCUCACUAGAUGAACCUUUUUUAGCCUCCUCUUCUGGGCAUGUCCCCGAUACUAUACUAGUGAAAGAAGUUCCUUGCCUUACCCAGCGUCGAAGAAAAGGGUCGCCAAAUUACUGAGCUCACUGCCUUCAUUAAGGAAAGGUAAUCCGGUUGCUUGAAGCUCUCUUCCCGUGUCGAUGAAGGGCUAUGCGAAAUGUAAAAAAUCGGCUUCAUCUAAUGCUUGCUGGCUAGCGCUAUAGGGAAAAAACCUCUCUUUUUUUGAGAAGAGCUUGCGCACUAGCAUUCCUUCUCCCGAUCGGAGACUAGAGAGGUCUUUUUGCUUGAAUCGGGAAUGGUGGGACGGAUUGCCCUAUGUCACUUCCUUGCAUCAACAGGAAAGUGCUAAGACCGGCCCCAUUAUUCUAUCAAAGAGCCUAGCAACAACCUAUGCGGAUAAGGCGAAAACAGCUUCCUUCUCAACAAUACCCGGCAUCCCAGGCAUCCAGCUACCCAUUGAUAUGAAACCUGUGUUCAAAAGACGUACCACUUUCUACUAGUCUUUUUCUCCACUCUCGCGAGACGAAGGAAAGAACUUCAAGUGAACCGGGCAUCAAAGAAUUUUUUCAAAUUCUUUGGCAAAGAAGAAAGAAUCCAAUUCCUCCAAAGCUCCCUAGUUGGUCCGGAAAUCCAUCCAAUGCAUUCGAAGAUCCAGCGUUAAUUCGUGCUACCAGCUUUCGAGGAUAUUGAUUCGAAAACAGAGGCACAGAUUACAGAUUCAGGUAUCCAGACGAUAAGGCUUUGGGUACGAGAUUACUCAAUACUUAAAUGGGAGUUUGAAGACAGAGGCAAUCCAACAUCCCAUGCCAUAAUGCCCGACUCAAUCUACAUGCUCGUUGUAAUGUUCGGCUUCAUCCGCUUCUUUAUUUAUCCACGCCCGAGAAAAGUACACACACAUUUUGGUAUACAAUAAAGCUUUUAGUCGAAAGCGUGGGAAUAUGCAGUGAAAGGGGCAGCAGCCGUAUAGUGGUUUCAGAGUGAGGAAUCCUAAUUAGGUAACUUUUAGGCAUACCUAUAAUUUCCUACUUUCCUGUGUCAGAAUAAGCAUCUAUCUGGUGUAGUAGUCUGAAUAUUGCAUAUGGCUAAAGUCCACUUCACGCUCUAUAUAUAUACGCCGAUAAGCUGGCUGACUGAAUUGCUUAAUUCAUGCUUUGUCCGUACUUCCUUUCUGGCUUUCAAGCCCAGUGUCCUCCUUCCCCCAGCAAAGUAACCUCCUUUGAUGGCACAUCUUCAACUAUCACUCUCAUCUUCCGAACAUUUUACGAAUCCACUGCUCUUAGCUUUCGUUACCCGUUAGAUCAACAAUCUCAUUACUUAGGUAUCGUAAUAGCACUCUAAGGCCCUAUAAGACGAAUCAAGGAAAGAAUUAGACAAGCGAGAUGAAAGUACAAACAUAAGUAAGAAAUGACAUCUUUGACUAUUCGAAUAAAGAGGGGGGGCUUCUUUGCCCAAUAUAUGCUUAGAAUCCGGGGUGAGAAGGGGUAGUGUACUCUUAUCCGCAAAGAAUGGGAUUGACGGCCUUGGCUUAUUCAUUCAAUAUGGGAAAUUCCACUCAAUCCUAGAAGACCUUCCUCUCCCCCCGAUCCGGUAGAGCGUGAAGCUUUGCUUUGGAAUCGAACGAGAAGCUCGAAGGAAGUAGCCAAUUAAAAGGUGGUUUCAGUCAUCCUCUGCUUACAGCCUAAUUCAAAUCGAAGUUCCAUCUUAGUACGCAAAGUCUUCAGCAAUAAAAGGGAAAUCAAGAGUUAUAAAUAAAUCUGUCCGAAUCUAAUACAUCCAACUCAAAGGAUGGACUCAAUAAGCAUUUGAAAAGUCAUAAAGUCUGAAUUACGAGGGGGAAAGAAAAGAGGACCCUCAAAAGGAUCCAACCAAAAGCAUCAGACAGGUACGGCCAGGUAAGGCAUGAGUCGGAAGAAAUUUCCUUCCAUCGUAGAAUACGAAAGAGAAGCUUUUGCCGAAGCAUGAGGGAAUAGCAGAGUACAUGGAUCUCCACAGGUACGGCAUUCAGCUUUGCUUUUAUUUAGCCUGGGGUCAAGCUCUCCUAGAGGGGAAUCCGGGGAGAAGAUUUCAAAAACUGUGCUUUAAAGGGCAGUCUCACUACUGACUAGAUCUGGCGAUAUACCUACUUGACUAACUAGGCACAGGAAAGGGCGAGAGGGUUUUCCAUUCAGUCCUUUCUGAACUCACUGAUUGCAAGCGGUCUUCCUGAUUAGCUAUUCUUCCUUGCUCUAAGCUUUGUACGCUCAUGAGUAGCACUGGAUCUGACUUCUAGAACAUUGUUCAAUCACUUUCUAUUAGAGUCAAAGCUGGUACAUGCGCUUUGGAACCCUAAAGGAGAACUGCCUAUGGUCAUGUUCUUGGUGAACCCUAGGAGCUUGAUAUGAUCAUGUCUGAGGUUCCUUCGAUCAUGGAAUUCUCUCACAGUUCGUCGAUGGGAUCCAGAUUGCAAGCCGUCGUUGGCCACUCUCGAUUUGACUUGGAUCCGGUUCCCCGAAUUACAUCUUCUGUCUUAGAAUGACGAUGUUCUCAACACCUUUGCAUCAUGUAUGGGUACUCCGGUGAAAAUAGAUAGAAAGUCUCACUACCCGUGGGCGCUUUUCUAAGGUUUGUAUAGGGCUAUAAGUAGGCCGUUUGCUAUUGCUAUAAGGGCUGCUCGCCUUUAUACGGCUUGGCUUCGCUAUCGCUCCUAUGUAGUGGUCGACCUAAAAAGUCGUAUGGAUGCCAUACCAGAAUGCUUCUUAUCUAUUGCUAGAAGCGUUAAGCUUUGCCAGAAGCAAGCAAGAUGAGGUCGCUCUGCUCUUCGUAGACAAGGCUCGUUACGGAACGAGCUCGUGUAGUACUCGCCUCUCUCUCUAACAAAGGAUUCAAUCCAGUCCCAAGCGUACCUGGGGCUACCCUGUUUACCGGAUCCUUAGAGGUCUGCCCGUCCGGCGUCGGUACCUCACAUUGUUUAAUUAGGGUGGCCCCCGGCAUCUAUAAUAAACAAGUCUCGCUGAAGCAAUUGUAGCAGCUCCGGCACCAAUAAUAUAUAGUACUUUAUCCAUGGUCAUUCCCGCUCUAUACCAAUAUUCCAUAUUGCGAGACUGAUUCUGCGAGCGCUAAGCUAAGAACGAGUGAUGCUAUAAAUAAUGCGAAAGCUUUCCCUUUUGCGUGGUUACAGUUUAACCCUAAUGGAUCAAAGUGUUCCUUCGGGGCAAGUAAGUCCCUUGCUGCUUUAUUGAGUGGCUCACCGCAUUCGCAUGGACUUGGUACGUGAUGCAAACUACAAAUGUGAUCAAGAAAGGUAUCCCGUGAAACCCUAACAAGUAGCUCAAGAUCAGGAGAAACCAGAGCCCUUGGGUUUAUAAACAGCUCCUCCGUCACAUGGAACCACCAAAGAGAGAAACCAAUCAAUAAGCAAGUGGUCAGAAUAAAGCGAAAAUCUCUAAAAUAAGAAUAAUUAAUAGCUUCGAAAAAGCGAAAUUCUUUGAUUCUAGAGGUCUGUCUCCCCGCAUCAGCCAAUCCGAUCUUUCGAUCUGGAGAUCGAACUAAAUGAGAAGCUUGCCCCACUUUUGCUAUCUUGAAGGGCAGUAGCAUAUGAUUUGCUGUAGUAGGUACCCAUGGUGCAAAAGAAUACGCAGCUGACCAGCCUCCGGCAGAAUGAAAUAGAAUUUGACUUGUUCCGCUAGGCGCUCGUUGCAUGAACUGUUGAAGUUUCAACCUAUGGGUUGGCUGAGAGAGCUGCUGCCAGAUUAGUUCCCGCUCCUGCUCUGCCCUUUCCGUCUGCUGCAUUACUUUGACCCAAACGGGUAGUUGUCUAUUGGUAUGACUUUGAGUCAUAAAUAGGUUCUUUCGGACAGUCGGACUAGUUGAUUGGAACUGGGAGAAAAGUGGAAACAUGAUUCCUUAAUUUGAUAUAGAAUCAGACAAAAAAAGGCUCCUUUAGCGAGUUUAUAAAUAGGUGUUUUUCCAAUCCCGAAUUACUUCUGCCUAUUGGAGUUAUUGCGGGGAAGCUCUUCCUUUCCUUCCCCCGCUUUUAGUGAAGUUCCCAUUGAGUCAGAUGUUCCAUUUUCAUCUCAGAUGAACAUUAAAAAGAAAUGAAUUGAUAGAGUCAAGUCAUCAGGUAAGGCAUAUCCUUCAAGUCCCAGAGCCUAUUCGAUGCCAUCUUCAUUCUAUUCCUUCUAGCCUUUGAAAGCUGUCCAAUCUUUCUGAUCUUAUGAUUUCUCGAGUUACAGGGGCAGACCACUCGAGUGACUUUCUCUUAUAUAAGAGACACCAAUGAUAGAUGGAUGUAACACUAACCCAAUCUGGAAAGUGGUACUUUUGAUUGAAUUCAACCAAACCAGGAACUUAUUCUCUGACAUCAACUAUUAUAAUAAGUGACUUCCUCCGUCAAAGCUAUUAUUCCAUGCCAUUCGAGGGACCUUUUCCUACUCCAAAUAAGUGAAAUCGACACUUUCAUUUUCCCGGGAAUUUUGGCAUAGAUUGGAUUUCCUUUUCUACGAAAUGUGACAUUUGAGCGUUUUAUCGGGAUUUUUUUUUGGUUGAAAGCCAAUUUCCCUUCAUAGACACCCAUUCAAAUCGGACACGUUUCAUAAACAGCGUCUUUUUCGUCAUCAACAGUCAAGUCAGUGGUACCAUCUCUAGUUCUUUACUACUAUUGAUCAUGUCCGUUCUCUUCCUUUGAUCUCUUUUCUACGCUAGGAUCCCAUCCUUUCAUAGAAGGUUGAUUAAGGUCUUGGAUCAUCGGGCAGAUAAGAUCGUUCAGAUGUAUCUGGCUUGCUUCUCUUUUGAAAAUGUAGUUCUUGCUGCACCAAAAGUCAGAAAGGCUACAUUGGCCUCAAUUACCGAGCAGCCUACAUCUUGGGACGGUCUUAUGUCAGUAGUCUCGGAACUUGGGAAACUAGGGCCAGUAGUUCAUACUAAAGUAUCUCACUCAUGUGUGGACAUAUCCCAUUUACAUGGGUAUGUCUUCGGUCCCAGUGUGGUCCUCUCUGCCUAAUAGGGUUGGAUCAUGGAAAAUGGGGAAGUAGAUACCAUCCUGCUUUCCCGCGAUCAAGUAUGAGAUAAUGUCUUAUACUCAGAUCCUCCAGAAAGAACUCGAACAUGCAAGAGAGUGUACCUUCAUCCCUUCUUGUCUGCUGUUCGCUAAUUGGAUUUAUUAUAUCCUUUGUAGGACAUUAGUUCUAAGACAGUGGCUUAAGAUAUAAACACUUACCUAAUCCGACAGCACCAGUAUUGGUUGUUGUUGGCUGAAGGAGAAGAGGUUUUGACCGCCAGGAGCCGGCUGUUGAUAGCGAAGGACGGGUGUGAUGCGAUCCAGUCUCGAUGUGCGGCAACUCCUGAAGGAGAGCUAGGCAGGUUAUAGGCCAGCUUCAGAAUUGGAAUAUUCGACAGAGAUCAUUCCCUCAGUUUAGCUCAAUUGGAUCCCGACUGACUUAGCUUGAAGCAUAGCUUUCCCUUUCGGGGCUGGAUGCGACUCUUGGGAACAUUGAGACAUCGACUUUCAAGCAUCUCGUAGUUGAGCGGUACUGCCAUCAAGAGUUCCAACAUGUCCAAGGACUGCUGAAAAUGGAUAGAACGAGAGUCGAACUCCCAUCUCUCUUUUCCGAAAGAAAGACAGAAAGAACCCUAUCUUUCUUGAUCUUCCUUCACAGACCAAUCAUGUAACCUGAUCUUAUUACGAUCUAUCUUUAUUGUCUUGAUUGAAUACAUCAUUGAAAGAAUCAUGGGUCUACUACGUCAAUUGCGUAACGAGUUGGACAGAGAGAGGCAGGAACGCCACCAUGUGACAUUCUCAUCCCGACUCCUUCCUUUAAUGGUCUUGCUCUCAGCCCUGUUCCUAGAGAUCUGGGAUGGAGGGACUUAGAGAAGUAGGAAUGGGAUCGAUGCUCUUGCCCAGGCAUCCAAUUCAUUUAGUAGAGCUGACUGAACACUAAGACAAUCUCUACCAAAAUAAAAAAAAACACUAUCCACGAAGCAGAUUCAAAGAUAUUGCACGCAACAUAAGCGUUGUGCUUGUAGGCCUCCACAGGGCUUUCCGAAACAGAGCGAAUAGUAGAGUAGACAAUCCUUUAACGUCAGUGAGGCUGGGUCCCCAGAUUUACUAACUGAAAUCUUUUGACUCUUUUUUCUAACACAACCAUCGCGACGUUAGCUCAGCGGGUGACGAAUCAGAGGGGUAAUCUCAUUUGAGACUGCCUCUCUUUCUUUUAUAGUAUGUUCGUAUGUUUGGGCGACUGGACGCCGUGUGGUUAGCUGAACAAUUGGAGUAUCCUAGCAGCUACAGCUGCAGAGAGAAGUCUCUGUUUACGUAUUCGCUUUAGUUAGAUGCCGUCGAAUGUCGAAUUCCCGCUUUGACGCAGCAGGCUUGAUUAGCUUGCCUUGCCUAGCCUGAUCAUCAGGAAUAGCGAGACUUCCUAAAACUGUGAAAGCGUCAAGAGGAUUUUGAUAAUCAUACUAUUUUGAAUCCCCUCCCUCCUUGCUGGUUUGUGCUCUCCUUUCCCCUCCAGGUCCCUCGGCCAGGAUGUGAAUGAGCCUUUGUCAGCCACCUCUGACCUUAAUCCUAUGGGCCGACUGGCAGUUGAUUCUAUUGAGAAGAAGGGCCCUCCUCAGAAUCCUAGAAAGAAGUCAGAAUAAGAGUGAAUCCACCGUUUAGACCAUCGGGGAGGCGCUCCUGGGCCUCAGUACACUGAAGACCAACUCAAUCUCGAUUCUCUGAAGCAGCAAACUCUCAAAAAAAUGAAUUGACCAAUUGACGACGCUCCUCAUUCAUUAUAACGAUAUUUGAUAAAUUCGAUUGUUUAACCACGAAGAGUGUAUCUGACGGAGACACUCGCUAGAUCUAGUUAGAGUUCCUCGGCGAAUCGUCUCUUUCUUAAUGAAAUAUCUGUCUAGCCCUUAUCCUGCUAACGACGCCCUUCUUAUCUACGAAAUUUACCCUUCCUUUCCUUCCCCAGCUUUUAGUGAAGUUCCUUCCAUCAACAGUUAAGUCAUUAGUACCAGAGCCUAUUCUUUCAAUUGUGCAAUCAGUUCUUCCACUUGGCUCAAUAGCCGGAGAUGAAAUAGCGAAGGUUACGUUCACAUUUCUAAGCGCGGUUCUUCCUCCAUCAGAUCAGGCAUAAUCAACAGGAGAGAGCCAAGCAAGGGUUACGAGAGCAGUGGAUGAUUUCACAAUUACCCAAACUGGAGCAAGGGUAGCAACGGUUACUGAUUACCUGACUGAACCACCAGGAGCUUCUUCUAUGGCAUCAAUGCCAUUCUCUGUCCAUCAAUCCGAUUUCAUUAAGAAAUUGAAAUCUUUCAUUUUCUCGGGAAUUUUGGUUGUUCUUCGCCUUACCGAGUUGAUAACAUCUACACCGGAAACAAGAACUCUACCAACGGUUAUUGCCAAGAGUUCCUACGUUCACAGCUCUUAUUUUUCCAACAGCUAGGCCAUCCAAGGGGAGGGAUGACAGCCCUAGCCCUGCUAACUUAACUCUUAUGAUGAUUCAAUUGCUUACACCGGCUACUGGUUGAGCUGCUACGAAAGCAGUUACCUUUCUUACAGCAGGGCAGAUGAUUUCACAGUUAGCAAAUCUUUCUUCUGAACUCUCACAAAAGAGCUUACUCUCUUUCGAAACACCGGAUACGGUUAGAUCUAAUUCUAGCACAACCGAUUCCUCUUCUGCCUUUUGACUCUCUCCUGCUCGUACAUUAACUAUAUCUUAUAUGUAGUAUUCCCCUCGUUUCAUGGUUUAUAUAUCCUCCAAGAGCGCUUAUUCUCCAUCAAUGGCGAUAAUGCCGCAUCUAAGAGCCUAUUCAUGUGCAGCCUACUCGGAUUAAGGAAAAUCCGGUGCAGUGCUUGAUAAACUUUCGAUGCCCGCCUGAUGUUCUUCUAGCUGGAAGCAGCCAAUCCAAUCCCAUUAAAGGAUAUUUAACCCUUAGGGCGGAUCCUCCUCUCUCUACUGGGAUUGACUCGCUUAGAAGGAGUCCCAUUCCUUUGGCAAAGGCCCUAACUACAGCUCUGAGUAACUCCUUGUCUCAUUGAUCCAAGUCAUCAAGGAAAGACAGUGACGAUCGGUACGAAAGGGAGGCAUACUAGCAGGGGAUUCGUACUAAGAGCGGUUAUUCCGCAGCGUAUAGGGGAUGCGUUAAAGAGCCGUUAUGUAGCAUCUGAGAACAAGAAAGCAGACAUGCACACGAAAAGACUUGCAAGAGUAAGGUAAGGCUUGACUUUACUAGUCCUCUCGCUACGACCCUUACUCUUAUAACGGGUUACACAUGCCACCCGCUUGCUUCGCUUCGACGUUUGAAUGCCCAAGGUUUAGAAUCCAUGUACAGUCCCAGUCACGAAGAAGCAGUCCCGUCCUCUCUUAAUGAUAUAUCUCUAUCUGUCUCGCCUUAUCCUGCAAACAGCUUAUUGGACAAGGCAAGGAAAGCCUAAACCGUGCGUACCCCUUACUCGUACAAAAACUAUUUCAUUGGCUUAAUGGCAGCAGUAAGAGCGCAUUCCUUGUCCGAUUCUUGACUAUGGAUUCAUGUGUCAAACAGCUCCUUCUCGGCAUCAAGACCGACCCGUCGAAAACAGCCUAACAAGGCAAGGCAAGAACAGUAGAUAUUCCUCCAACAGGGCAUUCGUGAACAAGAGGGCAUUCCCUCACAGCUGAUUCUCAAGCAGCUUCUUCUUGAACUUCCCCUUCUUCCUUAAAAAGGAAAAUCGUCCGCUGAAGGCCUAGAGAGAGGAACAACCCCAGACGCGAAAACAACUCGAAAGGCGAAUCUAUUUCAAUCUACAAUCCCAGACGCGACAGCAACCUAAAACGCGACAUUCCUUGGGAUCAGACAUUGAUACCCCAUCUCAAUCCCAAAUCGUCUGGUAGUGGGAAAUCGUUUGGUAUUAUCUCGAUGGUACAAAUCGUCUGCUGUCAAAAGCUAUUUGGGAUCCAUUCUAUUACGAUUUUUUUUGUCACUUCGGAGCAAGUGAAGUUACUGCAGAAUUGCUUAGACUUGCUUGACUGGACUAGCUGGACUUAGCGGAUUUACCCCCUCUUGCUUUGUCUGCCCCCCUGUUUACCCCCAUAUCCCCGCUGCGUGGGCGUCCAGGAAGUCAACUCAAAACGAAAAUAAAACUACUUAUUAAUGCUUUGGCCGCUGAAGAGGAAGAACAAGAGUCUGGUUGCGCUUCGGGACGACUUCCCCUACCACUGUGAAAUAACACCCUCUUCCCUUAGUAUAGUAAGCUGGCGGGCUUCUUCCUUCACUGAAGAAGGUGGCUAAGACGUGUGGCCUAUUCCAAUAGCUGGCAGACGGGCUAUUAGGCCUAUUCAACAUAUUCCGAUUGUGAUAGAAUUCCAUUGCCUGCUCCUAUGAAUUUCGUGCUUACUUGUAUGCCGAAACUUCGACGGUCAAUAAAUAAGGACUCCUAUCCUAGGUCUGAAACUCGGUCUGCUUGCUCCUACAAAAGCUCAUUAGGUCAAAACGUCGUGAGGGUAUAGUUCCUCACUCGAUCCACCUCCAUCCACUUUGCUUUAUGAGGAUUUUGUCCCUUCAGGCCGAUGCGCAAUCACUCUCGGUCACCGCUACGGGAAUGACGAAUCUUCCUCUCCAACUUUCUUCUAUAGGGCCUUGGUCAACACAUCAGUAGUUGGAGUGCCAAAGACGACCUUACUUAAGGGGUAGGGAGAACUCUUUCCUUCUCUUCUGCUAGCAAGGGUGGCCCAUACAGUUUUUAGCUCUCCACGUCUAUCCCGGAGUACAUCCGCAUGUACGGAGGUGAAUCUAGCCUAAAAGCUAAUCGUUAGAUAUUCGCAAGCAAGAAAAUUGGGAAUGGUCCGUAUCGCAAAGUCAGCUUCAACUUCACAGGCAGCUUGCUUGCUUGAUAGAGUGUGGUGUGCCCUGUCAGUCUGGUGUAGUUGACUCGACCCGCGGCUUCUAGCUCUUGAAGUCAAGUCGAAGUGAAGUCAAAGCUGGUACUUCCGACUGCCUCCAUGCAGAGAAGAGAGAAGUCGGUUCUCCCCCCGCUUCGCUCUCCCCCUCGGGGGGAAUGGAGUAGUUUAGUCUGACAGUAGAGUCGAGGAAGCUUCCGUAGCUAUUCCGUGGCGCCCCUACUCUUGAAAUUCAAGCUUGCCGUCGAAUUCCGUGGCCGUAGGCUUGUUCCUCAUCUACGUCACGGUGGUGUGGAGACGUCCGAAAAGCUCCGAAAGAGAAGGCAGCCUAUAAUAAAAGGUAGUUCGAGUAGGGAAGUCUACGGAAGGAGAGGAACCUUCACUGAUGGACGGUUCCUCGUUGAGUCUACGGAAGGGUGGUGGUCGAGCACUCUUUUAGAGUUCGCAAGCGUAGGGAGCGGAUAAGAGGUGGGUUAGAGAUGUCUUCUUUCCCUUCGGUUCGCUUACUAAUGGGCAACCUAAUAGGGCACUCACACAAGAAAAAAGACGACAACUCUCAUCUCAAAUCAUAGAAUAGACUUUCAAUCCCAGUGGAACCCCCGGAGGGGGUGGUCGAGCCCGUCGGGCGAGGGGGGGAGAUGAAGGCAGGUAUGGGAGGUUGAAUUGAUAGGUCGGGAAAGAAAGAAUAACCCGAGUCCAUCCAUAAUGUGGUGGGGUUGGGAAGCCCACCGGGGUCGAGCAUAUCUCAAUAUCGGCCUAUCCUAUCAAUUCUGUCUGAUGCCAACCUCUAUUGUCUGGUGCAAGGGAGGACUUACAGGCAGGGAAGGCAGGAGCAUAAAGAUUGAACUAGCCCACGCAUCUGCUCCCCUCUCAAUCCACCUAUAACUCCCAUCUCCCAGCAUCUCAUUCCCACCCCGUCGUCGAGAGCAGCCAGCCCGACGUUUUUAUGCGAGUGCCCCAUGAACAUUUUUUCAAUCUCGAAUCUCCGUCUGGUUCCCCGGUGGGGUAUUCAUCCAUUGAUCGACCAACAGAUUAUAGAGAAGCAAAAGUCUCUUGAAUCUCCAUUGGCAGCAAGCAGUUCCCUUUCUUUUCUCGAGGCAGGAGGGAAUGAAAGGCGAAUCAAAGCUACAAUAUGACCUGGAAAAAAGAGACUAACAGCUGCUGAAGGUGAGAUUUUUUGAUCGAUUCAUCAGGGAGGAUUCAAUGAGAGACUAGGAAGACGCCUCCUCGACAUCUCUUUGUCCGCGGUAAGGGUAAUGCCCUAAACCAUAAGUCUGAGUAUGUCCUCUCGGACAACCGACGGUUCUUCGAUUCCUUGGCCCUCUGUUGGUUCUGCUACCCGGACCCCCAAUAAGCCGUGGCUUUCAUCAUUCCCGGUGAUUCGGUGCAGACGCUGUACUUAAGGCUAGAGGGUGAAUCAGUGGUUACAAUAUCCUUUAUGUAAUCACUCCCUAUGCAUUCUUCUGCCAGAUCACAAGCUUUUCCCAGAAUUGUUGGCCCUACCUGAUAGAUGCUUUCGACACUUCGAGUUGGUCUGCCAUAAUAUCCAGGAAAUGUUGGGAGCUGUGUGAUAAAUAGAACAACCGUCGAAUUGGAAAUGCUAUUAAAGCAUCUGCCUCAUUCCAUUUGAAAGUGCAUUCCUAUAACCCCAAUAAGAAAAGGGAAAUACCAACCUUUUCAUAGUUCCUGGGAUUCAAAGAUCAAAAAAGUUCGAGGUAUUUUUAUACAAAACUUAGAUAGAUAUCACACACUUACUUAUAAGUAUUGCUUAUGGGACGAAUAUACACCGAACAGCAUGAAUUGCCCAACUUCCCAUUACUAGCUCGAUCAAUCAAUCCAGUAUUUUCUGCCUUCCCCUUACGCGUUCUCCCGUAAUUCAGUUCCUGGUAUGGGGUAGUAGGGAACCGUCAGGACGCACGAGACGAAUCGACUGCCCCUGACGCUAGCAGGCGCUGGAGAAAGAGAAGCAAUCCCCCUAUUCCCACAACUAAGAAGUAAGAAGCGCUGCUACCAGCCAGUAAGAGAUUGUGCAGAAAGUCGCUAGUGGGAUAGUCUGAUAUUGCCAUGUACGUAUCAGCGGACAGUGGGAGGAGUAGGCAUUAGCAGUUACCGAAAAAGGGCCAGCGGGCACCGAGCAAGGGACACUGCCCGAUUGUGCGGACCGGUCGGGAGCCGAGUCACUAAAGGCCCCUCGUCAAGUAUUGCACCUAGAUCGUCGACGCCUUUAAGGAAGGGAGGGCUGCCGUUCGUCAGUGCUUAACUACUCCAGAGGUCCUCUGUAUCGGGUUCACGCUCGAACCAUACCGAAAUGUAUUGGGAAUUUUUUUUAUGCGGGACUACCAGCCAGGUACAUACGACCAGACGCACUCAAAUCUCGAGUCACGUCCCGACCUACAGCGACCAUUUCGCCUGGACCGGAAGAGGCAUCUAUGAAUUGAUAAAGACUGCCAUAACAUAAGAAAAGAAGAACCUACUAAACUCAAAUAUUGAAGCAUCAUGCCGGGGAAGGAAUUUUCCCUAGCCCGAGCCGCUUCCCCUGUAGUUGUCAGCUCGUUCUUGACAAAUCCGAUCGGGUGUUCAUAAUCUGGAGUAAAAGGAUUCGAACCUUUGCAUGCCGGUACCAAAAACCGAUGCCUUACCACUUGGCUAUACUCCAUACGGUCGGUCCCUGGGGAGAGGGGGAAGGGAGAAGCAGGGCUCGAAGAAAACGAGCCGUGCAAGGACGCGGGGAUAUAGCAAGUAAGCAGCAAGGUUCUCCCUUUAGGACCGACUACAACAAGCUCGCGACUCUAAUAGAAACAAACGGUAAGCUCUCUGCUCUAUUUGCUUGCAAUGCGUUGCCUAUCAAAGUAGGCGAACGCCGUAGCCUCCUCUUGCCCUUGUUACGCAAGACGCCAACAAAGAACCUUGCUUCCGUUGCGCCCUGUAUUCCGAGGCGACCAUUUCGCGCGCUUCGAUCCAUUUCCCGAUCCGAUUCAUCCGAUAACGUACCUAUAUGAGUGGGAUGGAUGGUAAAUCAUUUGCAGUCUUUUUCGGCAGGACCUAGACACGGAGGUUCGGGAAGUAGCGCGUGCCAGCAUUCACUGGUGGAAGGACUGGCAGCAGCGAGAGCAUCAUAGUUGACAUGGUCGGAGCUACAGUCCCCAUAUCCGUCUCUACUCUUUCUGUAAUUGACUCCCUCCCGCUCCCAACCAACCUUUUCCUUUGAAAGGUUUUCCACUAGUGGCUGAGGGAUAUGAAUCUGGAUCCCGAUCUUGUCUCACGGACUAUCCCGUAGUGGUUCUGUGACCGCGCUCGAAAUUGGAUCUAUUUCUUUCACACGGUCAACUGGCAUUGGUUCAACUAACUGGCUGGCUGCUAUUGAUAUCUGAGCCCGAGCCUUUGCUUCCCAUGGUGCCUUUGCCCCCGGAUUUAUUUUUGCAUGGUCAACGAGUUAUGGUCCACCUCCUAUCGGCUACUGAAGCCCGAGUAUCAAACUGCUGAAAGCUCCGGUUCAAAUGCCUCGGUACCCGCUUUAUGGUGCUGGCGGAUCGACAACAGGGUCUGGGGGGUUCCGUAUCAAUCCAUGGGGGCUCUGGUCAUAGCCCCCGCCUCCGCAUCUUUUGUUCCCGCUCUAGCUAACCAAGCUUACACCAUCCUUCUUUGUGCUUCCUGCGCUUCUUAUUAUGGAGCUGUACCUAGUUCCGGGUCAACGAAUGAAAUGAAACAACUGCCUCUCCCUCUCCCGUCUAUCUAAAAGUGUUAUUUCCUCCAGCUCCCGACUCCGCUUCUCCCUCCGAUGCCGGUAGAUAAAUUCCAAGACCAAACCCAUUGAUUCCAUUGGUGAAAAAAUCGCUGAUGCGAACUCGGUAGUGCUACUGAAACCACUUUGUGCAUCUUCUGUUGCCGGGAAAGAAAGACGUGUUGGGUCAGUCCGGCACGUCACGCUUGCUAAUACGGCCCGGCUGCCCCUAUACAUAGUUUGAUCGAUUGACCGACUUAACAUACGCGUUUUCUAGAUGGACAAGCUCUCCUUCUGUGCGCAUCGAUCGGAUUUGCAUGGGGCGUUGCGCGUCGCGUCGGAGAUUGUCUUACAAUAAACAAACGUUUCAAUGGGUGUAGGUACAGGGGGUGUGGCGUACGCCACUGAGUUUCUGGUGUGCAGGAUGCACUUCUCACAUGAUUGUACAGUAGGCGUUGGAGCCCUCAUCUGUAGGUACAUGGAGGUGUGGUGAUCGCAUAUGCGGAGCAGCUUCGUUCGAGAUGCCUUUGACCCGGGACCCACAGUCAGCACGAGAGCGUUAACAUCAAGGACGGAACGAUGACCAUGAUGCGUACAACUCCAAUCGCGAAGCGAAGUCAAAAAAAAACUAACCGAUGAAAGGAGAGAAUGCGGGAGACAGAAUGAUGUCGGGCCAACACAAGAGGUCAGACUAAACAACCCAUUCGACGCGUCGGGGGUACUCGACCACCGGGAGAUAGGGAUUUAGUGACUUACCAACCAACCGGACUAGGAGGGCAAGACAUACCAUACAAAUCACGGCUUCGGCUGCUGCUCCCCUUCCCUAGACCAACUGACCUACCCUCGUCCCUUCCCUACAAGCUGGGUAUCUCUCCCUCCGAGUCGUGCAAGAACUAGAAGGUCUCACAGGGAUUGGGACAACUAUCCAAACUCCAGCACUGACCAGGUGAGAAAGAAGACCGGAUGAGCUGUCAAGCCUAGGUCACUGAUACUAUAUCCCUGUCUUCAUACUAUCUGAUCUGAUCAGUUAGUUGGAGUUUUAGGUCUUUGCCUUAUCUCCCCUAAGCGGAAGAAAAUCUCUUCUUGUUGACCAUCCCUCCUGGCUGUUCAUCCACCUGCACUGGUCGAGUCCAAUUAUUGCAGCUGAUUCGCCAGUCGACUCAUCCCCUUAUUUCGAUGUUGGUGGGUAGUGAGCUAUUGAUGUGGAUGGGCUUGAUGAGGGAUUCGAUGCCUUGCCUCUGCCCGGUACCCAAAAAGCCUAUGCUUCUGCUACUAGUGCCACCGGUUAUUGCGCCGGGUAAACUUCUGCUACUCAUGUUCUACUACUUAUGUUUGUUAUGCCACUAUUUUUUGCUGCUACUAGAACCGCUAUGGUGGUAUUGUCGCCCGCCCCCAUCGCUGGUGUUGGUGCUGGGUCCUGAUCACGAACACGAAGUUUCAAUCUGGAUUAUAAGUUAAGCACCGGCACAUCGAUUUCUCAAUCCAAAAUGGAUUUCCCCCACCUUUCCUUCCAUUAAGGCUUAUAACGGAAAAGAUAUAUUGUAUAACCCUAAAGUGCCAACCAAUUUGUUCGAAUCUCCGAAAUCUAUGCAUACCCUGUUCCCUCCAUUUCCCCCGCUAACCGGUACUACAUUCGCCAACCAAUCCGGAUAAUGGAUGGGGGUGAUGAAUUCCACUUCUAUCAGUUUCUUCAUCUCUUCCUGUCCCUAACGGUCCAGAUAUUUCAUAACCUGUCCCUGCAGUGAUAUGGCAGGAUGCAUUUCUUGAAAUUCCUGCUUUACCGGUUUUGCCCCUCCCUCAUGAGAUAGCUGAUCAUCUUUUUGAUAUUCAAAAGGUACUCUCAUCCAGACAAAAUGGAAGAUCCUCCUUUCAUUUCCAUGUGGGGAGGAGGCAGCUGUGCUGGCUGAUUGGUCCUCAUGUCGAUUGGAAGAAUGUGCAGGACGGUCUGCUGAAAUGUAGGGCUCGGGGGGGACAUAUACUGACUCGGCGAUACGGGAAGUGAUGGUGUUAGUGGGGGCUCCGGAGAACGGGGUGGAGAGACCUUUUUAAGUAUUGAAGAGUCGUCUUCGGGGGCGAGAAGCAUAUAUAUAUAGAAAAAUAUAUAUAUAUAAAAAAAAUAAUAUAUAUAUAUAAUAAUAUAUUUUUUAUAUAAAAUAUUAUUAUAUAAUUUUAUUAUAAAAGAUGAACUCCAAAUCGCUGAUGAGCUACCCGAUUCCCAACCAACAUCUGCGUACGCGAAGAAGGCUUAUUGUUAGUCGCUUGAGAGCUGUCCAUGCCAAGCGUAUGAUCGAUCACACAUCUGCUCUUCUCAUUCUCUUCUCUAUGCUCCAAACACAAAAAAUGAAUAUUCACUGGAAGGGGAAGCAGUACAGUACUAAAUAGUAUGGUUCAAACCAGAUGGAAGGGCAAGCAAGCGGACGUAGCUCUCAAACUACUUCUCUUUGCUCAGGACUCCCUUUGACUUUACUAAUAAGGGGAUCGAACUUUCAGAAGGGUAGGGUGGGCCAGGCAGACAUAGGAACUUCGUAAAGGCAGUCAAAAACAGAGGAUAGAGAGCGCAUGAGCUUUCAUUCUGCUUCUGAAGCUUCAACUGUUCUAACAACACCUCGCACAUGGAGAUGGGCACGUUCCACUCGAAAAUAUACUUCCACUAUUGAGAGAAUUGUGGUUGGUAAGAAGAUUGGGAUCUCGUGUUGUUAUUUCAGUUAGGCUGAGCCGACUCACUUUUUAAAGAAAGAAAACUACCUAUCAUUCAGUUCCGCAGAAGCAGAAAGUGUUUGAACAUUGACUAUUCGACUUAUUAUCACAUUUACUAGAAAAAGAACUGACAUUCUUUCGACGAAUGAUUUUUUUUAAGAAUGGUAAUUGAACUCAAAACAAUAGUCCAAAAAGAAAACGGUAAAACGAAGGCUAUAAGUGGAUUGUGGAAGGUCCCGCGCUACGAGUGAUUGAGACUUGGUGAAUGCCACAUAAGACGGGCUGUAGGAAAGACUCGCUUAUGGAGGGCCUGGUCCUGAGCCUGAGUGAAAAGCCCAUUUAGACACUUCCUUCCCGAAGGAGAACUACUCUCGACGGCCCCUAAAAGACGGGGAAAGACAAUAAGCACACGUUUUGGAUCCAGAUUAGAGGGAAAGUGACUGACGGCAAAAAAGCCAGGUUUUCGUGAAAUGUUCCGUUUCCGAAGUCAAGUGAUGAGUCAAACUCUGUUGAUGCUACAAUGAUCGAUAAAACGUGAUUGUGAUAAGUAUAUUAUGGGAGGUAGAGUUCCGAGGGAGACUUGGUGAAUGCCCAUUGAUGAGGGGGCCUAGGCCUAGCUCAGGGGUCUGGUCAAACCUUCCGGACAAGUGCUUACGCUCAGCCUUUGCUUUGACUGCCCUAAACAUAUGGAGGUUUCGAUUUGCCAGAUUUGCCAGUUCGAGUCCCAAGAGGCUUCUUGCCAUCGCAUCGACUUCCUCAAUCUCAGUUCAUGUGUGCUCUCUUACCGAUCAACUGGAAGGGUCAAAGCAGCUUCCUAUGGAUGGGAGGGGUCUCAGUUCUGCCUUUGAAGCAAGGGGGAAAAAGGUACUCCGUCAUUCAUAGUUCGAGUUCAAACAGUGGUCUUAUCUUCUGAAUCAAAGAACACGGGUCAAAGACUGGUUGAUUGAUUCAUGAUUUACUGAAUCCGUGUCUUCUAGUGAAAGUGAAAGAGUCGAAUAGAACGCAUAAGUCGAAUAGAAAGAUGUUCAUGAUGAGUCGAAAUAGCGUAUAAAUGAGUUGCUAAGCAACGGGGAACGGAACUUCUCUCAAACAUCAGUCUUUGACUACUCAACCAUCGAAAGAAGGACGAAUAGUGGAAUAGGCAGAUGUUGCUGAAGGUCAUUUUGUUGGGGAGUAUGAGGGCAAGAUCGAUUCCUAUUUUCUCAAAAGAAUCUCCAGCUCAACCAUCUGCUUCGGAUAGUAUAUUAAAUGGACGACUGGCUUUCGCAAAUACAGGGGGUUCAUCCCCAGUUGCAUUUGUGGGUCCGUUCUCUUAGGUACCUUCUGUUGAUGCGGGGGACAACGCAAACUGCUUUCUAUGACGAUAUAAAGGGGAAGAGGUGCCGUUACGAGAACAAAGAAUAGAACCUACCUUGGCAAGAAUGAGCGGAAAGCCUCAGCCAGCCUAAGCUCUUUCAUUUCCACAUACGCAUGGGCCUUUGAAGCAAGGGGUCAUGAACGAAGAUAAGAAUCGUUCAAUUCAUUCAGUAGCAUAACAUUAGAAGCGGAUAAGCCGUCACUGCGUCUUGUUGUUAUAAAAGAAGAAGAUUAGCAAAAGACAAGAAGGAAUGAACAGAAAAAGACGAUUGAUUGAUGAAUGAACAAGAUCUAAUGAAUGCUUGAAUCAAAGCAGAGGUUUCAAUCUCAGGCCUUAUUUCUUUGGGGAUGAGAGGAGUGCUCUCUGAACUCACUCACUUUCCGCCUAGUCAUACGGAGUUCUUAGAGUAUAGGAGGAAUUCUUAAAUGAUUAUUGCCGUUAUCUAGUAAGAGUCCCCAUCCGUAUUGUAUUAUAUCACAUAAGUAGCUCCGGAAAGGGGACGACUUCUUUUCAAUAAAAAGUAGAAAGAACAACUCUAUAGAAGGAGAGUCGGAACAUCUUAGUCACUGACUGGUCAACCUUCGGCGGCAGGAUCGUUUCCACUUUGUUCAGCAUAUACUUACUACAGUCAAAGACAGAUCUCGAGAAAGAAGCACAUCACUGGUAAUGAAAGGCAAGCGCUUGUGCUUAAUAGAAUCUAUCUCGUUCGUCUCUCAAUCAAUUAGGUAUUCGAUAAAGAAGAAGAGUUUCCGUGCUCGGCUAUCUUUUGUUAGUUUAAGGAGUUAGAGUUCCAGUCUUUUAGAGAGCUGUCCUUUCCAGUGGGUCUUCCUAUGUUAGAUGGAGAUGAUGUCAAAGCACUAAAAGCAGAGCUUGAAGUUCUGCCUUUUUUGAAGCAAGGACCAUUUUCUUAGUCCUUUAGAACUAGCUAGUAGGGCAUCUUUACGUCAUUAGGAUAGCUGGGUACCGACAUCCAGCAGUAAGUCAGUUUGCGGCACAAGCUAGGUUUUACCGACAACAUACUAUUAAUCUAGAGUAGUACGUAAGGAAGAGUUUCAGGCGAGAGGGCAGGCAAGAAGACAUUCCGCUCAGGGACAUAAAGCACGAAGUAAUGAAUAGUGAAUGUGAAAAAAAAAAGGCUUCAAAGACUUUCUCGAUCAUCAGUCUAGUCUCGUUGAUAGUCAAAAGAGUCAAAGUAGUCGCUCUGUCAGCAAAUCAUCUCUCUUUUUUGCUCUAAGCAGUCGUCCAGUAGACUGAGUAGCCCGAACUGUCAGGCAAGUGUCAGGUGGUUGAGCAUUUAGGGGUGCAAGGAAAGCAGAUGGAAAGUCAGGCAGGGAAGGCAAAACAAUAGGGUAAGGGCUCCGGUUGUUAGUUUUGGGUAACUGUUAAGGCAGUCAAAGUAUAAAGAGUGGACAAAGAAUCCCCGUUCUCAGCUGGUUGUAGCCUCGGAAACCAGAAACCCAAAAAGCCAGUAGCUGAUAAAACCUACUAAGUCAGGGAAAGACGUAAGCAAGCAAAAAGAGCAGGCCGAGCUGUAAAGAAAGAAUAACGAUGUCGGGUCUUCGUCUUCGAGCUGUUCAGUAAGCAAGCAGAAAGGAAAGAUAUUCGGUCAGAAGCAGGUUGUUAUUAGAAAGCUAGAAAGAUAGGGUUCCUGCAGUGAACAGUAAGAUCAAGGACAUAAGCAGGAAAGGAAAGGACAUCACACAGAUAUUCUAUAGAAAAAAAUAUCGACAAGUGGAAUAGCCGAAGAAAGAGCGGCAGAAGGCCUAGUACCACCAGAACAGGAAGAGCAUAAACUCGGUUCCACAGAAAGGAGAGGAAAGAAGACAGGUUCGGAGCCGUAAGUAGCCUAGUCCAAUAUUCGGGGUAGCAAGUCAAGCAAGUAGGGGUUCCACGGUUCAAGGCAAGGUGACGGUAGUCAACAACAGUCAGCAAGCAAAGAGGAUUGGUUUUUCCUGUAAGACCCGUAAGACCAGCAUAGGUCUUAGGUUUUUUAGUAAGAUGCCACAGUCAGCCAGUAAUAAGAUAUAAGCAUGCAGUGGGAAAGUAUAGAAGAAAAUGGUCAAAGUACUUUUUUCUUGCCAAUGUAACCUAAGCAACAUUGUAGUUUCCCAGCCGGAUCUAGGUAUCGUUUCGCUUGUGCUUCUUUCAAGGGAAGCAUUUCGCAUGGAAGGCAAGAAGAAGAGAACUCAAACCUCAGGGAAAAGAGAAGCACUGCCAAUAGGUAUGAACUACUAGUAAACAUAUAUACUCCGGAGACUUAGCUUACCAAUUGAACUAGAUCGCUUUCCUCUCUAUUCAUUCGAACUAAGCUUUACUUUCUUUGCGUGCCUUCACAAGGUUAUCCGCGCUUUCCUUUUCAUUGUAUUUAUCCUCACCUCACUGCUUUCCGCGAGGGUAUGGAUUCCUGUGGUCUAUGGGCUGUCCCCUAUUGUAGGUAUUCCCACGCUGUCCAUUAUGUGCGGGCUUGAAAGAGAGACUCCAAUUCCAAUAAUGGUGCUCACACUACGGUAUGGCCAACUGGUCGGGAUGGCAGGAAAGAAAGUCUAAAUAAAGAAGACCUCCACUCCAAAGUACCGGGCAUUGUCAAGGCCUAGUCCUCCUUUCUUAGGUUAGACACCUACUCCUUCUUUCUUCGCUCGGAAUAGGAAUGAGAUCAGAAAUGCCAUCCUUACCAUAGCUUGAUACGAUACGUGGUGGCUAAGUACAAAAGAAGGUGACUGGAAUAAGAAAAGAAUACACUCUCUUUCUAAAUAGAAAUAGCAAUCCAGGGAAAGCGCACCUUAUCUAUCCUAUCCUCUAGCUUUAGAGGCUGCGACGGUGGAAAUAGAGGAGUCAUCAUCCGAUUGUAUUGUCUCAUCAGGGUUUCCAUCCGAACUAGCUCUUACAGCAAAGAGCAAUAGCUACCUUUUCUCUGUCAGUCCAAAAUCAAAGUCUCUCUCGCUAGCGAAACAUUCUACUCGCUUUCUCUCUUUCUAGCGGAAUUGCUGCUUGAAAGAAUUACCAAAAAGAAAAGAGGAACUUCCUUUGUGAAGAGGCCAGGACAGAUGGCUCUUCCACGGGGGAGAUCUGGUUUAUCCGCCAUCGCUAUCACAAAAAGACUUGAUGAAGUUAUUGUUUUCAUUUCAGUAGAGUGGCAAGAGCUCGUAACCCAGAGGCAUGAAUCCAAAGCUUACUUUGAUAGGCAUAGCAUUUUCCUAUUUCCGCGAGUCAGCCUGAUCCGUGCGCUGAUCCUUCUAUAGUAAGUAGGAAGACAAGAUCGCAAGGGAAUCAGUAGUUCCAUGCCUUCUACUUAGGCAACCCGAAUCCGCGUAUACCUACUCUAGCAAGAGAGCAAACUACCAACGGAUCCUUCCACUUCUGUAACAAAGGCUAAAAGGUGCGAACGAAGAAAGCUUGUUUGGGCUUUGAAAGGCUUCGCACCUACUUCUUGUGUCUCCCGUAAGUAAGAGAGCCGGGCGAUAUGAGGGAUUGACUUUCCUCAGAAAAAAGAGUAUCCGUUUUUUUGGUUCAUACCAGGGGAAUUCUCUAAGCAGAUCGUACUUUCUCUGUCGAAAUGCUUUCCGUAGCUCAGUACUGCUGUACUUACAUCUUGACUUAUUAUCCGGUCUUGUCGAACCAGUGAAUCUCUAUGCUUUCUUUCUUAGGCCGAACGUCAGGAGGGGGACAUGUCCUAUGUCCACUGACUCUGCUUUGAGUACAGUACUAGCUCUUACUCCUCUACUUCAAUGAGCUUUCCUAGUUAGAAAAGGAUGUUUCUUCACUCUUCUCAAGAGAAAGAGAAAGAAUAUGUUAACAGCGCUACGCACCUGUGAAAAUAAAUCUCCCCUGAACUCUUCUCUUUUGGAAUUAGACUGUCUCUCUUCAACAGCGUAUUCUAGCAAACAGCGGAUUCUCUGCAUCUAUAGAAUCUCUUUUCAUUGCAUACGAUUCUCUCCAUCUAUGAGUCUGAGUUUCUUUCCAAUUGAUAGAGGGAAUCUAUCUUUAGAUUGUAGAGGCAUAUUCAUAUGAAGUUAUCCCAAUAGGAAUGUGCAUAUGUAGGUCAAUCAGUUCCUUGCUUGCCUUACCCUUACUCUUCUUCGCAUCUCGAAAGAGAAAUCGCCUUUGAAACGAUAAGCGCUACGCCCCUCGUUGCCUAAUAGUUCUUGCUUCCUUAAUCAAUUACCUGCUGCUCUCCUUGCUGCUUUCCACUAAUGGUAUUCAAGAGUUGGAUAAAGUUUCACUCUCGAUGGCAAGGCUGGGGGAAGAUCGAAACUUCUAAGGGAUUCACCUCCUUCCGGAUUCCUUCUAGCGCUUAAGGUGCGUAGCGGAUUGACUAAGAGAUGGGGCCGGUGUUGGGAUACCUUUGAAGAUGACUCUGAGUAUAGGAAGGAAGAGGUUGGGGCUUUCUUUCUUUUCUCUCCUGUUUAGGAAGAUAGCAGGCAUCAAGACGAAGAGAGAAAUUCCUCUGAAUCAAAAAGGAAGGCUAGCGGUCAGAUCUAUCGGACGAAUCCCCGUGCGGGAAAGAAAGCGAGAAUCAGAAUGACUGUGCCAUUCUUUCCCAUCACUCUGAUUAUCAGUCUUAGAUGCACCAAAAAAGGCUCGAGCGAGAAGGCCUAUCUUUAAGCUAAAAAAAGAUGAGUUCCUGUGGUCUAAGCCCUCAAGUGUCAUCGGCCUUCGGGAUAUAGAAACCUUCUUUCACUUUAUUCAAUUCAAAGAAGCCUCAAGGCGACAUGGUUAGCAAGACAGUCAAGCAGGCAAGUUUGGGGUUUUCCUGCUUAUAAUUCAAUUAGCAAUAAGGGGUGUAUUUUCCACCUGUGCCUGGUGAAUUUCUUGCUGUCCCGGAAAGGGCCUAUAUAGGUACAUAUCUUUCCAUGGUAAGGUCUUCCCCUCCAGCCAGUUCUUGAACAUCUAAGCCAGCAGCUGGGGCUAGAACAAGGAAGUUUGACAGCUUUGACUCUCCCCCUUCGUUCUCUCCCUUUUCUUCUGGGGGAUUACUCGAAUAUGCUUUCUUCUCCUAGGGAAUAGGGUGCAUAGGCACGAAGUGAUUGACCUUCGAUGAGGAGUUGUCGCCUCUUCUAGGUCGGGAAGGGCUGUCAGUCCAUGCGAGUUUCCUGCGCUAACCCCUUUUCUGCGGUUGAAGUUGGAGUUGGAUUCUCUUUGCUGUCAAUCCUGCCGAGGGACUUGCUUCCAUACGAGCGCAUAGAAUAGAAUUGUAAAUGGAAAUAGAAUAGAAUAUAGUCAAUAGAGUCAGUCAAUAUACCUUUUCUUAUUCCAUAGGUGGGUGCGCCUAGAUUCAGCCAAGCCGCCACUUUGCAGUCAAUGACUGAGUGGGCUCAGUUCGAAUGAACUUGGAUCGAUCCAAUCUAACUCUUUUCUUUCUUCACCUUUUCUUGAGGAGUACCCCCUCUUUAGGAUGAAAAGGAAAGAAACCCUUGUGUAGUGAUACACUCUGCCAAAGGUAGUUGUGAGCCUUCUCCCUAUAUGAAGUGCCUAAUUGAUUAUGAAUCUAUCCUCAUUCUAUUCUUUAGUCGAGAAUAGGUUGCAUACGAGGGAGGGCCUUUUCUAUACGAUCGAAUACGGUAUGUUUCUAUUUUCCUUGCAGAGCCAGUACCAGGACUAAGAUAAGCCCUUCUAUCUCUUGGGAGUUCCGCCCAAGGCCAGAGUGUGAGACUAGCCUUACCUAAGGAGAGUUAUGCCCUUGGCGCAAGACAGUGAUCAGUCCAAGUUUGAAAGGUAUCCAAUUCAUACUCAAAAGGCCAAUCCAUCAGGCCCCUUAACAAAAGCAAGUUCAUUUUCAAGUCUUUACAUUAGUGCCUUUGAUUGCCCAUCCGAUCUAGUUUGAGUGGUAGUUCCAAGUGAUCCAAUCUAGGGGAUUUCCUUUUUAGCACUAUUUUUAUAAUGGAUUUCCCUUGUUUGAGUGGAAGUGUCAGUCCCAAGGCCAAGGCAAGUAGAAGAAUCUUUCUAAGAAUCCUCUUUUUUGGUAGGGCUAUAUCGAUUUUUUUCUUCCCUGGUGAGGCUUUCUAUCCUUCUUUCCUUGAUUUGCUUUCUCUCCAGACAAAGAAAGCAGUUAAUGAAGUGAAAAAGCCUUCCCUUCCAGCGUCAGUGUAAGAGUAAGAAGAAAGACGAUGUAAAACCAGUUAUCAAACUUGAGAAAGGAGGAUAGUUACAAUAGAAAAGAUCCCCUAGUCUAUCUAUAGAAUCUCCCCUUGAGCGAAUUGCAGUGAAAAGGGAAGCAAGUCCAAUUGCAAUCCUAAGGUCAAACCCUGAAGUUGCAGUGCCAGUUUCUAGCAAUACAGUAUCAGUGAGCUUUCUCCUUCCCCGGGGAUUGAUUUUGAGUUUCUCUUGGGGGUGUUCUUCCAGCUUGUCCUCUUCCCUACGGUUUUCUUGCUGUCUCUGGGAGGACUAAGGAAAGAUCCUAGUACUCAAGGUAGGGCUCUAGAGAAGAUUCCCUGAUAGAGCUAAGAUAACUAGAUUGAUUUACGCUUUCCUCUUUCUUUUUUAUCAUAUCUCUAUAGAAUUGGAACGAUUUCCUUGCCAGUGAUCAAACCUGAGUCUUUGAAGGCAGUGAUAAAGCUACUCUGAAUAUCGAGCUAGCAGGAGGAGGAGGUCUAUCAGUGGGCCUUUCCUUUCUCCCUUGAAAGCACUAUGAACGAGCUGGCAAGGCCAAUCCAUCAGUCAAGGCAGGCAAAGAAUCAAGCCGGGGGAGAAAUCUCAUUAGCCAUCGAGCUUUUCAUAUUGACUAAUACUGGAAAACCCUUUCCCAGCGGGGUAAAGUGCUAGGUAAAAAGCUAGGGAUAAAGCAUGUGAGAGGGUAAGCAAGAAGGACUAUUCCCUUAUUUCAAGUACUGUAACAUUCUUUCGCUUAUUUCCUGUUUUUUUCCAUGUAUAUGGGGUAUUGAAAGCCAUCCAAUUUCAGUCCAUCUUCUCGCCGAAGAAAGCCUCAAAAGCGCUCAAGGAUAAGUAAGUGAAGACAGUUAGAUGAGGGCAGGGUAAAUCAGAAAAAGGCAAGAAAGCCUGUUUUGGAAAGACUGCAGUAUCGAAUAAGCCAGAAACAGAAGUCUCUCUUUCUUUUCUUCCCUGUAAGCCAGAGCCUGUUGGAAUCAUAAUAAAAGCCCCUGCUUCUUUUUCCACUGCACUGCCAGUUGAAGUUGAAAUUGGAGUAGCUUUGCCCUUAUAUCCAGUCCAUCCCAUGGGAGUUGACUAUCCAGAAGGAGUCUUUGUUUGCCUAUUGUAAGACUCUUUCAAUCUGGCUAAGGCCUUUCAGUGUCCACCCUAAUAUGUUAGUGCUUGGCUCUAUCGAAUGACUUUGUCCCUUACGAGGUACGUCUUCCUUUCUCUUCUCAAAAUCCUAAGCUAUCUUCUAAAAAAAGUGGAUCUUCCUAAUCAAUAUUGCUUGAUAGAAAGGGAGUCUUUUGCCUCCUUCUAAGGUGUCUGUCAGGUUGACGUUUCCUUAUCCCACUCUAGUGCUGGGAGGAAGCCUUCUUUCGCUAUCGGGAUACGUUGGACUGGAAAAAGGCAAUGGCCUCCUGUACUUGGCCCGAGAUUCGUUGCCAAAGCUAAAGCAUUCGGGUAAACAUACAUACCCUAUAGAUUCCUUAGUCUAUGGAUAGUCCCUUACUCUGUAUAUCCUGUCAGUGCCUUACCUUGUCCUUGACUUGCCUUUCUUCCUUAGGGUCAAUCACUUCGUGCCUGUAGUCCCUGUGUAAGAAUCUUUCCUAAGGCAAGCGGGAAGCACUUCCAAUGAGAAUGGGAUAGUUGGCUCUAGGUCAAGCGUAGGAAGGAGUACCCCAUAAGCAAAAGAAGGGAAGUUCUAUCUCAUAAGCGAAAGAGGGGCAUCCACUUUUUCCACCUUCGAGCCAGUUGCUGUCCUUUUCCCUUUUGUUUUGUCAGCCAGUGCUUUUUGAAUAUCACUCUCCGAAAGCGACUCUUUUCUUUUUCACCAGGAAAGCCGGGUGUGGCGAUCCGAUCCCAGUUGAUUGAUCUCGACUUUACCAGCUCAUGAACGGCAUUCGUCAGACGUCGAGGAAACCGCUUCUUUUUCGCUUCAAGCAGAUUUCGAACCGGUGAUUGACAGAAAAAGAGGAUCGAUCGAGAAAAAGGGCACCCUCGGGAAGAGAUCUCCAACUGUCAAAAGUCAGAAGCUGAGAGAUAGCCCUCUGAAGUGGUAGCUUUUUAUCUACUUUCUUUCUUUAAAGGCGUACAUCCAGUCCAAGCAGUUGCUCCCAGCUAGCGGAAAAGGUGAAUGUGAAUAAAUUUAUAUAAGAAAGAUGCUGCCUCUUUCUUGCGUUGAAUAGUAAUCUUGGGUAAUGGGCAUAGGCCCAGAUCAAUAUCUAUUUUGAUUUGAAACUGAUAGAAAGAAAAAGCCCCGCCUCCUGCGGUGGGAAGAGAACGAAAAGUGUUAUUACAAGCUUUGAGAGUCCCGGAGUUGAGCUGUUUGAGUGGACAUGAGUAGUUCUUCACUUCAGAGUUUUCUUUGUUAGGAGUAUUCAUCUCUUAAUAAACUGAACCAGUCGCUUUCUUCUAGGAAGCGGGUCCUUGCCUUCCCUUGAGCGUAACACGGAAUUGAUCGAUUUGAGAAGUUUGCUACUGGCACGCCCCGCAGGUCCUUCUAUUUAGUCCAUGAGGGUUCUCUCGGCGCUGCUUUCAUUCUUGUUCACCAAGACGUAGCUGAUCCGAUCUAAGAAGAUGAUACUGACCGCGCUGAGGAGUUGGGAUCUUGAGGUGACUACCCAGAGGAUGUAGAAACAAUCAAAGAUCUUAUUUAGUGCCUACCUAUAUUCCAUACAUAUAAAAGCAGCGGGCAAGGCUUAAAGUGAGAGCUGCCCGAUCUUGAAGCUUUAGUUGGAGGACGGUAAUCUGCUUCACUUGGUUUGUUGUCGGUAAGAGAUCUCUAAUUCAACAUAUGUCAGAGUGGGAAGGUACGAGCUGAAUAGAGUGCACUAGUCCAUUAAUUCUAGCGACAGCUUUUAUUUAUAGUGUUGGAAGGACCUUGAGAAGGCUUUGGCCUUACCUUCUAGUUCUAAUUCAAAGGCUCGAUCGAGCUCAAUUAAAUUAAUUCAAAUUUCAAUCCCGAAAGUCUUUUAUUUUAUUUUAAGGCGCGUAUACACCUAUUCUCUCUUGAAUUUUUAUUGUCAGUAUACAACCCGUUACCAGAAUGCUCCCAACAACGGGAAAGAGAGCUGGUGUCAUUGGGGAAGCCUUCGUUUAAGUUGCAGGUUUGAUUCGUUCCUUGUGAGCGUUAGUGAGUGGGGAAUUGUAAGCUUUGAGCUUCAACAGGUUAUACUUUAACAUUAGCUUAGCAAACAAAGGGCGACCAGAAAAAAAAAGGCUUUCCUUCCUUUUUCCCUUUGACAUAUAUCCCAAGUACUUCUAAAUAGAACUAGUGCCAAAGGUCAGUCAAUUACUUUAUAAAAGAGAUGCUAUUACGCCUCCUGCGUUGCCAUCUUCACGAAUGAGACUGAACCAUCUUACAUUGUCCGAGCCAAGCCAUCGGAGGAGAGUCAGGCCAUUCCAGGAGAAUGGAAAAUAGCUCAAGUGGGCUGGGGACCAGCCCCGCUAGAUCCAGAGCAUCCGUAUAGGCUUCACCUUGUACUCCGCUUGUCCUCAAAUCAUUCAAAAGGGACUCAAGAAAAGGGAUAUUGUCGCUUUCCCCAUGUAAAGCUUCGGCCGCAGCCAUAACAUCUUCGGGACUCCUGUUAAUCAUCAACUCCCCAAAUUUAUCGUGUAUAUCAGAUUGAAGCUCUACUAUACGUUCACUGGAAGGGUUAAGACCCGGAUGAUCCUAAAAAAUACCAUGAGAAGAACCCUGAGUGCCGGAUGAUUGAAAACUAUAAUCGUUAAUAGUAGUAGUAGUCGUCGUGGGUUCACUAAGUGAAUCAUUCCAAUUAGCGGUCGGAUUCAAAUUAUUCGAAUUACUACUAUUCAAAGAUGAACUAUCAGAAAUGAAGAAGAUCCUGGCGGAAGGAAAGGGAAUCAUAUUUUUUUGACAUUCGAAUUCCCUCCAGACAGCUUAACUCCGUCAAGCCUGUAGGAGUAGUGAAGAAUUAUAGUGAGUUGUGGUUGUUGACCAAGCAAGGUCGCACUGAGACUGAGAACACCAACGGAACACUCUCUUACCCCCACUGACCAGCUAGUGUGCAAUGACGACCGGCCCGCAAGCUACUCGAUUUUAUUUUCUUAGCUGCUCUGGAUUCUAUUCUAGAUGCUACUUACUUACUUUUCUUUCACAAGGUAGCGCAUCUAUAUAGCAUAGCUGAAAGCGGACAAAAAAAGCUGUUCCCAUAGCGUUACGUAGGCUUAGCUUAGCCUCUUUCUCUAUCUAUAUUUAUAUAUGAUAAUAUCACCAGUGGACAGCGAAGAAAAAGAGAGGGUGCACAGAGGAGAGGUUAAUGGUUGAAGGCUGGGCCAAUAAAGAAAUGAAAAGGUGGGCAAGGAAACAAGUUGGCCUUGGUUGAGAAAUUCACUAAAGUUAAUCAUAUACUUAUUAAUUCUUUGAACACCACUACUCUUCUCACUAAGGUUUAUAAUACAGUUAAAGUCUCCUAUAAUUAACCAAGGUUCAUUCUGUGUAGGCAUGAUAUUGAGGAGCUCAAUCCAAAGCUCCUGCUGUUUAUCCUUUUGAGGGUACAUGUAUAAGAAAGUAGCAAACCAGAAAAUACCAUUACCAACUGAAAUUUGACAAUGGAUGAAACGGGGAUGAGUCCUAAGGAUACAAAGAUCAAUGUGGGACUUCCACAACAGGAGAAGCCCACCAGACUGCCCUCUAGAAGGGACUGACAGAUUACAAGCAAAAGGAAAACGGGUUGCUAACAAGCGAGCACCCUUUUCAUCCGUACGGGUGUCCUGGAUGAAUAGUACAUCAGUUCGCAAAAAGCAAAAAUCAAACGUCGGAUUGAGUGGCCCAACCUAACCGGCCACUACCUUGACAAUUCCAAGCUGUAAUCCUCAUGAUUAAUCCUCAGAGGAAGAGAGGUUCUCAACUAUGUCCCUAGAUCGUUUCUUGGGGCUGCGGUAACUAGUCCCUGGGUCAUUAGAAGGUCCAGCAAAGGGGAGGGGUGCACUCAUAAUGGCUUCAUUAGCUAGAUCCAAGGCAGAGUCCUCUUCCUGGAGCAGUAUAUCCAUUGGCAAAAUAUAUGAGCUAUAAAAAUAAGAAUCCAUAAAAAACAUUCCAUUUGACAUUGUCAGAUCCUCUUUAGGUUCCAGAUUACUAAGAUUAUGCAUACGGAUAGAGAUCAUCUAAUUCCAAGAAAUCACCUUCAAGACAGUAUUCAAAAAUAUUCUUUCUUACCAUUUCCGGCUGAGGAGAGUUAACUGGGGAGUCAGAGAUAACUACCACUGGGAUAGCAUCAUUAGCUCUUGGAGAUCCAAUAGGCACCCCUGCUGCAGCUGCACUGGAGCUACCAGCAUAAGCAUUCAUUCCUGCUGCAUCCCUGUAGGAGCGGCCAGCUCUGAGUCCAGAGUGAGAAAUUUGGGAAGACAAUCCUCCACGACCAGGAAACCUGGAUUUUCUUCUCACUGUAGUCCAACCUUGGUCAUCUGGGUUGUUUCCUUGCUCAGCUUCAUUAGCAACAGUAUUGGUGCGACUUGCCAACGGACCCUGAUUAGCACUGGGGAAAAACCAUGAUAACAUCAUCAGAUACAGAACGCUGCAACUCAGGAGUGAUAUGAGUGGUCUCUGGGAUAAUCCUUGGUUCAGAACGGAGUCUCUCAGCCAAAAAGAAGUGCUGAUCAGGCUCCUUUCUAGGGCAGUCUUCAAAGAAAUGAUCAAUUCCUCCACAGUAGAAGCAACACUCAAAGAAAGAUUCAUAAUUAAGGUAGAUUGUGACACUCUCGUUAGCCCAUUCCAGUUCAAGGCACCUCUUUAAGGGACGAGAGAGAUCCAGCUGCACACAGGCCCGAGCGAAGACACAAUGUGUCCCCUCCAAGGAAGCAUGAUCCACUUUAACAAACUGACCUACCACAGAAACUAGCUCAGCCAAGAUUCUUGCAUCCCACAUCUGAAGGGGGAAGCCUAACCCACACAAGAACACUUGUUACUCGAGCUCUGGCCGGGGUCCCCCUCCGGAGGGAAAAAAUCUGGCCCUUGAUAAACCAAGGUCGGUUCUACAGCACAUAAAGCAAGUCCUCCUCGCACGUAAACUCAACCUUAUACCAGUCUCGCCCAUAGUGGAUGAUGGAGACAUCUCCUUGCAGACCGGACGAAUUCAACAAACAAUCUUUAUUUGUUGCUCCCAGUUAUGGUGAAUUAUUUGUUCAAAGUUCCAAUGCAUAUUACAAAAGUCUUUUGUUGAUUAUCUGCAGUUGUUUUGCAUUCAUUUAGGUGUGGUAGUGGCUAGUUUGGAGAAGGGACUUUUAUUUCAUAACCUCUGCCACAGACAGUUGAAAAGCUAUCACAUGAUCUCGUUGCGUCAUCAUAUUAUCUUUCUUACAGAAAGAAAUUUGUAACAUUAUCUAUCGCCUAGAAGUGAAAUAUGUGCGUCAGUCUAUACACUUACUAGUUACUAUUGUCAGCAUCUAUUGCAUCCCUAUGCCAAAGAUUCUGUCAUUUGCUAUUUGUGUUGUGUAUGGUGUGUUGAUUUUAAGGUUCUGUUGCGUAGCAUUUUAUGAUAUCACUAAUAUAAUAUAUACACUCUUGAAGGUAACUUAAAGAGAGUUGGUUGACAUCUAAUCUUUCAUGUUCAUGCUGCAUAGUUAUAUCCUCAUCAAGUGUGGUUGAAUCUUGUGAAAAAGAAUUAAUGGUUGAAGUCACAGGUUCUUGCUGAUAUCUUCCCAGAGAAACGCCUCUCUGGAAGCUACAAAGGUGUAUCACACACUGGGUGUUAAAGUGCUUGCCUGAUCUUUUGUAGGUGUGAUGCUAAAUUUCCUUUUGUUUCUGUGUUAAAGCGGUUGAACCGCAGAGACAUAACAUUUCCGAACGGCAAGGUUCUUUAUUGAUGGAGUUUUCUUGGCUGCCCCAUUUAGUCUACUAUUCAACCAUUCAUUCUUAUUGAAUCUCUUCUGCAUCGACAUUCAUUGAAUCAGGAUAUUCCGAGAAAGUGGUCCCUCUGGAUGAUUCGGCCACAGACUGAACAUCAUCCUCUUCUUGCUGAAGCAGAUGCUUCCCACACUCCAGAUCUAGACAUAAACUACAGCUAAAGUGACCCUCGGAGUAAUCCUGUCUUGAAGCGGGUUCAAAAGAUCAACUCUAUAGUAUAGGGUUUCGGUUGGUUGUUCCAAAGCAGUUCAAAAGCUUAGCCGAUGACUCUCUCUCUUUAAUAGAUUCCCAACCUUGCAACUUACUCAUUUAGUGAAGAUCUAUCGACCUUUUAUUUUUGUAAGGCUCAGCUUUCUACAGACCGAGGGGUGGAGGAUCGUUUUGAGUCUUAUGUUCUGGCGGGUAUCCAAUCCAUUAGCUGAGAUGUCAAGCCUACACCUUUGUCUAUUACACCGAGAAGAAUUAGUAGAAUGAAGAUGAGGAGUAAGAGCUACCCCACAGCAUAUUACUAGCUUCUUGGCAUAUAGAUCACGGCUGAACGCGGAGAUCAUAAUGGGGGGCGUGGUACCUAGCCCCGGUCAAUGAGCAUGCCCCCGCUCUGACCCCUCUCGCGUGAACGGUAAACGCGUCUAACCUAUCAUAAAAAAAGAGAAAAAAAAGGGAAGCAGCGCCCUAUCAUCUAAACCUUCUAACAUGGUAGACAGGCGAACUGGGGGAGAUCCAAUUAGCCAUGUGGCCCUGCCGAGCCAUUCCGACAGCUAGUCGUUACACUUCGGAGCUUGCCUGAAGCUUAAUUCAUUAGUUUUGCUUGCGAGGUCUCAAACUAACAGAGGCACAGAUGCGAAGGCCGCAGGAAAACGUCCAGUAGGGAUCCGCUCUACCAUAAAGUUUUCACUUCACUUUCUCGACCACUGCGUGGACAUCUGCCUCGCCCGCCUACCCCUUACUCUACCAUUAUUAGAGGGCUAUUCCAUUAGAGAGGUAUGACCCCUCGAACAAAAGACAGACUUGUGAGCAUUUCAGUAUACCACUUCUCAAAGAAAUAUCGGAAGAAUAUAUUUAUCACCUAACUCCUAGAUGUUAUAUUCCUAACCUAAGGAUUCCCCUCUUAAAGCACCUUCGUGAGAAUCUCCUUAUCGCUUAGAUGUCACUUUAUUCCGAAAGUACGAGUUCAGAGAUAGGAUCUUAGCCGCUGCAUCCGAUGCCGCUACUGGAGAAGUCAGAGUCAAAACAGUCCCUAUACUCUUCCAUUCUUGCAUGACUGGACCACUAAUCCUACGUAAACUGCAUCACUUGAUCCGGAGACCGCUGUAUCACAUCCAGAUAAAGGUGGUGGGAUCACUAACUCUGUAUAUAAGCUGUAGAAUGCUCGGCCGCUCUAGUACACAUGCUAGUACACCGAAGCGAAGUCGUCAAGCAAGAGUCUCCUUAGGUCCUCAAUCCUCUGGGCGACGCUCGUAUGUGGAUAAAUGGAAGGAGCUCCUUCAAACAGAGGGAAGGAAAGCCCUGGCUCUAACGCUCUGCUCUGGUCACCGAUGGCUAAGUCAGACGUUGUGAAACCGGCUCUGGCCUUCGCUUCUUUACUUCGAAUUCCGAUGAUCUUUGACUUUCCCCCCAUUAUACAUAUUUAUGUAGAAGAAUAGAAUUCGAAUCAAUGAAUUGAGCCUCUGUUCGCCUACCUUGUUGGAGUUUUCUGCAAGAAUUUCUGUAUUUCAUAGAGAUGGGGUUGGUGUGCAGUGUACUAUGGUACAAUAUCUCAAAGGGAAGCUUGCUUUCCUGUUCUAAUACGAGUUCUUUCCCCUUGAAAGUCGGAUAGUCGGUCGAUUCUCGCCCAGUAGAACUCAGAGCGCGAAGAGCUGCGGCUUGUUCUGAGUCGGUCCACGGUAGCCUACCUAAGACCCUUUCCCUACUUUCAAUGUUGGAGAAGCCAACUCACGUCUGAGUUCUUUCUUUCAUUCUUUCAAGUCAGCAAGUCGAAGCUCAAGGACGAAUGAGUUCUUGAGUCAGCAAGCUUUCUCCUCUUUGGCCCCCUUUCCAGCACCAAGGUACCAAAAAAAGCGAAGCGUAGCGACGAAAUCGAAGAAGAGAAGGAGAAGGGAGCUUACUUCGCUUAGAGAGACUGGAGAUCGUAGUCUCAAUCCUAACCUCAUAGAAGGUCUUUUCAUGGUAUGCCUUCCUGGCUCGUAUGAUUGUGUUGUCUUCCUCACGGGUAUUCCCAUAUCGGGAUCGGGGACCAAGACGAAGCGUAGUACCAUACCCGAACCUACCUCUCGCUAGUCUUACUGAUUUUUCCGACUUGGUGGUGGAAAAGGGAAUAAAGCAUGAUUUCGAACUACACUAAGGUGCAGAUAAACUCGUUAGCGGGAAGAACAACGACUAGCAGUACGAGGAGGCGAUUCAGCAAGAGAGGCACACCUCCGCUAUUGACCCGAUCAACUUGUUUUGACUCGACAAAACCCAAUCUACUCGUAUCUGUUGCUCCCCUUUGAAAAUCGAGUUCAUAAAAUGAGUUUUUCUCUUUGAAAAGGUGGAGAGUUUUCGUAUCUUCUCCCGAGAAGGAAUGACCUAAGUUAAGUAAGUGGUCAUCAGUUGUAUCUUCCCAGAGAGAUAGCUAGGCUCGCAGGCACAGCCCUCUGUUGUAAAGGUAUUUUCCUCGCAUGAGCAAAGAGCAAGCAGCUUACUUACCUAAGAAAAAAGGGCAGGAUUUGAUUCAUAAACUCUUGGAUAGAGUGGUUGGUUUGGGGCGUCAGAUGAGGGAUUAGCUUCAUUGAACUGAAAGGGCUGGUCGAAAGCUAAAGCAGUACGAGGAAAUCAGAGAAAAAGGGCAAGUAGGUCGGCUUCAAAAAGGGCUAGGGUUGCUUUCUCUGUUGGUUGAAUUCGCCACUAGGUGGAAUCAGACCUUCGGCUCUCGAUUGCUGCUUGAUUACCUAUGUCGCUUGCGUUAAGCUUUCUUUCUGCCGCUUUCAGUUCCGCACCAAAUCGUAGCAAAGCGCAGAUGCGGUAGCCAUUUUUGAAAGCUGCCCGUUAGCUUAGUAGCUGCGAGACCUGUCAAGUUCCGCUCUUCCCACUUCAUCCUGCAAGCCUAUACUUCUUGCUUUGAUGGCUGUCACUGCAAUCGUUGGAAUUGGUUGGUCGCUUGCUUGAUUGGAAGGACUGCCGCUUUUCUCUCUUCGCUUAGCUUGACUGAUCGUGUAGCAACGAGCUGCUUGAAUCUGAAACCUGGCGCAUUCAACCCUAACAAGCAUGAUCGGCCAUUUCCCGAUUGAACCAACACAGCUGUUCCGCUUCCCCCCCACCUACCUUCCCUGAACGAGCUCUUUCUAUCCGUUUCUUUCCCUUACUUCCCUAAAAGCUGGAUCUAUCUCUUCCUCCGAGUCGUGCCUCACCAAAACUCGUGAUUUUCUGACAGUCGUGACAUCGCUCCGCCAGACCCAGUGUGGACCAGGAGGGUAGUGACACUUGUCGUUCAAGAUAAAGGGGAACGAUCCGCUUUGCGAACCACCACCAGUGAAAUUAGUCGUCCCUUUCCAUCCUCCUAUUUGUAGCUCCACCUGGUAAACUGGAGCUUUUAUGGACAAGCUACUCUGGAGACUGGGCACUAACCCAGAGUGCCUGCUCAAGUAAUGAAAGACAAGUGCUUCCCACAGGAAUCACCGCUAGCGGCUACAGUUAAACCAUCUGCCUCCUUCGACUGGAGGUCAAUAGCGGCGGCCAAAUCGAUAGUCCUUGAGGGGAUCUCUUACUUCAUUGGAACGGGAACUGACACAAAACUAUGGAUAGAUCCCUGGUUGAACGGCUCACCGUUGAUCCACCAGCCAUCUAGGUCCCACCCGACCGCAGUGGAAAGGUUUCAGUCAGUUAGCUCAAUCAUAAAUAGAUAAACCGACGAGUGGGAUAGGAACCAGAUUCUCCACCGAUGGAAUGAGGACAUAGCAAAUCAGAUCCUAGCUAGAGAGCGGCCCCUUUCGAACCAGAGUGUCUUCACUGGGGGGAAUUGGCUUCUAUUCGGUAUUUGGUUAGUAACGCUUUGCUUACCUUGAAGAGCCCUUCAGUGAUCUUUCUUGGGAAAGGUUUCCGAUCCGCGAGCACCCUGCACACUGGAUCGUAGGCAGCAGUGGCCGACCAGUAGGUCUUUUGGGCAUUCGGAUUCGGAAGUUAGAGACUCAAGAGGUUGCUUGCCUGUGACUGGCUUAUUGCUCUUAUGGUAGGGCAGUAGCAAGAAGCCUCCAUAGGGGCUUUAAUGCGACUCCUAUGACUACUCAAUCGAUUAGCAUAAAAAAAGGGAAGAGGAUUUAUCCCGGUAACCUAGCUCGCUUCGCCGCAUUCGGAAGGAGAAAGGUUUGUUCUCUAAUGUGAUAUAUAAAAAAGUAAUUAAAGCUUGCUUGAAAACCUCGUUAUUACAGAGCGGUGGCUCUGGAACAUUUUACAGAGAUAAGAUAACUGUCUUAGUACUGCUUUAAGUGGCAGUAUCCUAUGCAACUCUCCCUAUGCUUAAUCUCUUCAAUAAUUGCAGACACCCUAUCUUUAGGUUUCAGUUUCAUUCACUCUUUUCCAUCUCGGCCUUUCCAUUUCCUCCCAUUUAUUUCAACUAUUUCUUUUGAUAAAAACGAGAAAAUAACUCCCACACGUCGAACAGGAAAACAUCUUCACUUAAAAUCGGGAGCCGGGAGGGCGGCGAAGCCAGUCUUGUGGAGCACCUUCCUUCAGUUAAGGUGUGAGCUAGGUAUGUGUCUGGCGCUGGAAAGCCUUAGAGAGCAGCUUUGUCUUAAGCAUAGAGCUGGGAAGGGCCAUCUUAGGAAGCGGAUCUCUUUGCUGAGGAAGGCCAUAUCCUAAGAAGCACUGAAUUAGACCCCUUGGGAAAGCCCUAAAGGCAGAAGGGGCCCUUGCUUCAAAAAAGAUCAUGUUGCACGCUUUGGAGCGAAGAAUUUUGUAGAUAACGAUCAUGCUCGUGCCGACCGCGCGUUAGGUGAAAAUGGACAUCACCGAAAGGAAAGACCACAAGACCGGGGCUGGCGCGAGGCAGGAAGCUACGAUGCCGCGUUACGAUCUGGUGCGACGAUUUCCGAUAACGCAUUCGAACGAUUGUCACUGAUUUGAUUGGACUUCGUAUCUAAGGCACUUGUUCCGCUCCAAAAACCGAUGCCUUACCACUUGGACUCCAUGCGCAGUCUGAGAUAUAAAACCACCUGACCUUUCUGAGUCGCUUACUUUAGCUUCCCCUCCCACCGUCCAUGGAAAAGAAUUCCUUUAUUCUUCAGCCUUAAAAGCUUGUUGUUAUUCCUUCCCCGAGCAAACCUUCUCUGAGCCAACAGCCCGAUCCAUCUUAGUUCGAUUAGGAAGUCCACGCACAACGAGAGCGAAGUCAUGCGAACUCAGAAGCAGCAGCAGCAUUUGUUCCGUUUCUGGCUGGCCUAUAUUGCUUUCUCAUCGCGGUAUACUUGAAAUCAAUCUUUGCCUAUCCGAUGGAAAGCGAAUCGAAGUUGCUUGCGCGCUUCUUUGCAGUGCUGUUCUCUACUGCAUCUUAUCUAGGACCCGAUGCUUCGUCUCUUGUUGCUGCUUCGGCGGAUGCACUUUGUCUAGGAACCCAUUUAUCUUAUUAAGUAUCAACCGAUGGAAGGGGGUCUCCCUGUGCUUCAGAUAGGGACAGAGCUCGAAACUCCCCAGCGAAUGAGGUAAAGACAGAAUGAACAGUUGGUCGGGCAAGGAUUCCGGUUGAAGCAGAUCCAUCCUAUGCCUCAUCAGUCUCUGGCGCGCGUUGAGCUUUUUUCUUCCUUUCCGUCUUUAAACCCACCUCCCUAUACUGCGAAAUGAGUUUCAUAAUCAGUUGCAAAAGAACUAGAAUGAACACCAUCUGGAGCUAUGUGAAGUCUCACUGGUUAACUUCCUGGUUUUCGAUAUGGGUAUAUAUAUAUAUAUAUAAAGGUAUCUCAAUUCACUUAUUGUUAAGCAUACCGGCGUCUGCACGGGAAUGGAAGGCUGCUGCUCUGUCUGCCAUCGAGUUAUCGGUUUCACAAUAGCAUUUCUCUUUUGCAGGUCAUUCAAUAUCUGGUUCGAAAGGACCAUGGAGGGCGAAUCGAGUCUCAAAUGGGCAUCUGAUACAUGGGGGGGUUCCACCACUCUUCCUUCUGGGUAACUGACAAAUGUUCCCUCAUUCGACUCACCAUCUCUUUCAUCUUUGGUCUUCGCUCAGGUAGGUCUUCCUUUUCCCAAGCACAGACUAAGAGCACAGCUUGGUCCCAACAAUCAAUCUUUAGGAAGAAAGCAUCGACAUUGCGUGGUGUAUGACGCUCGCCGAGCGGGAGAGAAAGUGAGAGAGAGUGCAUAGUGCGGAUAGCGAAUAAAAGGCCGUUGAGCGUGUUGGAUAUGGGUUAGGAAUUGCACCACUGCGUCCUUUUCCUUCUCCAGAGAAGGAGUCCUUUGGCUCAAAAGCAUCCUCACACGCUGUGUCAUCUGCUAAGGGAAGAGUGAGGCUAGAGUCAUAUAGUAAGAAAGAACACGCCUGCUUUUUGUUCGUAGGAUAACUCUUGCCUUGCCCCUUUGCGACGUGGAUGCGACGACUCUUUCCUUUGAAUGAAAGACUGGCGGGAUCGGCUUGGAUCAAAAGCCCUUCUAUUACACUCACUUUUUCUCUACUUAAUAGGUUGCUAAAAAGAUGGGGUGCAACUGGUCCCCGAGCAACAACCUAGUUGGGCUUUGGUUUCUUUAGGACUAGAAGCCCGUUAACCCCGAGAUUCAUAGCGCAGCCCCUACAUUUGCUAUUCUGAGUCUAUGCUCUGUCCCUAUCUGAAGCAGCAGACGUUAACAAGCGGACGUAAGAAAAUGUUACUGAAAGGAUAACGUCUGCACCGUCUUAUCUAUAGCCGCUCUUUCCUAUUGAGGUUCUUUGUAAGAGAGCCAUCUUAUGAGUGAGAGGCAUCAGACGCUAGCUCAGAUGAUAAGACGUAGCAGCUGUUAGCUUUUAGCUUCUUCAAUGUCUUCCCUCUCAUAGAUGAGGAGACGCGGACGUUAAGACAAGAGACUCUAGCUGCAGCAGCUUGCCCUUCCCUGGCUACUGGUCCCAAGGCAUCGCUCUUAGUAGGAGGACAUCUUAUUCAAGAACAAAUUGAGUAAUAGACUAGCGCCUCUAGUCUUAUUUCCCUCGGGGAGGGAGCCUUUAUCCGACCAAAAACAACCUAGUGUAUGGGCCAAAAAGAACUACUUCUAUUUAUUGCACGAAAUGUGCAGCUACUAGAGGGGCUGUCCUACAAAGGAAAUGCACCAAUGACUGCCUAUAGCAGAUAGUCAAAAGGAUGAACAACCUAUUUUGUUACACUCACUUUUCUCUACUUAAUAGGUUGCUAAAAAGAUAGGCGGAUACUAAGCAAGGAGCAACCCAUUAUAUAUAUUACCACCUAUUUUUGUACAAAAUCCGUUCUUGAAUAAGAGAGGUUCUUACUAUAAGAGAAUUCCUACCCUACCCGGGAGAUGACCCUUAUCCCACUAGCUCCAGAGGUUUGGAUUACUCAAUCACAUAUUGGACUAGGGAAGCCCCUCUUCUUCUAUUGCUUUGCUCGGGGGCUAGCAGCUCGUCCUCCAGACGCAGACGGGGCAGAGCUCCUACUAAUAGAUAGAAGGUAAGAACUGGGAUCCUGAUUUCACACUAUACGAAAGGCAAAGCGAAAGACCACUUAGUUAACCACCAGCCAAGCAAAGAGAAGAAGCUACUCACCGUUGAGGGCGAGGAGCUAUUCUUUUGUACAUAUACUCGAUCUGGAUCUACUAAAAGAGGAAUGACUGACUUCGGAGCUUACCAUACCAUUUUGCCAAAGGAAAGAGAGUAUGCAAGAUGGUAUGAGACUCUAUUAACAUACAGACCUUUUUCCAAAGAAAGAGAGUAUGCUAUAAUGGUCUGCAUCUGCUAACUAGCUACUAGAAAAGUAGGCCCUUAUCUCAUUCCUAACUUAGUCUUUCAUGUCGGGCCGGGGAAGAACCACUUUAUUUAGUUAGUUCACGAGUUAGCAAGAUCAAUAGGGAAAGAGCGGAUAAAAGAGCGGAGAUAUCGGUUGCGGUUGCCGCUGCAUAGCUUCCUGUCGGAGAGGAAUGCCAAAUACAAGCUACCUAGCUCAUAUGAGAAAGGGAGGACCUUAGCCCAAGCCUUUCCAAUGGAGCGAAGGGAGGCAAACUCCCGUAUCAAGCAAGAAGCACACUGAAGGCUCGAGAGAGAGACCUCUUGAUGCCUGGAAGAAAGUAGAUCCUUUGGGGGGAUCACAGACAGGAUAGGCGCCCUGCCUAUCCUGUCUUUCCUCUGGGGAAUGGAUUGAGUCUUCUGGGAACUAUUAGCCAAAGGUCUAGGUGUAGUUAUCAACUCUGCUACUGAACUAUCUGCUAGCAGCUUUGUUCCAAACCUUGAUGUCGAGUCAGUUCCUCCGUAAGCUACUGGUUCAGCUACAAAGCAAGACUCCUGAGAGCAUAUUUCACUCCUUUCCUAGGUUGCCACUCCUCUGCCGACUAUCUCUUUGUGGAAAGUGACAAUUCAAAUAACUAAGUAGUUUCCUGUGACUAGCGCUAUCAGUUCCAAACUUUCCUGCAUCUCUUUCAGUUGAGGUGGAAUCUAUAGAAUAAGACUUUCCCUUGGUUGGAACAAAACCGGAUAUCCUGAUCUUGGAUCCAGGUACUUUUUUUGAUUCUAAUACAGAUUCAGUUUGAAGAUCUUUAUUCGGUUGAGCUAGCUUCUUCGCUGGCAGGGCAGGACUAUUACUGUUGCCCCUAUCGGGCAGGUUUCAGGGGAGUACCCCCGAACCCCCUUAGUUACACUCCGGACUACCACUCUCCGAAACGGAAAGAGAAAUACAACUUAUUUCAUUAUUUAAAAUAGAGUCAACCCAUGCGCCUUUCGCGGGGUGAGCAAAAAGCCUUUCCCUGGAUCCUGGUAUGAACUCACAAAAAAGCAUUUACCCGUCGCCUGCUUCAUCUGCAGAGCUUCCUCUUGUUCACAGCAAAGAGAGCAGAUUCGUUCAAGCAAGCUAAUCACAUUCCCCUUUCUAGGGUAGGGGUAGGGUACUCUUUCAUUACUAUCUUUUGCCACUCCUACAGCUGAGUCAACUACCUGUCUUGGAGCGAGGGCUAGCCUUAUCUCCUGUGAUAUAAUAAUGAAUAACUACGUGAACGAUCGAUUUCUCAUCUAUAAGGAUGCCUUUAUAGACGUGAAGAUUGAGUAGUCACAGACCUCGUUGGAUACCGCGAAGAUUAAGUCUCUUUAGUGACAGGAAGAUCCUUGGAGCAUAGCCUAGCAAACUAUGCUUGAGAGACCCAAGCUUCUACUUCACUGCCCUUCUUUUCGAUAGAAUGACCAUGAUAGGGGGAUAAGGAAUGCCGGCCGGGGUGCCCGUCUUAAGCUUUAACCAAAACCUUACUGGAGACUUAUCUUUCUUUCCGUCCUUAACCGACUCCAAAGGAUACGGGAAAGCCUAGGAAUGGCUGAACUUAACCCAAUCUUCGCAAGAAGAGGCAAUGUCAAUUGUAUCUGUGCUCCAUUAGGCUGGAUUCGCUUGCCUUGCCUUACUAGCAAAUGUGUAGAUCUAGUAGGUACAUAAACAAAGAACGAAAGAAGGAAAGCACUUUUAGAUCGGUCGUGAACCAGAAAGAAUGAGCCGCUUCAAUACCAAAAGGAAGAAAGAAGCACUUGCUUCUUGAGCUGGUACAACAACUCCAGCAAAGCAAGAAGGAUUAGCCGAUUAGAAGGCAUGGCCAAGGGUACUAAAAGCAGAACCCCAGUCCCAAGCUAUAGGACGACAAAUGAAUUAGGCGCUGACUCCAAGACUGAUACGAUAGGCUUUGAGUCAUCAGUUUUAGCCCCUAGACGAGAGGGCUAUGGGUAUAGACCCGAAAGCACCUUCACUGGCCAUGGACUACUCAAUCAAUCGGACAACCCAGCCCUCGCUUCACCACUUCCAAGACUGAAAAUCCAAUGAUAGAAGAAUCAACUGCUGCUCCUGCGCUUACUCCAAUCAAAAGGAGUGAACAUGAACCUGACUUCGAAGACUCCCGGGCAGAGGCUAGCCUCACACACGAAUACAAAAAGACUGACAAAGCAGACAACUCAAGGGAAGAAGCUAGCACCGACUCUAAAGUUAGGACGGAAUGGAAUGCUUUCGGGGCUGCUUAACGAAUCCUUACCACAACCGGAAAACGAGUUACUCGCUCAGGAAAAUCAGCACUUAAGGCGGGAGAGGAAUGGAGUAACUCGACUGGUUGGAGAGGGGUGAAGCUUACAUACAGUACUAUUAUGAGUGCCCAGAGGGAAGUAUUCAUGAAGGAAGAGCCAAUCAUCAUAUCUUUGGGGUCUUCCCCCUUCAGUCUCUCAAGAAAUAGAACUUCCCUCUCUGGAUGGCGAUCUGUCGAUAUUUCUGAUAUAACCAUCGCAUCUUAGGGCUAGUUCAGUGUAGUAUAGUUCUAAAACAACUCGUCCUUGUCCAGUAACCAUUCUGAGUGUGUAUGAGACUAGGCGAAAGCCCCUUGAUCGGCCUCUCAACCGGAACUCCAAGCAGACCCCGACUAAGCAUGUGGCAAUCCAAUCUUUUGAUAACGGCUACCGAACAUAUUAAUCAAAGGCUCUGACAAGACCUAUAGUUGCUUGUGAGCUAUACUUCCCCGUCUUUGAUCGGCCAGCUGCAAUCCUUGACAAAAGAUCUCCCUUUGUUGCACCAGGAAUCCUCGGCUCUUAACGAAUAAUGAUGAUAGGCAGGAGCAAGGUUUUUCCUCACUGCUUGAAGCGCGUUGCGUUAAAUGUGCGUAUAUUGCUCUUUGCAGAGCAUUCUAGAGUUGAGCUGAGCUUGUCCCCGGAAAUAAGGGUUUCUAUGUUACUUCAUUCCCGGGAAAUGAAAUUGAAGCUUUGGGUCAUUAUUAAUAUACAUAUUUGUCGGAUGUCCAAUAUGGUCGAGAAAGACUCCGUACAAGCAGUAUGGGAAGAGAGUUCGAAGUAUGCAGCAAUCCGACCUAUAAAAAAAAAGGAGCUGUCUGUAGCGCUUCCGCCAUCCCCCAGAGUGACAAUUCAACAUUUUUGAUUUAGCCCUCCGAACUCAAAAAUGGCGAGCGAGCUGACGGAAGCGUGGUAACCCCGAGGGGGCUGUUUGCCAGUUUCUUUCGCACUUAGAUCUCCGCCCAUGCAAGAAAAAAAAGCAUUUGGACCGGCCCUAAGAAAAAGGGAAUCUGUGACUCUCCCCUGCUGCACCACUCCUCUUUGCUUUCUUGCUUCCUUAUUCCAGAUUCGCUAAACAGAAGAUCUAGAUUUCAAAGAAGGGAAGCUAGGAGGUGAGUAGCCAAGAUUCUUUUAUCACCCCAAGGAAGCUUUGAAGCUAUUCGUCUUUCCUUUCCUAAACAUAAGGAGAUUCAAAAAGGGUCUACUAAGAGGAGGCAACCCGCCUACAGAAUAAGUAAGCCCGACCGGCGAACUCUUCGUCUGUUUGACACCGAGGAUCCCCUUUUAUACCGUUAGAAUGAGUCAAGGAAAUCCUCUGUUAUCAAAUCUGCUCACGAAUCGGCUGUUUGAAAGAAUAAGCUGUUUUCGGAAUAACCGCUCUUAGUACGAAUCCCCUCUUUAGGAAAGGAAUGGCUAUAUGCUUAACACAGGGAAGUCGGACUGACGUACCUCGAAAUCCAUAGUCGAAGAAGUCGACAGGAAAGAGAGAAGUCGAAGUGGACAAAUCAAUCCGGGAGGAAUUUUUCAAGUAGAAGAAGGAUUACUGUAAGAUGGAAUGCUGUCAGGCAGAAAUGCGCAUAAGGAGCUCUUUGAAGGGGGCAAGGAAGUCAAAUUGUUGAUGCAGAGAGAAGGACAGGAAUCAAUAAAGGAAGAAAACACUCUUACUGCAAGAAUGCCUUGUCCGGUCUGUUUAUUAGUGAAAGCGCAAUCACAACUGUCUCACGAAAGAAGGGUCUCAAGUAGUGUGUUCAUGGUCACUCCAAAGAUAGGAUUUGCGACAUAUACUAUUGAAGUAUAGCUUUCCGUAGAUUCCCUUCUCUUCCUGGGGAAAUUGCCUAAUCUUAUAUAAUUAAAGGAAAAGGAAGCGUCUUUCUUGUUUUGAAUCACCAGUAGGAAGCUUAAGGAGUAGUAGUUGAUAGCCGGUGGUAGGGUAGAUAGCUAGCUUUGAUAAACGUUCUUCCCGAAAUAGAUGGUUGGGGUAGCAUUGGGAAUUGGUUAACCCGAAAGCCCUAAGAAAUGCAUGGGAAUGGAAAUCGGAAAGCUGACAAGGGAAUAGAAAGAAGUAUAUUUACACCGGGUAAGAUCCAAGCACCGGUUACAUUCAAAAUUUUGAUAUAGAUAUUGGAAGAGAGGAUAAUUACGAGAAUCUGUGUAUAGUGUCCGGAUACAAGCUUCAUUAUUGAAUCAGCAACUUUUGAAUCAAAGCGAUAGGCCCCUUAUUCAAAUCUAGACAUAGUGGGAAUACCCGGUUUAAAGAGAAGGAGGUUUGACAUUACAUUAGAAUCAGCUGCACAUUAAUCUUCCUCUAUUCUAUCAAUGAAAUUUCUUUUUUACGUCCACAUGUCUGCUUUCAAAAGUCAGGCAGGGAGCCAGAAUCGGUUUUGAAAGAAUGGCUUUUCUUCAAAUCAUCCGCUGCUAGUGCUUGAGAAUGAGUUGCCGCUUUGUUUGGUCUUGGAGGAAGAGAAGGGCUUCUGGAGCCUUUGGAGAGAGAAGAGGGGGAGGACAAGAUAAAGAUCGUUUUUGUAGCAUCCGAUUUGUAACUACUCGUAUCAGCUCAACCAGUAAUUAGUGCCUUUCGGAACUCUAUUACCUUCCCUUCUUCCUUGACUGUUGAUGCGACGGUAACUAGAUAUUUCUUUUGAAUUGACACAAUUUCAAUUUGAAAAGGAAGUCAGGUAAGGCACUAGUCUCCUUUUUGAGAAUAAACUGCUAUUGAAUCCACAGCUAGUCUUUCUCUUGUGAACGACUCCGCAGCAAGAAGAGUAAGCGCUCUUUUCAAUAUCCGGUGUGUUCGUAGGAGCUCUAAGCCUAUCCGCUGUUGAAUAACCGGUGUGCAGAUGAAUAACCGCCGGUGCACUAAUAGGAGUAGACAUUGGAAUAAGAGCUGUUGUCGGACGUUAAUCAGUAACCGGUGUGAUGUUAGCAAUUGAAUGCGUAUCGGCUGUGAUCCUUUCUGCUGUGAUUGAAUCAGUAAGCGCUGCAGAUCUGAUCGUAUAAAGAAUGACCCUCAUUCGAUCUCAGAUGGGAUGAAUACAAAGGAAGGCAGGGAGUAGCACUAGUAUGUAUCAGGGACAAAUGCCACAGAAGAAGGAGAAGUAGCUGCUCUCGAAUGCCCUCUUGCUGUUCUCGAAUAAGCUGUUUUCGACGCUAACUCGAAAUUUCAUAAGAUAAGAAAGAUGAAAUUUUUGAAAUAAGAUCGGACGAUUCUUUACCUUCAGCUUAGAUUCGCAUGAGGACGAUUUCCGCCUCUAGUAAGAAGGAGAUCGGACAUGAUCAAUAGUAGAUAGAAUAAGUAGACAGGAAAGAGGGAAGCGACGGAAGAGGGAAGGAAGUCAGUUGAAUUUGGUAAAUCGUAUAAUAAGAGAAAGGCUGCACAUAAAAAGAAAAGGGGAGUGAGUGGGCUACUGGCCCUAGCACACUUAGAUAAGGCACGGAACUAAUAGCAAUUGAAGAAGAAUCCGCAGUAGAAGAAGGUACAGCUAUUACAGACUCGGUUGUUAAAGAAUAAGCUGUUGGGGGAAUACCCGCAGUAAGGACACUAGUCUCGGGGGCAUGCCCAGAAUCGGAUUGAUGGCAGAGAAUGCGCAAAGUGACAAAUGUGAGAAUCAGCAGCAGGAGCAGUAGGAGGAAAGCGAAUAGUGCCUCACUUGCCUGAAAGCAGGAAGCAUCAUAUUUGAUUAUACGAAUACAAGCUGCUUGAGAAUCAGCUGUUGUCGCAAUUGAAUCAGAAGGAACUGCACAUUCACAAUGGCAAGAGCAAGACAUUUCGACGAAUGGGUUGUUCUCAGAGAUGCUACAUAAGCGCUGUUACGACUAAUCCGUAUAUAAGAAAGGAUGCUAGAGACUUCAGCUGCACAUGAAUCAGCAACUUUUGAAUCAAAGCGAUAGGCCCCUUUAAGAAUCCUUUCUAUAAGUGAUUCUUCGCUGUCUUGAUGGCUGCUAUCUUCCUAAAAAGGAGGGUAUAGAGACUUGACUGCCACCUUUUGUCACUUCACUACCUAAAGAGAUGGUAUCGGUAAAAGAGCAACUAAGGAAGAGCUAUAAGGGAGAGCCUCUUUGGUAGGCAUGGAACUCACUCGCUCUACUAGGCCCCCUAGGCUUUGAAGUUCAGAGUUCUUCCUUCAAGUUAUUCUAACAGUUGAAAGAAUGGCACAGUCUAAAAAAAGUGAUGUUAUACUAUGAAGGAAGAGUCGUAAGGUUUACGAAGUCCUUACCCCGACUUAUCCUAGUGCUACUCCUACAACAGCUAUCUACUAGCAAGACUACUGUAAGAAGGAAAGUAAUCCUAGCACUACUUAAAGUUAAGCAUGUCUAUCGGUCGAUUUCCCUCAUGCAGGAAAUCGAACGAGAUCUUCUUAUUCAUUCGUGGAACUCUUUUCGUUUAGGGCGAAUGCGGCCUACUUUAUAGGGCGAGAGCUAAAGCCCAUGCAGUCUGAAAUCUGUAUCCGAAGGGGACAGACUUGUCGGCAACCAACUUCACUCCAGUUGGUUCGGAUAGGCUGCGACCUCCAUCACUUUUUGAUACGUACAUGGAUUGAAUGGAUGCAUUUCCUGCCUAAGAUUGGUCCUUCUCAAGCACCCAACUCCUAAUAUCAAUAUCUCAGGGCUAGAGAUGCGAUACGGGGAAUGGAACCUCUUAGUACCGGGCAAGGGGCUAUUUCCAUUUCUUCACAUCCCACCCAACCCAGCUAUCUUGUCUCGUAGAUAGCAAGGUCAGUCGAUUCUUGCUCAUUACAAGGCAAGGAAAUUCCUCCUUCCUAAGGCAGUAGAUUCGGGAUCUAAAACAGAUUUUCUAUGCCACUAGAAAGCAUCUGGCUAGGAAUCCGUAGAGUUAGCUGCCAGUUCGAUCCCACAGCUUCAUGCCCUUCUUUAAAGGCAGAGUUUCAUUGAACAGCUGAUCUUGGACUUUCAAUCAUUGAGUUCAGAUUCAGUCAGCUUGGCUUUUUUCUUCAGAACCUUGUGACUUUUCAGCUACCCUUGCCUGAAAGCGGAAGAGGGGGGCUACUCCCCUGGAAUGGAUGAUUUCACUCAAUGGGCAAGGCAGGAGCGGUAUAAGAGAAAGACGUCAGUGCUGCUUUUGCUGUUACAGAAUCUGGUCUUAGCUUAGCUGCAAUCCUUCCCGCUGACGUUCGACUAGCUUUCCUUUCACGUGGUUCAGUCUUGGUGUGAACAAAAGGCGUAAGCGCAGUUCUCUCGUUCCGGCUUAGCCUACCAUGGGAAGGGACGAGCGGUGGCAGUAGGAAUGGAUUUGGUAAUUAUGUUAAGACAAGAGAGGAUCCGUUCGCAUACGAGUGAUAGCUGUCCCUUCUCCAUAGGAAUGUGAUCAUAGGAUGAUGGAUACUUUAGCUAUUCAUCUUCCCCGGCCGGGCUUCUCCAAGAGCCGAUUGGGGGCUUUAAAGGAUUUUCGCAAAGAGGCGAUUUGAUCACAGCUGAACCGGUCCACUAGAAUGGUUGGAGCAACAGGUCCUUGGUCUCUGUCUCAGCUAGCUGCAGUAAUAGGAACUCAAAGCCUCGUCAUCCGCGGAAAAGAAAACUCUUGCGUAGCCUUCAUACCCGGAUUUCCGGCACAACAAAAAGCAAAGGUUCCCAACCAAACUCUCUUCAAUAUAGCUAGGUCUGUCAGUUGAUGUUAUGUUACGCAGAGCCAGAAGGCAUGAAACAAGAAAGCUUAGCGGGAUAGCAGGAAAAGCAAGCCAAAAGGAACCUUAAUGACCAAUCACCACUAACGGACAGACCCGAAGCUUAUGAGAACGUAGUGACCCGGAAAGAUGAAUAGAACCGAACUAGCAACAAGAAUUGCCAAUGGGAGUUUUUGAAGAGAACCCAUGAUUCUGAAGAUGACAAAGAAAGCGUUGAUUUGGGAUCUUAUUUCAAUUGUAUCAGUAAUUACAUGCAAACGGUAUAUGUGACAUGAGAAAGUAUCCUCAAUCAAUCUAAUCUACGAGGUAAUGUGUUACGGUGUCACUACUUCUAGAAUCUAGAGGUAGGCAAGAUGGUACUGAGUAGAAAGAAACAACUUCAUGGUUCAUCAAAUAUGAUUCAUUUUUUGUAUUGGGCUUGGAGUAGCUCUGUCUAUGAAAACCAGUAUCUAGUGUGGCCGUUGGAGAUUUAGUAAGUCUUUCCUUUUAUCAAAUAGGGCUGACUCGCAGCAAGUGCAAUUGAUGGUUCUUAACCCAGCCCGACUGUGAAAAUGUUUAAAUCUAUCUCCUCCUCGCUAUGCUCGGCUCACUCAAUUCCUUACAGUCGACUAGCUGUGUGCUCUUCAAUCCAGCCAUUCCUGCCAUUGAAGAAGACUGAGACUUGAGGCAAAAAACCCCCGUUUAUGACCCGCUUUUGGAAGUAUAGCAAGUGUGCCGGAAGUGAGAAAGGCUGCUUGAUUGCAAGAAAGAAAGCUGCUAAAGCAGUAAGAUCUAUUGUAUAUGAUGUAAUGGAUGGUCGGGCUCAACAGCACCUCUUCACCCCUCUAGGUCGUGGCCGAAAGCUCAUACAGUCGAGUUACUUCGAAACCUCUCGUUGGCUGAAUGAAGCCCUUUUUACCAUGUUCAGCAGAGCAGAGUACCGUGGAGGGAUUAGCCGCAUUCCUCUUCAUCACGCUAACAGCCUAAACUCUUCCUACCUUUGAAUCAUUCCUAUGGUGUAGCUACCCCUCUUUGAUCCAAUCAAUAAUUCAAAAAAGAAGAGAGCCAAAGAACCUACUUCUCUUAACCAGAAAUGCGAUUGGGAAUGAGUUACUUCAGGUGCAGCCAAUCAAAGGAAGAAAGAGCAAUGUGGCAAAACAAGUAAUGCCAUCUAACUCGACUGUAUAGAAGAGCAACUGACAGCCUAGUUCUAUUUCUGAGAGAUAGCUGGUAUCGAAGGUCGACGUUUUUAGCAGCAAGAGAUUGGUGCUAGAGGAAGGGCCCUCCUCUUUUAAGGUUCCUUUAUAGAUCUGAGAGAGAGAGAAAAGAAUGGAAAAAAAGGGGCUCCAACGGGAGCAAAUCCUACAUGCCUUUUUAGAGCUUGGUCUCGGGCAUCUUCUCUCCAAAGCCCGCUCUCCUCUGGUUUCAAUCUCAUCAGGGCUUCCCUAGCCUGUUGAUAAUUUAGGUCCUGUAGAUACUCGUACAACAUCUCCUAUUCAUAGAUCUGCGCCUGCCUUUAUACAGUUAGAUACGAAAUUAUCAAUCUUUGAAACAGGGAUUAAAGUGGUGGAUCUUUUAGCUCCUUAUCGCCGUGGAGGAAAAAUCGGACUAUUUGGGGGAGCUGGAGUGGGUAAAACAGUACUCAUCAUGGAAUUGAUCAAUAACAUUGCCAAAGCUCAUGGAGGCGUAUCCGUAUUUGGCGGAGUAGGCGAACGUACUCGUGAAGGAAAUGAUCUUUACAUGGAAAUGAAAGAAUCCGGAGUGAUUAAUGAAAAAAAUAUUGCGGAAUCAAAAGUAGCUCUAGUCUAUGGUCAAAUGAAUGAACCGCCGGGAGCUCGUAUGAGAGUUGGUUUAACUGCCCUAACCAUGGCGGAAUAUUUCCGGGAUGUUAAUGAACAAGACGUGCUUCUAUUCAUCGACAAUAUUUUUCGUUUCGUCCAAGCAGGAUCAGAAGUAUCCGCCUUAUUAGGGAGAAUGCCUUCCGCAGUGGGUUAUCAACCUACCCUUAGUACAGAAAUGGGUUCUUUGCAAGAAAGAAUUACCUCUACCAAAGAGGGAUCUAUAACUUCGAUCCAAGCGGUUUAUGUACCUGCGGACGAUUUGACCGACCCUGCUCCUGCCACGACAUUUGCACAUUUAGAUGCUACUACCGUACUAUCAAGAGUAUUAGCUGCUAAAGGUAUUUAUCCAGCAGUGGAUCCGUUAGAUUCAACGUCAACUAUGUUACAACCUCGAAUCGUUGGUGAGGAACAUUAUGAAACUGCGCAAAGAGUUAAGCAAACUUCACAACGUUACAAAGAACUUCAGGACAUUAUAGCUAUCCUUGGGUUGGACGAAUUAUCCGAAGAAGAUCGUUUAACUGUAGCAAGAGCACGAAAAAUUGAGCGUUUCUUAUCACAACCCUUCUUCGUGGCAGGAUAAGCAGCGAGAGCAAUUGAGCCGUAAACAAAGACGGAUUUUCGUGACCAGAGACUCUUGUUUGAGAGUAGAGCUCAGGUCAUCAUAUCGAUCAGGCAGGGCGCAUUCUCAACUAGCUGAUUCCGUAGCUGCAAAGGAAACAGAUAGGCAGGAAGGGCUGAAGACAGAAGAGGAAAAGUUCUAGCGGGGAAGAGGGACUCCAUCGGGGACCGAAAAAGAGAUGAAGAAAGAGCCUACCUAAAAGAGGAAGAUGGAACCCUCCCGUCAGUCUCAGAGGCAGCAUCAUCUAAGGGGUAUAGAAGAGAUUCAGAAGCACUAUGCCCUGAAGCGAGAGGACCAGAUCUCCCUGAGACCGAUAAAGCUAGCGAUGUUCAGAAGACAAAGCAUGCUUAGAAAGCUAGAGCACAGUACGCCUAUAUAUAGGAUGCGCGAUCCAUGAGAGCCCAUUCAAUUGAGAGAAAGGGUCCCCUUUGGAUGAAAAAAUGUACUCCUAUGAUUCAAUUACCUUUGAUGAAAGACUAUCUUUUUUCUCUUUACCGACAAUAACCAUUGAGCUGUUCUAUCUCCUAUGAUGAAAGGUUUCCGCGGACUGGGGAAGAAGGACUCGUGGAAUCAUCAUUCAUUGGUUUCAGCAUGAGUCGCUUUCGCAGCCAUCCAUUCAAUCAGAAAAGAAAGAACCCGAGCCCGAGCAGUUGGCAGUGAUUUGAGAAGAAACUUUCAGACAACAGGGAGUAGGAAGCCAAGCAUGCAUGUGUCCCGGGUGGUUUUCUCCUUUAUUGAAGAGGGCUUCUCAGGUUCUUGGCUAGUGCUCUCGGGGAAGGGAAAGAGUGGUUCCAUGGAUCUUCGGCUACUCCGGGAAGCAAUAGAUAGCUGUGAAUGAUGGAUCAAUAGGGACCUUAUUACCCGUGGGCUUUUCCAUAAUAUGCUCUUCAUCUUUGCUUUCAGUUCAGGAUAGAGGUUAAGAAAGAGGUGAAUCAGCAUGUGAAAAGCAUCAAUGAAAUAUUUUGUGGACAAUGAAUGGAUAGCGCACGGUUCUUCAUAAGUCCGAUAGCACGAACGAUAGAUUGUACAUCUUCCUACCAGUGCUUGUUUAGUUGUCACAAUCUCUAUUCCGCAUCUUAGUCUUUUUUCAUGUUGUUGGAAUCUCGAAUCAUCCGUUGAUUAUACUUUCUAUAGGAGCUCCCCCUGCAAAAGAUUGGCUUUUCCUUUCGACGUGCUCUUUCUCCGGCACUAACUUCUUAGCCUUCGGAAAUAGAAGGAGAUUCUUUAACCAGAAAGAAUUCAGUUCAGAUGUAGGAUACCUAUCCAGAAGUUUUCGCAACUCAAUCAUGUAUGAUGGAAUCAUCAAAGAUUUGAUCUUUUCUAACUCUGUCUGUAACUCACUAGAGGCUCGGGAAACAAAGAGAAGAUGUAUACGAACGAGAUAUCCAGCAACAAGAAGAAGGAAAAGGAUUGAAUAGAGGAACUCCCGAGCAUUUGUUGAUCUCAGAUGUGUCCAUAUCAAUGGAACGGGUGACUCAUUAUUUCGAUGAAUCAUUUCUUCGGACAGAAGAAGAUUCUGUAAACACUUACUCGAAAUCUCACUUAUCAGAGUCCAUUGUGGAAGAAUCUUCUGAGGAAUUGGCCAUGAUAUAUCUGAUCCAUGCAUAAUAUCAUUUAAAAUGGAUACAAAUUUUUGACUGCUACUUAGUAUCGGCAAUGGGUCUGAAAAAGUAUCUAAAAGGGUCAAAUUUAGAUAUUUGCACCCUGUCGAAGUAAGGAACCAUGGCAUAUAUGUUUGGAACAGAUUCCAUUUUGAGAGAUUUGAAAAAGCACUAUCUCGUUGAAAGAUUCUAUACAUCUGCCCUUUCUCAACGCAUUUCUUUAGACAAAGACUCCGUUUUUUCCUCUUUCCGGAUGGUCAAUAUUUCUCAGAACAUGGAGUGUGAAUCAAACCCAUGUUUGAAUUGAAACUGAGAUACUGAUACAAGUUCUUCCCUUCUGAAUCAGAUAGAUUCAUAUCUGAAAGAGGCUGACAAUAAGUUCUUUCAAAAUUGACUAUUUGUUCCUCUGUUAGAGGUGUUGCAGAAAUGUCUGCGAUCGAGUAAAUAGCUCUACGAACGAAUGGAUCGGAUCGAAAAUGGAAAGAUUUGUACAAGUUAUACGUUUCGUCACCACUUUGUGGAAAAUAGUUAGGUAUUCAAAAAUUUUAUACCUUUAACUUGGGGCUCCAAAAAAACAUUUUUUUCUUUAUUAACCUCCUCCUUGAUCUGCAGGAGGUCAAAUUCAAGUUGCAAUUCCACUUUGUUUUGUUAAGUUUUUUUUUUUGAUUCGACAUAACAUAACAAGAACAGAAUCACGCUCUGUAGGAUUUGAACCUACGACAUCGGGUUUUGGAGACCCACGUUCUACCGAACUGAACUAAGAGCGCUUUCUUACGACAGGAGAAAAAGCUGUAAAGAAGAAAAGGAUGAUUUUUGUACCGCAUGCAUAUAGUCUAAUUAAACUCAAAAUUUUGUCCAAUUUUCAUCGAUCUCAAUUGAUCCCUCGUUACUGCCCAUAGGAUAAGUAAUGGGUAGGGAUGACAGGAUUUGAACCUUUGAAUAAUUUGGAACCCCAAUCAAACGCGCUACCAAGCUGCGCUACAUCCCUUUUCAAAAUUGUUGUACAGUGUCAUUGUCAAAAAUCCCUGUCUUGUUUUCCACAUCGUUAUUUUUUCCUCCAUCUAUAUACAAUAUCUUUCUCUUGCCAUUUGUUCUUUUUUUUGGUCUAAAUAUUCUUAUUCUUCUCAUUUUUUGAUUUUUUAUUAAAAAAAAAUCAUCAUCCCGAUCCCGCCGCUCCUACCAACGAACAUAGAAGUUUCGAGGGUUUCCCGAUAGAAAGAUUUGCAUGCGAGAGAGAUCCCAAUUCCGUGUAUCCGGUUAAGCAAGCCCUGCCGCCAGCUUCCACCCAUUCAAGAAGGUCCUGAUCCGAGUGUUUAAUAAUUACUGCAUGCGUUAUAUAUAAAGGGAGAGAGAGGAGUAAUCCGACCCAGAAACAGGACGGAAACAACUACAACCAAACAACUUACAAAAGCAACAUAUCUUCUGAAGAUCGGAACAUCUGGGGUGACUUAAGAAAUUUCACUCGAACUACAACUGAUCCUCCGUCAACUACCUUCCACUUACUUGUUAUUUCGUUCGUGACCCAUACCCAUGAGUCACUUCACUCUCUUUAGAGUACAAAAACAAAGAAAGAAGCGAAGAAAAAGAAGACGUAUGCGAACCCAUACACAUACACCGAACCGAGCCCAUACCCCAUACACAUACACCGAACCAGGACGGAACCACCAACACCCGAAAGGGAGUUACACCAGAAGUCGGAAGAGAAGAGGAUUCUUAAUCUGAGAUGAGAAGGUCUAUUGGUACAAUCAGAAAGCGUCCUCACGAAAAAAAUUUCUAUUCGUAGAUCUACGAUUGCCGGGUAUUCCCACAUUGAAUCGAACAAGAGUCUCUUUCCUGAAAGCAAGACGACGGAACUCGUAAGGUCUGUCAUCUCAAAAGUGUGAUUCAUCCUUUGCUAUCAAGAAUCAGGAAUAGCGGGACGGGAAGCUAUUAACAUCUUAUCUCACUGUACUGUGCAUACAAGAUCUACAAAGCUUCCACUAAAAGCACUUCUUACUCUAUAUUAUAUUCAGCUGUUAUCAUCUAUCUGCAUCUCUUAUCAAUGGAGAAUUUCCGUACAAUGAUGUUAGAAAUCGCUGAUGUACGAUCAGUCCUUAGUAGCUUAGCGGAUCGGAACCUUCUACAUACGCCUCUUCCUCCGUAUGGGUUGAGAUGCUCGCCAAUGCUCGAAAAUGAGAAGCGAAUAGCAGCUGGACCACCAGCCUUUGGUUCUCUGACGGCCAUGAUUAAAGAAGCGCUCGAUUACAGUACACAGGGGGUUCGUGUACUUUGCUUUGGGGUCACAACACGGAGAAAAGGAAGAGGUGGACUUGGACGUUCCGGGGUAUUACUCCCCCUAGCAGUCUAUCCAGCCCAGCCUUGUCCAGUAACCACUCUGAGGGGGCGUAAUCUGCUAUGCCGAAACGGAUUGAUCCUUAAUAUAAUAACAGAGCAAGCACAUCAGCACAAGACGGCGGACAUCGGCCCUGCAACUCUGGCUGGAAGCUUCGAAACUACAGGGCCGCCUGGUAACCUCCGGUGGUAGGUUACCCCCUCUAAGAAAGGGAAGUAGGCAUGCCAAGGAUGAACGACGGUGGCUCCAUACGGGGGAAGACGGUUCUUAGGGCAAAGACAGAAGGUGGCAUGGGACACUUUUUCAUCUUUUCCGCACUUGUCCGCUAUUUAGAGUUGAAAAGCACUUCCUCUUAUUAGCGACAACGGAAAAAGAAGAUAGAAGGCUUUCGGGCGUAGAAGGUUUUGUUUUUUUCACAGUUUUGACUGCGGGAUCGUUUCGCCAUUGUGGUUCAAUAGAGGGAUUCCCCUCUCCUUAGGGAAGCUUUCCCCCCUAUGAGCAACCCUGUGGCUGUGGUCGACCAGACCGGACAGGAAAGGUUUAUUAACCGACUUACUGGCUGGCCUACCAAGCAGCAAGACAAGAACCAAGCAUUACCCUCGCCCAACAAGUCUUCCCAUGCCAAUCCGAACUCAAAUCAACUAUUCCAUACUGGGGUUGAUUGGGUUCUCUUCUGUCCCCCUAAGAACCCCCCGGUGGUGGACCGGAGCAGAGUGUAUGAAUCUCUUAGACGGAACACCAGUUUCUUUCCCCGAUACACUGCUAACUCGUAAAGAGUAUGGUUCCUCAUAAGCGGUUUGAUGGAGUACUUGUCCCCAUGAGCAGCAUAAUAUUUCAUUAAUAGAAUACCAUCGAAUCGUGAGAAGUUAUGGAAGUCAACCGUUCGAAUGUCAGUUUCAACAGCAACCACUGCAGCUAAACGCUCUAGAAAGUCGAACAACAUUCGAUUACUCCUUUCUUCAAAUGAAGGUAUUACAAAUAUGUGAUCUUCACUGAAAUAUGUUUCAAUUUCAUAAUCAGGCUUGGAACCCACAUCUUCACCCGGCUUAACCACUAAGAAACCCGCAGCGUAAGGCACAUGGACAUCAUUUAUUAGAACAGUCUCCGUAUCGGCUACAAUGAAAGGCCGCCUUGCCUUACUCGUAGGUUUGAGUGCAGGUACAUGAUCGGGAUAACGACGCUUCCUACCCAUAGCUUUCACUUCUCGUGGUGAACCACCAACUAUGCAGGCGUUAAUUAAUUGCCAUAUUUUGCUAUAAAUUUCAUCGGAGCUAAGAGGUAACUCUUUUUCUAGGGAUUCCAGCCUACCUGAAAGAUACACUCGAAUGUAUACACCUGAUAGCAAAGCUUUAUCGUAAUCCUCAGCUUUUCAAAUUAUUAAUUUCCUAAUAAUAGCAUAUACAUCCAUGUUAGGCACUGCAUUCCCGCUAGAAUCAUUUAAAGAAAUAGCAUUACCUAUUGUAAAGGAAACAUCUCCUGUUGGUAUUUUCAUGACAUAACUAAUAGUAAACUUACCAUACUGAAACCCAGUAUUGUAAACGUACUUCAUUAACAGUCGCAUUACUGCCAAUGUUAUAACUUCAAUGUCUGCACAUUGCGGGUAAGGCUCUUUAAAUUUGACUUCAGCUAUUCUCAAUCCUAAAUAUGGAUCCUUGCAUUUUUCCCAAUCGAUUAACUGCUGUAAACGGUUCCAAUAACCAUUGAACAUAGAAUAAACACUAUUUAUAAAUGUAUGUUUCAUUGCUAUCAUAUUACUUUAGUAGUGCACGCUGUAGUUACACCCGAGAUUCCCCCAUCUCGAGAGAUCUGCCUUAAAUUCAUUCCACUUCUCAGCAUGACGUUUCCCACCAUCCGAUGGCAUCUUAAAAUGAGCUUCACCGCACACAGUAUUGCAAUAUUUCUCGUAACAACUCACUGUAGCAGAUAUAUUUCUAUCCCAUUUGAUUCUCUCUGUUUUACUCAAAUCCUUAGGCAUGAGAUAAUCCAAAAAAUAUCUAAUAUCCUCACCUGGAAUAGGAUCUUCCACCCAGUGAAAGACAUAAUUGCUUGGGUUCUUCGGCAACCGCUCUUCUAUUUUGCGUGCAGAAGCCUUUUCUUCAGGUGAGUCUGAUAAAUCCAUGUAAAACGGGAAGUCUGGCAAGAUCAGAUUCCUAUUAAUAAACUGAUUUAUGAAUCGAAGUGGAGCACCCAUAUUUACAAAUACACCUGUAUAGAUUUCGGGAACCAUUCUUGCGUAAAGAGCAGUGGUUAUGAAAUUAUCGUGUACCGUGUACACCGGCGCUCCUUGAAUCAAAAGAAGUUCCUCUACCACUUUCAUAGCUAUAUAGGCAUCUUUCUGAUGAAUAAAGUUGACGCAGGUAGCCACUUUAGUCUUGCGACUAUCCCUAUCCGGCGUAGGCACUCGGAGAGUAACCCGACGUCUCUUCUUGCUUACCCUAUCAUAAAGCCAUAUAUCCGUUGCUUUGCUACGCAUAUAGUCCUGCACAGUAGUGAUGUAAGGUAUACUAUAGAACACAGGUUUAUCCAAUUUUGAACAAAACCAACCGAUUAGGUUAAUCAAAUUGAGCAAAUUGACUAUGUCUGGAUAUUUCAAGCUCAAAAAUUCAUAGCAAAGUACAGCGAGGCCAUAGCUAUCCUUAUGACUUAGCAAUGAUCCAUAAUGAUCCAUUAUAUCCUUAGCCAUGCUCGAGACUGUCUUACCAUAUAUUAAUGGCAUAAACAAUCCUUUGACGAGCUUUCUCGUUAACAUAGAAAGUAUGACUGCAUACUUAUUAGCAUCCAAUCUUGUAACCAAGAACUUCUUAAGCUCUUCCUGCAAGCACAUGUACACAUCUUGGAUUUGACCGUCUGAUGAUGGAAGAAGAUUCGUUCGCCUACCCAUUUCUUGGUUAAGCAAGAGAUAACUCAUAAUUUGAUAAGCACUCGCAGAAGCAUCUUGUGUCACUGGAACCUUAUGAUAAUUACUAACUAUAUCCUUAGACAGGAUCUUGGCUAGGAACUGAAAUGGAUCACUAGCUUGCACUGCAAAUUUCAUUAAACUUUCGUCCGAAGCUAACAUUAGACUCUGGUGUUCGUUAUACCAUUUAAAUGCAUCAUCUAAGUUAAAGAACUUCUUAUACUUAAAGGCUGCUGCACAUGCUAAGUCUUGACUUAUAGUCUUAGCCAACUGGCUGUUUAGUGCUUUAGGUUGACCGGCAAACACUAUUAAACUUCGUGACAAAUCACGCUCAUGAAAAUGCAAUACACCUGAGCGGUAGAUUCGACCACGGAAGUCCAUGAAGGCAGGCAAAUCAAAUUGAUAACCAUCGUAUGCAGACGCAAGUCUUAUUACGAAUUCUUCAUACCUAGCACGCUGCACCCGCUUAACUAAUUCCUUUAUCAAAACGUGACAGCUACAAGCAUUCUGAACACCUUUGUCACUGAAGUAACUGAACCUCAAUAGGUCAGAGGCUUCUUUCAGAUUCACGUACGCUAGAUUUCUUGGCAUAAGAAGACCCAAUUCAACUAAGCGAUUACGAUUUUGAAGAAUGAACUCCAAUACCUUAUUGUUUAUCUCAAACACUUGAGACUGAAGACUAUUCAAUAUAGUGCACAUACGCUUGUACCCUGAAUAUUUCAAAGUGACAUAGAAAUGGCUCAAGUCACGAGAAGUUAAUAUACGAAACCUAUUAUAGAUGUCUAAGGUAGGUCCGCUUAAGUAACCCCCUGAAAGAUCCGUUAACAUUGUUGGUGACUCUUCAGUUGAAUUCCAAGGUAACGGAUUGCAAACCAUCGGAAGAUUGAGUUUUAUAGGAAGCAGACUGAAGUCAAAAUUACACAUCGCAUAACAAUUUAUUGGUAUAUAGCCCUUACCUUUCUUAUUAACCACCGGUACUUCUGUAAAGCUCACUUCACUUGACAAAUGUAUAAGACCUCUUUCCACCAAGAAAUUGACCAAGUGGACCCCGAUCGCAUAAUGAGUCCUAGUAACUUUGACUUUUCCCUUCUUGGUAGCUCCUUUGGAAUCGAACUUCACUGCAUCCUUAUCUGAUUCAGCCUUACUAGUGACGACUCCUUCCACCUUACCACUACCCGCUGCUUUUAUUAACAUAAAUCUUGCUUGAUCUCGUACAGCAGAAUCAAGCUGUUCCAACAAAGUAGAUACCCUAACUACAGAUAAAUCCCGAACACAGUUGAACACCAACCCUAGUACAUGAAUAAUGAUAGCCUCAAGCAUAUAGUGACCAAACUGAUUAAGCAUAGGUAAAUACUCCGUUGAUAGGUGAGUCUUUAGAUAUUCCUUUGCAGUAGGCAAAUCUUUACUAAUCAAUAGCUUGAUCAAGUUAGGACUUGAAUUAUAGAUACUUCGCUCAUCGAACUUCAUUGUCAAUUCUUCAAUAGUCAUCUGUAAAUCAAUCAACUCUGUCUCGGUAAACAAAAUUUCUCCUUUUUUAUUCUUCUUUGAAUUCAACAACUUGAUAACUUCAUCCUGAUACUGUAAAACAUUAGAACUCUUUGAUUUAGAAAUACCCGACAGCUUACUGUAGUAAUUAGUCCAGAACUCAUCAAUAAUACGGGACUUACUUAGUCUGACAUCAUUUGUGGACUGACUUCCAUCAUUUUAUUUUAUCCCAGAAGAAUAAUAUCUAUAAAUUAGACUGAAAAAAACUCGAAUUAUUAACUAUUAUUUUUAUAGUUCUUUGCUCACUAACAAUUCAAAUUCACUUCCAUCUGUGCUACUAUUACAAUAAAAUAAAUUAAAAUAUCGUAUAAUCGAAUUCUCCUGCACGUGUGAUAAACUUAUCUGGUAAGAAAAGCGCAUGUUUAAGGCCUUGCUGGGCCAGUGCAUGGUUUGUGCAAUCAUGUGUUAUGUGUUUUUUCCUGUUUAAUGAGCCGGGCCUACGUGUAGAGCAUUGGCUCCAGCGUCCAAUGGGUGCACCUGACUGUUGUUCUCCCAGUCCAGUUGGACUAGAAGUCACAAAAAUUCAUUGGUGGGGAGCGUCGACUGAGGUCUCCCUAGUGACGGCAUGUGCCACAUAAUAGCUUUUUAGUGAAAAUCGAAUUUUCUUCUUCUAUUUUAUUUCUUAUCCCUAAAGAGGGGUUUUGGGAUAUUUAUUCUACAGUAUCCUCCCGUUGCCUUACCCUGGAUAAAAAAUAUCCCUCUCUCUAACGGAUGAGAUAGGAAACACUCAACUAUACUCAUUGUAGAGAGAGACCGGCUAUUGGGAUUUCCGGGGAGGAGUACUGUUGAUUUUGAUCCCUCAAAAGAGAUAAGUAUACUUUUUUUCCCAUAAGAGGUAUAAAUUAUAUAGAAAGUACUCUAAAUAAGAUAUUUAUUAUUCCUAAAGAGGGAUCCAAUAGUAGUGGUACUUUAUCGAGGCUACUGCACUACCUUCGGCUUCAUCAGUCUUCUUUGCCUGCUCUAAUCCCUUACCCGUGGGCAUCCAUUUGACUGUAGAUCUUGUUUCUUGAGGCUUCUCCGGUCCCUUUUUUGCCGUGCCGCGAGUGCACGAAGGGCGGGAGAGGGGAAGAGCGGAUCUCCCGAGACAGGCUGCUUUCUAAAUUGAGUUGUAUCGUGGAAAAUGCUGUGAUUCUCAAUUUAGUUAAAUCAUUCUUGUCUAUUAAGAUUGUGUCUUAUAAUGGUGAUGAUUGCUCGUUGCCUACCGGAAUCCCGCAAGCAAACCUCAUUACAUCAGUGCUUUUGUUUUUUGUAUUGGAUGAUUUUGAUCGAUGGUUUGUUUCUUCUUAUCCCUAUCGUUAUGCUCGCUUUUACGAACAAGGUGUCAUAGCACUGCCUCGCCCGGAGGAUUCCAAUGUGCUUUCGCUGAAAAAAAUCGAGUCAAUCCUUCGUGAACUCCAUUUUGCUGCAAAAGUCACAGUGGUGGUCCGAGGUGGGUUGCCUAUCCCUUGUCGUGGAGGACGAUUGUUUGUGGAUGAAGGUGGACAAAUCUAUUUCAUUGAUCAAUGAUUGAUUGAGUGGUCAGAGAGAAGGAUUCCGUGUAGGCUCUUUCUGUAUUGUCGUACGUAAUUGUGGGUUCCAUAUUAUUGUUUUUAGUUAGUUAGGAAGGAGCCUUUCGUUGUGAGAGCGCUGGCUCUUGUCAUGGUGAGUUACUUACUUCCAUGAUAAGGGAAGGGACUCUGGAUCCUAACCACCUUUCUUUUCUUUUUCUUUUCUAAGUGCCGUGGGUCAGUCAUCCAUUCGUACGAUAUUAGUUAUGGAAGGAAAGAGGGGAGUUGGCUGAUAAAGAUGGACAGUAACGAUUGCGUAAUAUCAAUUUUUCGGCCUCGUCAUCGAAAGCGGCUUCCAAUUGCUCGGAAAUUCUCAGCUAUAUGGGGGACUUGGAUGGUGAGCAAAAACAAUUGAUCAAGAAGUUGGUAAACUUUCGCAUGAUCGAUGGUAAAAGAACGAGAGUUCGUGCUAUUGUUUAUAAAACUUUUCAUCGCCCAGCUCGAACUGAACGCGAUGUAAUCAAACUUAUGGUUGACGCCGUAGAAAAUAUAAAGCCCAUAUGCGAAGUGGUAAAAGUAGGAGUCGCAGGUACUAUUUAUGAUGUCCCUGGGAUUGUUGCCAGGGAUCGUCAACAAACCUUAGCUAUUCGUUGGAUCCUUGGAGCAGCUUUCAAACGACGUAUAAGCUACAGGAUAAGCUUAGAGAAAUGUUCAUUUGCUGAGAUACUGGAUGCUUACCGAAAGAGGGGAAUUGCACGUAAGAGAAGGGAGAAUCUUCAUGGACUGGCUUCCACCAAUCGAAGUUUCGCGCAUUUCAGAUGGUGGUAAAGUGAUACCACAUAAGGAGCUCUUCCUCAUUCAGUCAUAUUCUUAAGUAAGAAAUGUUUGACCCUUUUCCUUUUUUCAUCUUCAUAUAGAAAGAAAGUCGGCCUUCCUCAUACUCCCCCCUUCAUUCAUUGAGUUGGAGGAAUCCACAGGAGGCCCGCCCGUUAUGCAUUGCAUAAAAGAACCUUUCUUUUUAUGAAGACUCUUUUUUCAGCCUCAGGUCGAAUGAAUACGAAAGGGAGAUCAAUCAAAUAAAUAGGCCAUGAAUGAAGAAGUGGAAGUGGUGGGCCUUUCACCUUCUUUCUAGUGACUCGUGGAGCUGAUAAAUCUACUUCAAAGGGAGGGAAGCUAGGAGUGCUAGUCCGAAAGGGGGGUGUUCUCCUUUUUUUUCAUUCAAUCAUUUCUGCUUGACUUUAGCCUUACUUAUAAGAAAAGAAGCAAGGAAUGAUGCUAGUCUGAAGGCUAACAGCUAAAUAUAGAGCUUGAUGUUAUAUCUGACAUAGUUGGUCAAAAGUCCAUUUUGAUUUAUAUAUGAUCGAACUUCCGCGAGUUCGUUUUCGGUCAUCCUGCAUUUCUUUACUUCACCGACCUUCGCAGAUUAGGCUAAUCGUAUUAUUAAAGGAAGGAAAAAUGGAUACGCGGUAUUCUAUAAUGAACAUUGUAACGUUAGAGUUUCUUUAGUAGGCCACAGCAGAUCGAAAAGUGGCUAAUUUAGCUCAGUCGACGUUCUCGUAUGGGUAGCCCCCAGUUGUUAUCAUCGCGUAAGGGGUCGUGGAAGGAAGAGUUGGGUUCGAAUCCCCCACCUUUUUUUUUUCAGCCCCUAACAGGGCCCCCCUCUGAUAAGGAAGGAAAGUUCAUUCACACUUUAAUGACAAAUCCGGUCCGAUGGCUGUUCUCCACUAACCACAAGGAUAUCGGUACUCUAUAUUUCAUCUUCAGUGCCAUUGCUGGAGUGAUGGGCACAUGCUUCUCAGUACUGAUUCGUAUUGAAUUAGCCCGACCCGGCGAUCAAAUUCUUGGUGGGAAUCAUCAACUUUAUAAUGUUUUAAUAACGGCUCACGCUUCUUUAAUGAUAUUUUUUAUGGUUAUGCCGGCGAUGAUAGGUGGAUCUGGUAAUUGGUCUGUUCCGAUUCUGAUAGGUGCACCUGACAUGGCAUUUCCACGAUCAAAUAAUAUAUCAUUCUGGUUGUUGCCACCAAGUCUCUUGCUCCUAUUAAGCCCAGCCUUAGUAGAAGUGGGUACCGGCACUGGGUGGACGGUCUAUCCGCCCUUAAGUGGUAUUACCAGCCAUUCUGGAGGAGCAGUUGAUUCAGCAAUUUCUAGUCCUCAUCUAUCAGGUGUUUCAUCCAUUUUAGGUUCCAUCAAUUUUAUAACAACUAUCUCCAACAUGCGUGGACCUGGAAUGACUAUGCAUAGAUCACCCCUUUUUGUGUGGUCCGUUCUAGUGACAGCAUUCCUACUUUUAUUAUCACUUCCGGUACUGGCAGGGGCAAUUACUAUGUUAUUAACCGAUCGAAACUUUAAUACAACCUUUUCUGAUCCUGCUGGAGGGGGAGACCCCAUAUUAUACCAGCAUCUCUUUCGGUUCUUCGGUCAUCCAGAGGUGUAUAUUCCCAUUCUGCCUGGAUCCGGUAUUAUUAGUCAUAUCGUAUCGACCUUUUCGGGAAAACCGGUCUUCGGGUAUUUAGGCAUGGUUUAUGCCAUGAUCAGUAUAGGUGUUCCUGGAUCUCUUGUUCGGGCUCAUCAUAUGUUUACUGUGGGCUUAGACGUUGAUACGCGUGCCUACUUCACCGCAGCUACCAUGAUCAUAGCUGUCCCCACUGGAAUCAAAAUCUUUAGUUGGAUCGCUACCAUGUGGGGAGGUUCGAUACAAUACAAAACACCCAUGUUAUUUGCUGUAGGGUCCAUCUUUUUGUUCACCAUAGGAGGGCUCACUGGAAUAGUUCUAGCAAAUUCUGGGCUAGACAUUGCUCUACAUGAUACUUAUUAUGUGGUUGCACAUUUCCAUUAUGUACUUUCUAUGGGAGCCGUUUUUGCUUUAUUUGCAGGAUUUUACUAUUGGGUGGGUAAAAUCUUUGGUCGGACAUACCCUGAAACUUUAGGCCAAAUCCAUUUUUGGAUCACUUCUUUCGGGGUUAAUCCGACCCUCUUUCCCAUGCAUUUCUUAGGGCUUUCGGGUAUGCCACGUCGCAUUCCAGAUUAUCCAGAUGCUUACGCCGGAUGGAAUGCUCUGAGCAGUUUCGGCUCUUAUAUAUCCGUAGUUGGGAUUCGUCGUUUCUUCGUGGUCGUAACAAUCACUUCAAGCAGUGGAAAGAACAAAAGAUGUGCUCCAAGUCCUUGGGCUGUUGAACAGAAUCCAACCACACCGGAAUGGAUGGUACAAAGUCCUCCAGCCUUUCAUACUUUUGGAGAACUUCCUGCUAUCAAGGAGACGAAAAGCUAUGUGAAGUAAAAGAAGAAAAGGUCGCCGACUGCUACUAAGAUAAGAACCUAACAGAACUUUUCAAAAUGUGGGUUCUAAAACCACUUGUGUAGGUCGGGGUUGAGAAUUGGAGGGCCGACGAGGCUAGGGCCCUAUUUUCCAUUUUUUUUUCCGGUAUGCGUUCGCGCUCGCAAACAUCGCGAACAUAAACACUAAACAUCAGUAUCAUGGAUAGCACCUCACUUGAUCUUACUCUUUACACGAUGACUGCCCUUUUGGGUUUUUUGACCUUAUUAUCUAUUUGCCGAAGAGGUUCAUUCUCCUCACUCAGGAAACGAGAAAGGGAGGAGGGCCCUUCAUUCGAGCCCGAUUCUCUUUUAAGACCAGAUCCCCUUGUUGCACAUGUCUGAUCUUUACCUUCUUAUGGAAAGCUUUGGCAAUCCUCCUUUGAUAACCCUGGGUAUGGUGGAGUGCCUUCAUCCUCUGUUCUGCUAUCAGAUUUAGUUGCUCAAACCUGCCCCUUGCUUUUCCAUUCUGCUUCCGGUAUUUCGGAUUCCAGGGCGACCCUAAGGGAUGGAACUUCCAAUUCAACAGGUAGCACUGCUUCCAUCCCAUAAAUCAGGGAGUAUGGAGUAGCGCCGGUGGAAGUCCGAAUGGAGGUCCGAUACCCCCACAGGGCCAGUGGCAACUUUUCGGGCCAAUCUCGAUAUGUGUCUGUCAUCUUCCGCAGGAUCUUACCUAUUUUUUGAUUUGCUGCCUCCACUGCUCCAUUGGUCUGAGGCCUGUACGGCGAGGAUUUGUGCUGUUGUAUCUGAUACCGAAUGCACAGCUGCUCAACUUCUUUUUUUGAAGUGAGAUCCCAGAUCUGAAAUUAGCUCGUGCGGUACUCCAUAUCUGCAGAUUUUUUGUCUUUAAUGAACUUGGCCACUUUUGCCGAUGUCAGUGUUCGAUAAGAUGCCGCUUCCACCCAUUUGGUAAAGAAAGAAAUUGCCACUAAGAUGUAUUCGUGUCCAUUUGAUGCUUUGGGUGUCACCUUUCCGAUGAUGUCAAUUCCCCAUGUGCAAAAUGGCCAUGGAGAGGUAAGAUUGUGAAGUAAGGCCGGAGGCACAUGAAUCGACGUUUGCAUGAAUCUGACACUUGUGGCACUUUUCACGUACUGAUGGCAAUCGUUCUCCAUUGUUAUCCAGUAAAAGCCUAGCCUCCAGAUCUUUUGGCCAACAUUAUCCCAUUCAUGUGGGGACCACAGACCCCAUUGUUGACAUCUUCCAGAAUCUUUUCUGCUUUUUCCUCUUUCAAACAUAAAAGUGGAAUCCCAUCGUAGGAGCGUUUAUAGAGACCGCCCCCGCACACAACGAAUUGCAUUGCCAACCUUCUGAUUGUCUUCUUAUCAUUUUCCGUUGCAUGUUUGGGAUACGUUUGGUGUUCAAUAUAUUACCUGAUGUCAGUAAACCAUGGUUUACCUUCGGGUGCCCUUUCAAUGGCCCAAAUAUCACUAUUGAACAUGCCGGGAGUAAACUCAACUAUUUCUAUUAGGUUGCAAUACACCGGGCUGCUUCUUUGUUCUAUGGUGAUUGGGCGGACUUUCACUCCCUCCGGAAUGUUUAUCAUGGAGGCCAGUGUUGCCAAUGCAUCUGCGAACUUCUUUUUUUUUUUUUAUCUGGGUAGUGGAGUGAAACUUAUUUUCUUGAAUUGCUGAGUGAGCUUUUCAAGAUAAGCAUGGUAUGGCAAAAGUUUUUUCUUGGUUUUCCACUUCCCUUGAGUUUGGCAGAUGAUAAGCGCCGAAUCCCCAAAUACUUCGAUUUCUUCUAUUCCCAGGGUCAAGGCAGCCUCUAGUCCAUGGAUACAUGCUUAAUAUUCUGUGGUAUUGUUAGUUCCUUAAAAGUGUAGCUUAAUGGCAAUGGGGGUGUGCGAUUCAUCAGGUGCAAUCAGCAAUGCCCCUACUCCGUACCCAUUUUGAUUAGCCGCGCCAUCAAAGUCAAAUUUCCAUGCCCUGCCCUCCUCUUCUGUGACAGCUAUUUCCUCGUCUGGGAAGCAAUCCUUAAACUAAUGUUCCUCCUUGAGAGGGUGUUCAGCAAGGUGUUCUGCUAUUGCCCUUCCCUUAAUGAAAUUUUUGGGUUACAUACGUGAUGUCGAAUUCAGACAGAAGCAGUAACCAUCUUGCGGUCCUUCCCGUUAAGGCGGGUUUCUCGAACAAAUACUUUUUUUGGGGGUCCAUGCGAGCUAUUAAAUGUACCGGGUAAGAAAGCAUGUAAUGCCUCAAUUUCCGCGUUGCCCAAACCAAAGCCAAGCAGGUUUUCUCCAAAUUGGUAUACGGUAUACCUGGUCUCGUAGUCAGUCAUUUUCUUACUAAGGUAGUAUAUGGCCCUUUCCUUCCGUCUGUCUUUGUCGUAUUGAGCACCCCAUAGUGGUUUCAGUGACUGAUAGGUAUAGUAAUAAUUCCUGGCGUUGGAGGCACUAGAAUUGGUGGACUCUGGAGGUAUUCCUUUAUUUUGUCAAAAGCUUUCUGGCGGGCUUCAUCCCAUUUUCCUGCGUCAUUUUUCUUUAGAAGCUUGUGUAUAGGCUCGCAAGUGGAGGUUAAUUGAGAUAUGAAGCGGCUAAUGUAUUGCACGCGACCGAGAAACCCCCGAAUUUCUUUCUCGGUUCGUGGAGGUGGCAUUUCUUGGGUGGCCUUGACUUUUGCAGGGUCGACCUCUUUACCUCUUUGACUGACGAAAAACCCUUAAAGUUUUCCUGAUGUGACACCAAAGGCGCAUUUUUGGGGAUUAAGCCUCAACUGGUACUGACGUAUUCGGUCAAAGAAUCUCCUUAAUGCCGCACAGUGUUCAUCUCUGCCCCUAGACUUCACUAUCAUGUCAUCAACAUAUACUUCUACUUUAUUUUUCAUCAUGUCAUGCAACAAGGUUGUAGCUGCCCUUUGAUAUGUUACCCCGGCUUUUUUAAGGCCGAAAGGCAUGACACGGUAGCAAAAUCUUCCCCACUGGGGAAUAUAUAGGUUUUCUGCAUAUCUUCUGGCGCCAUCUUUAUUUGAUUGUACCCUGAUAAGCCAUCCAUGAAGGAUAAUAAUUCAUGCCCCGCUUUAUUGUCAACCAAGAUGUCAAUGUGUGGCAAAGGGAAAUCAUCCUUGGGACCGGCUUUGUUGAGGUCGCGAAAGUCAACGCACAUGCGGACUCUGCCGUCCUUUUUCGGGACAGGAACUAUGUUGGCUAACCAUUCGGGGUAUUCCGUCACUACAAGAAAUCCUGCCUUUAGCUGCUUCUCUACUUCCUCUUUGAUUUUCAACGUCCAUUCGGGCCUCAUUCUCCUCAGUUUCUGCUUGACUGGCUUGGCAUCAGGAUACAAAGGGAUUUUAUGCUGAACUAUGUCUGUGCUGAGUCCAGGCAUAUCAUCGUAGGACCAUGCAAAGACAUCCUUGUAUUCUUUCAAAAGGUCAAUCAGGCUUGUUCGUUCUUCGAGAGUCAAAGUGGUUCCUACCCUAACCUCUUGGGGUUCGUCUGCGGUCCCUAAAUGAAUGGGUUGGGUUUCUUCCAUGACGGGUUGAGCCUUCCUUUCCUCUGAUCUCUCCACCAUUUCCAAGAGUUCAGGAGGAGUUUCACAAUAGGUUUAUUCCUCAUCUACCUGCAUGAGGCAGUGAUCAUUGGAAGGGGAGCUAAGGUCUGCUAUUUGUUUUCCUUUUUUUUUCAAGAUUUUAAGCAUCUCAUCAUCAUCAUCAACAAACUCCGACACGUAAGCAAACCUAGAUUGAAUUUCAUUGCAAACCACAAGUUCCUUGAUUACAGACUCUCUGGCCUCCAGGGCCGACUCGACUUCAGAAAUGAUAACAGACACUGACGGGACAUACACAUCAUUAUUUUGGACAGACUUCAUACCAUCCUCCGAAGAGGUUACAUUAAACAGGGACUCAACAGACUUGACUAAGACUGGUUCAGAUAGAACACUGACAGACUUCAGCUGAGGAAGAGAAGACCAAUUGCGUGGUGCUCCAUCGGCUGGGAUGAUGAGAGUGGAUGGGGAAUCUAACCCAAAACGGCUGGCUAGCUCGUGCAAUCAACUAUAACUAUUUUGAAAAUCAAAAUAGUCAAAUAGUUAUCUCCGACACUUCUCCGAUCAAGGAGAGAAAGAUUUAAUUAGAGAUAUCCCAAUACCCAUAAUAUAAUAAUAGUUAGAACUCUCUUCAACCGGCUCUUUUUAAGCUAGAUAAACAGGCUGAACUUAAUUGUUACAUUGAGUUGGGGAAGCCUCCUGUUCUUCCUACCCUGUUGAAAAAGAGACAACUCCCUGCUCCUCUUCUUCGUAUGAAAUAGUAGUGCCUACCUUUCAUUUCGUCGAAUUGGUUCUAUCUCUUGACUACUUCUCCUCUUUAGAUUCAGCUGCUUAUGCUGCCUCUUCCGAUGGGGACGCUGAUAAUGACCUAUCUUCCUUACCAGGUGGAUUUGACAAAUCAUUCCUUUCAAAACCGGUUUGGGGCACUGAAGACGAACAGAAAGUGAAAAAGACUCCCCUUUUUCACUCAGUUAUUCCAUUUUUUGCACGACAAGCAGUCGAGAAACAAAUGAUCGAUGCCUUCAAUCGGCGGGGCCUCGCUACAUUAAAAACCUAGAUAACCCACUAGUUUAGCCUUUGGAUACAGAGUACUCUGGGAAAGGAAUACAAGGACUCUCUCAAACCAGAAAGAAAUGUCACGUACGGCACUUCCUAGCCAGCUCCUGACAGAGUCGGAUAGCUCCCUCCAGCCGUCAAUUACAGGCUUCGGUACUAAGCUCACUGCUCCGGGUAAAGAAAGGAAAGCCGUCCCUCUUCCAUUCGGAGCAAGCAUCGUAAUCGUACCGCUAUAAAACUUUCCAUAGGAGGAAAGGUCUCCUCUACUGCCCAUUCGCCGUCCUUGGUGAGUCCGGUUUUCUGUGCUACGUUAUUCUUAGAUCCAGCGAAAUCAUUGGUUUCAGAGUCCACUGUCUUUGUUGUCUCAAUGAACACAAACCCGAUUGUAAACUUUAAUGUUUACACAAUAAUCUCAAAUCAAAGCCUCUUUUGUCAAUCCGGGGCAAUACGAGUGGCAUAAGCUAUUUCUUAGAAACGGGCUUUCGAUAAGCAAUUGGAGGACUACCGAUUGACUGAUUGACCCCGGGAGUCAAGAAUCUAGGUUCGACGAGCUCUUAUUCGCCCCUGGCGGACCUGUAUACUCUUGUCCUGUUGGGUAGAAAGGACACGGGGAGCCGCCGCUCCGUUGGGUGGUAUUCCGAGGCAAGCUAGAGGUAGGUCUAAAAGACUAUUCCGUCAGGCUUGCCUCAGUCAAUCAGAAAGGCAAAUGAGAUUAUAUCUCGGGGAAGGCAGCAUCUUUUGCCAGCGCUUUGGCAUCAUCCUUUCCUUCAAUAACUUAAAAUAGCCGACGGUCAGUGGGGUAGGUAAAGUAGUAACCGUGGAAAGGGCACAGACAGAAAACCACUCCACUGGGUAGUGUUCCGAGGAGAUCGGUCUUAAAGAUUCGAUUGCUUCAUAAGGUCCAGGAAGGGGAACUAUUCCUGUUUCAGUCAAAAAGACAAAGUAAGGGGUUGUCUCAGGGCAGGGAGCACACACGGUAUCCUUUCCGGCGCUUUCCAUCAAAAAAGGGCACACAGGGAACUGCUAUAUGAUGUUCCGAAAAGGUUGGUCUCACUCACUCUACUUCGGUUCCUUCAUCAAGGAAAGGAGUAAAGUGCGCCCUAGAAAGGCGCGAAAGUGGGCGGCUUGCCCCUAGACCAUAGAAUAGAGCCAACGGUGCUGCUUCGGACUAGGUAAGGUGUCGAACCUCAUGUUUUCGAUCUCAGUAGCUUCAUCUUCUGGAUUUGGUAAAAAAGAAACUCAAUCCUCUGCCCUAGAUUCAGCUAAAAAGCUAGCUCUCGCUUCAUCUGAUGCUUCAUAAGUUUUAGAUUUGAAAAAGCCCUCCUUCCUAAACAAGUCAAAAGACUCAGAAUCGGGAUCACGGUUGUUGGAACUCUUCCCCUCUUCAGCGUCUGGUUCGGCUUUAGCUUUUUCUGAUACGGAUGCUUCUGUUUCUGCUUAAGCUUCUGCUUCUUUUGAUGCUGAUGCUUUAGUGGCAGCUGCGUCUGUUUCGGCGGAUGAUUCGGAUUCUGCGGAUGCGGAUGCUUCUGUUCGCGCUUAGCUUCUUUGUCUUGUUUGUGUUGUAAAGUGCGCGCUAAAGCUACAGCUAUGUGUUUGCUUUGGAAUCGAAUAAGGCUUACUCACUUGUUCCUGAUGGAUCAGCACCAGUCACCUUCCCUCCUUUCAUGGAAAUAGGCUUAUUCUUCAUGACAAGCCUUUUCGUUAGCAAUCAAUGAACUUCCCCCUCCACCGCGAUAAGCUGACAGCUCACCGGGCAAUGCACUAAGCCCGAGAGCAGCCUAUCCGGUUUUGUCUACUUUCUGAUCUCAUUUUUGUAAAAAACGAGUCAAAUAAGGCAUUUCCCUUCGGAAAAGCCAAUCAAAAAAUGAUUCACAAAUACACAAAACGAAGAUGAGUUGAUCUUAAGCGCGAUAAGCUCCGAGCUCACCAGGCAAUGCCCUACGCACGGAUAGCUGCAUAAUGGAAUACUUUGCUUUGUGAUCCAUUAUUUCACAAAGAGAAGCCUUCCACCCUUUUUCCUUUCGUAGAGCAGAGUCAGAAAAAGAAGCGUUUUCGUAAAAAGCGCGAUAAGCUUUAAGCGAACUAGCCCUCUUCGUGCACACAGAUGCCCUAGCACCCUCCACCCGAAACGCCUUAAGCGCGAAAAGCUGCGGAAGCAGCGAAAGAAUACAAGAAAGAAACCAUAUCACCAGAUAAAUACGUUGAUCAAAGAACAGACCCCUAAGAACGAAGGGAGUGGUUCGAUUCCCUUUAGCGGGGCUUCAAAGCGUUACGCUCGUGCUUCUUUCGAGGAAGCUAGCUAGCGGACUCAUUCAAUACCCCUAUCUAUUGAGCUACCUUUUGUUCAAUUGGAUACUCCUACUCUGUUGAAGCCUGCCAUGGAAGGGAAAAAGCUCCCGCGGAGUCCAAAUAUUGGAAAGCUUUUUAGAAUUUAGAGCAUAAAGGCAGUGAUGACGAAUGGAAGCACUUGUGCCACAAGCAAUUGAAGAGAAGUCCACCUUCAGGUGCAGAGGGACCUGGAUAAACGUUAACUGGGGAGGCCUCUUCCUUACACUCCGAAUCAGCUGGUCCAACGCUUAGAUCUUGUAAAGUUAUUUCAUGCAGUUCCUUCUUUGCCCCUCGGUUCACCUUUGUUGCUAGAGAUAGCCGGUUGGCAAAGCCAACAGGGAUAGGAUGCCGCGACAAAAAAUCCAGUUGGAGUCUAUCGGAGAGCAACUACAAAGCAAAUGGGGCUGAUUAGAGAAGGCACUUUUUAUCCUUCACCACUGGUACACUUCUUUUUUCUUGGUUAGCGCUCAUGUUUUCCUUGCGCGCUCCUGUGUUCAGUGCCCCCCUUCUUCUCGCAGAAAUUGGAUAUCAGAGUCAUGCAGUCCCAUUUUCAGUCCCAUUUUCUGGCUGCAAGGCCCGGCCCGAGUAGUCAAUGGUUGCUACCGCUCACUGCGCUUCUCUGUACCAUUUAUAGUCAAAAUAGAUGCUGGGCAUAUCUACUGACCCGACGAAGCUGACGUAAUUCUAUCCAUCCAUAGCUGUCUGUACCACUACCUCUAUCCAGCAGAUCCAGCGCCAACCGAUCUAUAUCUAGCUUUGGCCGGCCGGGCCAACCCACCUAUACAGAGCUGACGCCAUGCCCACCUAACCACGAAAGCAUCCAAUAUUUCAAGAGCUGUAUGCCAGGCCGCAGAUCCAACACUCCGCCUGGAGGGCAACCACCAAAGCACCUUCCUACAGUACACCUUCAUCUGGGACACGCACCUGCAUUCAGCCCUUCCAUCGAUGUGAGCGCGUCACCAGAUAGUCGAGUUGAACCGCUUACAGCGCCUUCAUCCCCUUCGGUCGAUCAACCCUAUAAGACGAAAGCAGCUAAGAGGUAUAAUCCCCUCACCUGCUGAUGCGGAUUAUGAUUCCGAUUUCAAUAUUGAUUCAAGCCCAACUCCGCUACCUCGGAUUCAGAGAUUUUUGAAGGGACAUUCCAGCUGGAAAUCUAGCCAGAUAUUCAGUUCUUGUACGAAACCCAAGAAAAGAACUAACUAAAUUUUUUCAUUCCUUCCCUCAUAUAAGAACUAUUAGCGAGCAUGCAACUCAAAGGAGAAUCUGGUGGGUCACCCGGUGAAUUGAUUACAGUAUCUGCUAUGUCUAUAGAUAAUCAAUGAAUUUCUUUCCCUGAUAGUUCUAUUCCAGUUCCCAGCCAGCUUUUUGGAGUGUUAAGGGUUGCAGCCAUAAUUUCCCCUUCCGCCAGCAAGCAAGUUAGGGAUAAUAGCUGGUUAUAGGUCAAAAGCUCCUUCUAUUCUAAUUCUAAUUCUAGGUCCAGGGAAAAUGGAAUCCAUCCAGUUCUUUUCAAGCCUGCAGAAUCAAGGGGCAUUGGCAAUAUCCCACAAGCCAAGCGGGAAGCAUAACUGUUUGAAAUAUACUUUCAAGCCUUAUCUGAGUUUCUUAACUUAAUAAGCUAGCGUCCUGUAAGGCUUUCCUUUCCAUCCAAUUCUUCUGCCUUUGAGCCAAUCCAAUACCAGUCCAGUAGUGCCAUUCCAAAAAGGAGAAGUCUCUGUCCUUACCUUCGACGGUAACCCCGCCGUCUCUUUUCCGGCAGUCCCUUUUUCAAGCGAGCAGAAAAUGGAGGCAUUCAACUUCUCUCAAGCCGGGAAAAAGGCAAAAGCUCUACUAGCUUCCUUCUUAUACAGUCAUAUGUUAGUAGGCCUAGAUUAGCCAGUGAGAAAGCAAGUGAAAUCAAGUUCUUUUCUUUUAUCCGUGCAUAUUACCUAUUAUUCUUAUCUGGAUGACUAAUAUUUUCUUUCGUAUUUUCCUAUAUAAUAGACUUUCUUUCCUCUCUUCCCUUAUAGAAUAGAAAAUAGAAUACGCUUUUUUUUACUCAAUGAAUUAGAAUCUAUUUUCUCUUCCUCUAUGGCUAAAUUCGAAUAUGGAUUCGAAAGGCUUUUUUAUCCUAGGAUAGGGCUGUUUGUUCUUCACUCCUCUGUCCUGCUCAUGAUUUCGGGUAUGGUUACCAAGUCAAAAGUCAAAAUGUUCGAGUUCUUUCACCCCUUAGUCUGUUACGGCGAGUGAGGAAGCCUUUCAAGCAGGCCUUUCCUUUAUUCAAGUAAGUUGUCAAGCAGACCACUUCUGGAUGCUCCCUCUUUUUCUUUUUAGGGUCCCUAGAGCCCCUCGCAGGUACUAAAAGUUGGAAUCGCUUUUCUUUUCCCCUCAAAAUAGUAUCAAGCCAAAGUUUCUUUUCCAGGUGGAAGGGCUCACUCUUUUCCUCUAGAGAAUUCUUUCCCAACUAGUUCAUGAGUUGCCUUCUUUCGAUUUUGAGUUCGGAAAGAUCUCGUUUCAGUCCAUUCUGAAUCUCUAGCUUUUGAGACAGUUCUAAAAUCGGAGUUAGGGGUCCAGUUGAAGUUGGAGUGGAUGGAGAUUGAGUUGGAGUUUCAUUCUAGCCAAUUACAGUGGUUUGAUAAGUGGCAAUUGCCUACGCCGUUAGUCUUUACUAAUAUGAAGGUUAUUAUUCACUUGGAGUAUUAUAAGAAUGUUCUUUUUAAAUAAAAUAUUGAUUGUAAGUAUUUUAUACUUUUAUACAAAAAUUACUAGUACAUACAUAAUAUAUAAAAACAAACUAGUCUAAUAGGAAAAGAAUCAGUAGAACACUCUUUAUAAGCAGUAGUUGCCCAUCCAAUUGUAGUACUUCUCGCUGGGGGUAUCUUACAUCCAGUCCAGUCAUUGGUAGUUUCCCUCUAGGCGGUUUGACAGUUGGCUUCAAUACAGUCUUUUCUUUUGCCCUUCCAUUAACAGAGUGUGAGAUUGCCAUCUUACCCAUUGAAAAUGACUCCCUUCUUGCCAGUGCUUUGCCAGACAUUUCCAAUCACCUUGGGGGGACGAACAAGUGAUAGAGCUUUUUGGGGAUAGCCUGCUAGUAGGCCAGUUCAAGUGCUCAUCUAAUCUCUUAAUUGAGUGCCCCAGCUAAGGCAUUUAAGGAAAGUCAGUCUCCACUUAGCCCCUGGUAAGUAAAUAAGUCAACCUUUCUUUUAUUUUAUCCAAUAGAAAGAGGUCAUGUCAUCUAGAUCUCCCCGAUCUGAUCGAUCCAAACGAGCAAAGAGUUUGAGAGCACUCUCUUUUCUAGUCCCUUACUAGCAUGUCCGAUUUCAAGUGAGGAUAUUCCUAGCUGAUUUAUGAUAUUCAUCUUAGUCUCCCUAGCGCCUUCAGUCUGUAAGCCUAUGGCAGUUCUAGUUCUUUUGCAAUCCAUCCAGUUCUUAAGGCAAGCCCUGCCAGUCCUAAUAGAAUCCCCUCUCCCUGCUAGUUCAGUGAGAUAGCUAAAAGAUAACUGGACUAGGUUGGAGUUUUCUUGCCUUGCCAUUCAUUCAGUACUAAGUGCUUCCAUUGCGAAGCCCCUUCGAUUUUUAAUCCUUUGCACUCCAAUAGGAGUGCUUCUUAUAUCCAGUUUCAGUCUCCUUCUUUCUGCUUGCCAUCUAGCACCUUUGCCUUGCGAUCCCGUGGGAGUACCUCUCCUAAUAAGCCCUAUUUGUUAAGCUUUUUUUAAGUAAUACCUUGCAGCCAUUGUUCAUUUCUUGCCAUCUCGAAAAGUCCUUCUGAUUCCUGCUAUUCCUACGCUCUCAAGUCUGGAAAGCACUACUCGAAAGCCGGGAAAGACAAGCCAACAGUGGAUAUAGCAACUUUUUUAGAAGCAGGGUAAAGGGCCUAAUUUUUAGCCAGUUCCGUUGCAUCAAGUUCCAUCCCAGCGAUUGGGAGUUUCCUUCCUGCCAGACCUAAAAUCAUCUAAUCUAAUGACUUCUCCUGGCGAGCGAGAACAAGUCCUAAGGUAAGCUCAUGUCGAUUCAGCCAAGUCAGUUUAGUAAGUUCCAGUUUCGUUGCAUGGCGAUCCUUCGAUAGCAGGCUAGUUCAAUUCUGUUGGAGUUGCAGUCAUUAGGCGAAAAAUGAAAUAAGCCAGUAAGCUCUUUUCGGGUAAGGAAGUUAUCAAACCAGUUCAAGUGUGAGUUGCCAGUCAUCCAAUUUCGUUCUCUCUGCCAUUCCAUAUGCUCUAACGCUCUCCCCAGAGCUAUUCUUAUUAGUGCUUCCAUUUUCAAGUGAAUAUGUAGCAUAUCCUCAGCCAUCUAGGUGAAAGGCUAGGGGCUAGGGUAAAAAGGUUAGAUCAAGGUUAAGGUAAAGGGGGGGCUCGGUAAAGAGCUAGAGCUAAGGAUGACUCUCCUUGGUUGGAAGAAUUUAUUUCAUUUGUAUUUGAAUAUGCGCUUUCUCUCCGCAGUAAAGAGUGUGGUACGCCUAAGCACUGGAAUUGGUUCAUCUCUUGCAACAGAGCCAGUUGGAGAAAAAAAAGUCAGCCCUUGUGCCUUAAAGUAAGAAAAAAAGCGACGGGAUAGGGAUCUUUGGGAAGACAGUAUAAUACCUUUUUCUAGUCUAGUUUCAUUCGUAACUCUCUUACUUUACUUAGAGAAGUAGGUAUUUUAUAUAAAAAGGUAAGAACGCAUUUUUUUUAUGUUCCCUCUUUUUUUCAGUCGAGGUCUUUCAUACCUUGGAUUCUUUCCCUAGACUUAGGACAGGACAUGGUUCCGUUCCCUCGAGGUGCAUAAGCCGUUGGGAGUGUCUUUGGAUUGGAUGUGGGUCACAACGAAACGAGCUAAAUGGGCUAAACGAACGUAAGGAGCGAAAGGGGUCGGCUACAAGCCAACGAGCGAAUGAGCUAACGAUCUGACAGAGCUAAAAACCUAGCAAGACUACCAAUAAUAGAAUAGUGCUAAGGCGGAUACUUUGGAUAGCAGUUAUAGCAGAGAGUUUUCAAAGUUCCAGUCCUACUUAAAGUGAGUGAGUUUUUUUUUUAUGAGAUGAGUAUGACUUAAGGAAGUAGUGGGCUUUUUCGGAGCUUCUCUUUCCCGUGUAAUAUGUAUGUAUAAGAUCUCGAUUGUAGAGAAAAAAAGGCUGAUAGGCUUGUUUAUAGCCUGUAUAGUUGAACAAAUUUGAACUUGUGUUUCCGAUGCCUGCUGCACUGUCAAGUGCCUUUAGAGGUAGAACCUUGCGCCUAUCCUUUGCCUUUUUUAAUCCCUUCGUCGUAAUGCGAGCCAAUUUCUUUCCUUUUCGCUGAAGGUUAAAAAAACAAAAAAGUAGGAAAAAUAGGUAGAAAAGAUGUAAUAGAGUGUAGGCAAGUUUUCAAGCGAAAGAGGGAGUCUUUUUUGCAAGCUAGGAAGUUUUCAAUCCUUUACAUUAGUCUUAGGCAAGUUAGCCUGUUUUUGGAAAGCCAGUUUGAAAUUAGGUAUUCAAAAUUCCUUUUCGAAGGGGCAAUGAAGUAAGUAAGCGCAAGUGAGUUUGAAAGCACACUUUUCUAGCCAGCGGGUAAGAUAGCAAACCAGACUGGAAAGAGCGCUAACGGUAUAACGGAUAAGAGUACCAGUAGUUCUGAGUCUCAUUCCCCAGAGUAAAAGGAAGAGAUAGGGAAUCUAUUCUAUCCUUAGGCUAAUGGUUUGCAGGCCAUUUCUCUUCGAUGUAGUUUGAGUUCACUUAUAUGCGGUUUUCUGGGUUCUACCUUCCGGUACGUUUUUCAAAAGGAAAGUGGAUUCGUCGAUCCAGCCAAGCUAACUGGGAGUUCUAUGAGGAGUUGCUAGUGUCAUUCUAUUUACAUUAGGUUCUUUCUCUAGUAGCAUUUCAGGUAAAACUUCCAUUGCUAGGAGGCUAGCAAAAAUAGCCAGUUGCUAUUUUUCAUAAGCAGAAACAAGGGGUACUAUCCAAUUGCAAGGUAAUGAUUUGUUGAAGCUAGUACUCAUUCCUUCUGUCUUUACCAAAGCAAGUCGCCACUUUAGAUAGUAGCUGGCCCACCGAAUGGAAAGAUUUUCUUCAUGAUCUGAUCCCCUAGGGAAAGGAACUGCUCACCCGAACUACUUUGCUUACUGAACUGCUCACCGGAACUACUUUACCUUUAUGAACAAAGCAGGAGUUUCAAAAAACGUUCAAAGGUUGGAUUGCCUUCUCCUGGGUACUCUCUCUUGAAUAAGGAGAGAUCUUCCAACUCGGCAAUUCAAAGAGAGAGAUUGAUUGAAUUGAUGCCAACGAACGAGCCGAGAAAGGAGAGGAAAAGAAUGAUUUUCCAUGGGCCUUACCUUUUGGGCUAAACUAAAGGUGGGGUAGGAAGAAAAGAGACUAAAGAGCUGUGCGGCGAGGGUUUCGCUCGCUGAAAGAAAGGCUUCUUUAUUGAGUUGAGCAUAGAAUCACGCCGCUGGAUUGUCUCAAUCACUACCUUUCCCUGAGAUGGAAAGAAUUCCCUUUUUGGAAAGUGCUAAUUGAGCCGUAGAUUGUGAGUGAGCUUACUGAUUGAUUCAAAGCUCUCAUGAGAUCUUGUUGGCAUGCCUACCAAAUGGUGAGAAAGUAACAGGAAACCCUUCCUCUAACUCCCCGACUGGAAAGACUUGGUUUGCGUGCCUGAUCUUCUUCUGCCCUAUAUCUUCUAUCUUAAUAAAAAGCCUUACUAAACGAGGUUUACUGGUCCUCCGAAAGCGUGGAUUUCUUUUUUCCUAAAUGAAAGGAAGAGUCAAUUCCUUUGUCGAAGCAUCAGUCUCAGCCGAACCAACAACUCCAGUUUUUCCCAAGUCUUCAGAUAGAGAUGAAUGCUCCGCCUCAGAUGAGCGGAUGAGAUAAUUUGUCUGCUUUCGGGGUAUGUGUCUUUUCCCUUUCCCAGAGAUGUUUGUGAUCAAAUUUGGGCGGAAGAAGAUAUUACACCGGAGUAAGGUAUGGUAGCAUCGGUAGAAGUACAGCUCGUCCUGACCCGUUCACGGGUGACGACAUAAGGUUUGACGAGCAUGAUUGUGAUAAAUGGAUUCGAUUCGCCUUAUAGCGAGGAGCUCGGCGAGCGGAGGAAUGGCUCGACUACUCUCUUCUGGUCCGAGCACCGUUGGCCUUAUCUUCCUCUUUUCUCCUGAAGCGGGAAAAGUUCGUCCCGGGUUCACCCGUAAAGUGAGUGAGAAGAUCCUCCCCCCAAAAAAAGGAUAUUCCCGAUCCUAGCCUCCAAUCAAUAGAGAAAAGGAUCUUCCUGAUCCUAGGGUUCUUGGUUAAAAGGUAAAAGAGCAUACCCCAGAAUAUCACCUAGUAGAGUGGCUACCCUUGCUCUUUCAACCAUGGUAUACCCCAAUGAUCCUUUCGCUUCGGUUGAUGUAGUAGUAGUGUCACACCCGUCUCCUAUAAGACUCUCAAGGAGUCUAUUUUCGACUAACCCUGUAUUAGUUAUUUCAAUGCUUUGGAGCCGGGGCGAGCAGAGUAUGCUCAGCUUACUAGCCCUAAUACACUAGGGUAGAAGACAGCACGUACAGGCCCGACAUGAACGAAGCAGAUGGAUAGCCCAGGAAUAGCUCCCCUUCCUUGUUUAGGCAGGCCUACUUCCCUUCCGCUUCCCUUUCCCCACCCACCGCCCUCGGUUCCCGGGAUCACUAAUCACUAACAGAAUUGGAAGCUUUAUCGGAACCAAAAUCAACUUCGGCUAUAGGAUGGGAAUUGUACCUGAUGUCAAGUUCAGCUCAAGACGGUCGCUCAAUUGCACCUUCGCGCACCAUUCUUCUGAGCUGCUUAGCGAGCGUAGCCUCUCUUCGUCAUUGAGAAUUUCUUCUGUUCUCGACCGACCCAUUGGCCUUUGCUAUCGCAUUUUCUCUCUUUCGCGCUGCCUGCAGAACGUAGUGUAGUUCCUUUGUUCUUUUCCACUCACUACUUGAUGAAUCGCGUUAAAGCACAUAUCAGCCCCUCUCGAGCAUCUUUGAGUUGAGCUUGCUUAGCAGGGUGUGUUUUGAUAUCGCCGGAAAGCCUUUCUUCUCCUUUCUCUCCUGGAAAGGAUUUAUCACAGUACUAUAAAAAGAAAGCUAAUGUCUGGGGAAGAGUCGUCAUCACAGGAAUGUCCCUUUUGUUUUGCAUUUGAUGAAUCCUGGCUAUUUGAGCCCACAUCAAAUUCGUGAGAAAGGACUGGAGCUGCUGGUUAAGAAAAGAAGAGAAAUGCAUUUUUUGAUGAAAUUAAGAGAUUGCCGGGACCUUCGCUCUACUGCUAGCUGGCUCUAAACCUACCUUUUCCUUCCCCACCUCUUCUGAACCUUACCCGUAUCAAUGGAAUGAACCUCAGAGCGUAUCAAGGUUUUAAGCAAUAAAACCAUAUCGAGCGAAGAACAAUACCGGGGAGCUGUAUUGAAUCAUACCGAACCAGUCCUUACAUUUAUUUGUGGCCAUAGAGGAGCCGUAUGAAGCUGAAGUUUCAUGUACGUUGUAAUAGCGAUGGGAACAGUGAUGUUAUUAUCGACUAUGAUUAUCUAAUAGUUCAAGUACAGUUGAUAUAGUUGAAGCACAGUCAAAAUAUGGUUUUUGGGGGUGGAAUCUGUGGCGUCAACCUAUAGGGUUUAUUGUUUUUCUAAUUUCUUCUCUAGCCGAAUGUGAGAGAUUGCCAUUUGAUUUACCGGAAGCAGAGGAGGAAUUAGUAGCAGGUUAUCAAACCGAAUAUUCAGGUAUCAAAUUUGGUUUAUUUUAUAUUGCUUCUUACCUAAAUCUAUUACUUUCUUCAUUAUUUGUAACAGUUCUUUACUUGGGUGGGUGGAAUUUUUCUAUUCCGUACAUAUCUAUUCCUGAACUUUUCGGAAUAAAUAAAAUGGCCGGAGUUUUUGGAAUGACAAUUGGUAUCUUUAUUACAUUAGCUAAAGCUUAUUUGUUUCUGUUUAUUCCUAUCACAACAAGAUGGACUUUGCCUAGGAUAAGAAUGGACCAACUAUUAAAUCUUGGAUGGAAAUUUCUUUUACCUAUUUCUUUAGGUAAUCUAUUAUUGACAACUUCUUCCCAACUUGUUUCACUAUAAAUAAGAAAAUACGAUAACGAUAUUCCAGAUUCAUAACCUCUUUCAAACAAGAGAAAGAAACAUAAAUUUAUUCCUGGAUAUUUACAAUAUGUUCUCUAUGGUGACCGGGUUCAUGAAUUAUAGUCAACAAACAAUACGAGCUGCAAGGUAUAUUGGUCAAAGUUUCGUAAUUACCUUAUCCCACACAAAUCGUUUACCUAUAACUAUUCAAUAUCCUUAUGAAAAAUCGAUCACAUCAGAACGUUUCCGUGGUCGAAUCCACUUUGAAUUUGAUAAAUGUAUUGCUUGUGAAGUAUGUGUUCGUGUAUGCCCGAUAGAUCUACCCGUUGUUGAUUGGAGAUUUGAAAGAGAUAUUAAAAAAAAACAAUUGCUUAAUUAUAGUAUUGAUUUUGGGGUCUGUAUAUUUUGUGGUAAUUGUGUCGAGUAUUGUCCAACAAACUGUUUAUCAAUGACUGAAGAAUAUGAACUUUCUACUUCUGAUCGUCACGAAUUGAAUUAUAAUCAAAUCGCUUUGGGUCGGUUACCAAUGUCAAUAAUUGGAGAUUACACAAUUCAAACAGUUAUGAAUUCGACUCAAAUCAAAAUAGACAAAGAUAAACCCUUUGAUUCAAGAACGAUUACCAAUUACUAAGAUUUUGUUUUGAUAUAAAAGACCCAAGCUCUUUUUAUUUUGUUUGGUCAGUAACUACAAAUAAUAACUAAUAAUUAUUGAUUGUUGAGAAUUAUUCUUUGAUUUAAACUGAGAAUAUAUUUUUCGUGAUGAUUUCGAAAUAUACAAUCCCCAUUACUCUUUUCUCGAUAAUUUUAUCUAUAUCUACAUUAAUCCAUAUAAAAAAAAAGUUUGAAUUCAAUUAGGAAUGUAUCAUAUACAAGAAAAAAAAGGGGUAACCCCUUUUCCUUUCCUGGACCAUUCAGUAAGGUCAUGAAAUAUUUCGACUUAUUUAUUAAUUUCUCAUUUUCAUAAUGGAUUUACCUGGACCAAUACAUGAUAUUCUUGUAGUAUUUUUUGGAUCAGUUCUUGUAUUAGGAGGUCUGGGAGUAGUAUUACUUACCAAUCCCAUUUUUUCUGUGUGUGUCAGUUGGCUAGCGAAGUAGGGACAGAGAAAGCUUUUUCAUUCAUUCAAUCUCGGCUAUUUGCUACGGUUCUUUGAAUCCUCCUUUUAUAGUUCUCUGUCUUUAUCCCAGGUGCUCAAGCCAUUUUCUUCAAUCUGCACUGAGCGAGUCAAGAUAAGCGUCAUGAUCUGCAAGAGCUGAGGUGUUCCGAAGUUUGCUUAGUGCCGAUAAGGAACGAACGAAGCCACUUCGCAAGCAGCAAAAAGCUCUCAUUUAAGAAAUUGGAAGCAGGAAUGAAGAAGGGGGCACAGUCAGACUUUCGUCUCAGACUGCCUUAGACAAUGAAACUGUUCAGAUAUCCUCGCAUAUUCAGAAUCUUGCCCCUCAGCUCGCUACUAAAAGGGGGCAUCAUCUCCAAAGGAUCUCGCUUUUCCAAAGCAGCUCGCAAUACUCACCGAUAGCGCCUCUAUUAACCAUUAACCGUUACCACUCGCAAAGUCGGGAGGAAGGCCCGCCCCUCAAAGUCGCUUCAAGCCGUACUGAAUCUAUAGUUGAUAAUCAGUCUGUCUUGUUCAAGAAAGAGUUUCGAGGCCUACGAUACACUGAAUCUAGUUCCGUUCCUUAUAGUCGAGUGGCUUCCAUCUCCUCUCCUUAUAGUCGAGUGGCUUCCAUCUCCUCUCCUUUUAGUCGAGAUCUUUUAGAACCUUCACCUUUGAGUCGAGUUGCUUCCUUCGCUCAUUCACCUUACUGGGUGGGGUCUCUUUCACAUCCUUUGUUUAGUUAUCUACUUCACUUUCGAUAACCUCGGCAAAAAAGCUUAAUUCUCUCUUCAUUCAGAUAGAUCCUCUGCUUGCGUAGUCUUCUCUAUCCUUAUUCCCUGUGACGGUUGACCGACCCGCGUAAGGUGCCGGUCCCUGCCUUAAGCUUUUCAGCCUAAAUCUCUUUCUUAUUGAAUGUAUAUCUAUCUCCCUAUUCGUAUGGUCAAGUCCCGUAAAGUUCGUUCCGCUUGCUCCUGGCUGGUGCGCUCUACGGCUAACUUUCUAUCUUGACUGCAUCCAAAAAGAAUGGGUUUAUGCAAUUUCAGACUAAGGAUGUGGAACAGAGCCAGCCGCCUACCUACUUCUGAAAGUUAUUUCCUCUUUCUUUCCCCGCAGCUAUUCGUUACGUUUUGUUUUCAAUUCAAUUGAGCGUCAAUCUGCACUGAGCGAGUCAAAGAGAGGCGUCAGUUGACUCCACUUUCGGCGUUCAGCCUACUUCUUUCUCGUCUUUCCUUAUUCAUUAGGUGGGGUAUAUGUGCCAUUUCAGAGCCGCUAAACCGAGUCAAUUCAAGAGAAGCUAAAGCGUGGGUGACGGAACGGAAUUCACUUUCUUUCGCCCAGUUGCAAGCUACUCAACCUAUGGAAUAACCUAUCUUGCAGAUCCUGUUACGUCGAGUCUCUCUCUCUAUUGCAUAUCCUUCGGCUAAAUAAGCUCUUUUAUGCACCUCCAGUUAGUCAAGUAGCUCUCUUUCAGAUCCUGACGGAACUAGAUGAGACUAAGCAAGCACGGUGGACUUCUCUUCUUUUCUUUGCCGAGUUCGACAAGGUGAUCGAAUACAAGCCAGGACAAGAAAGUAGCCGACCCACUCUACUAAGUAGGAAGGCUGAGCUUGCUGCCAUCAAGAUGGAGGAGGUAGCUUACGGUGAGUCAACUCAUUUGCACCAUCCCUGACCGCAUUAGGUAUAAGGUUUGUCAAAAUAUCUCUUUAUUUGCCAACAAGAGCUUAAUGAUAGCUACUAAGGAUCAAUAAGGCUUGGAUGGGCUGCUCCAAGGGAAAUCGAAUCCAAGGGAAAUCGAAUGUUUGUGCCUAAGUGGUACCUUCUUCGUAAGGAUGUGACAGAGAAGCAAAAGGAGGAUUGCUAGAGCCGCAGCUACCUGUGAAAGACCGUGGGCAAGCAUAUAUCAAUGGACUGAAUCUCAGCUCUGCCCAAGGUGGGUUUUGCACUUGGUCAUGGUGAUAUGCUUGAUAAAGGUUUGUUUCGUCGAUAGCAUUUUCUGAUUUGGGAUGCGUAGUAGCUGUUGUCACAGUAGGGGUCCUAAGGCGGGAAUUGUCCUAAAGUAGCCAUAGCGUUGAUUGCUCUCCUUGUUCUAUUGUAUGGGCGAAUUAUCUUAAUGAAAGCCUUCUUUUUGGCUCUCGUGUGAGGGUUGUCAUAACUUGUGUCUAUCUGCUGUUAAAUUACUUUAUAGAGUCCUAAGGGUAGUAUCAAAGAUAAGGGAUUCAAGCCGUAUUUGUUUUGAUUAGCUGUCCCAGGGAAAGGAGUAAGUAUUGGCUGUUGGCAUGUCCGAGCUAAGAUUGGUUGAGGCGGGUAAAGACGGUUGCGUAGCUUACUUGGUAAAGUACUCCUUUAGUUUAGCGGUCAUGGAUCGAUUCUAGGUGGUUAACUUGUAUACCCCUAUUCUCAGAGUUCACGUUCUGAUCUAGCAAAUCCACUUUUCAGAUGAGUUCCAUAGUUUUGGACAGGACAGGUGGGAACCAGGAGGUAAAGCGUCUGUUAAAGCAAUCGGGCAAAUGCGUGUAUACUAGCUUACUAGCUUUAGUAGCUUGUGUACUAGCCUGUUAAAGGAAGCAGGGGUACGCUGAUUUGGGAUGCUAACUAAGUAGAUGCGGAAGCGAGGUGCGAAAAGGAGCUCGAUGAGCCUGAAGUCCAGAUGUGCAUCGACAACCGUCUCUUCGAUCUGAAAUAUGCUUUGCAUACGACCCCAGUUUCCUCUUUCGCCAUGCUAUCUUCGUUGGCAAACGGGUGGGUUAGAGCGAGCGCUGGCAGAGCGCAAUGCUGAUCAAACAGCCCGGGAUACUCGCCGCUUCGGUGUUUCGAGCAAGGGUUGUCGCCCUAAAGAGCAGACAGCCGUCGCUGACACAGACGCACCCCAGAAGCAGACGAAAAAGAAAUCCGACAAAGACAAGCCGAAGGAGAAUCUUUCUUCAACUGCGCCCGAGGCUCAAGAGGCCUUGUUGGAGAAGCUGUUACUAUCGAAACUAUACAACAAGCCUAAAAUCAAGAGUCUUCUGUUCCUCUCUCCUCGGUCUAGCCGGUAAAGGCUGAUCGCGGUAAGGGCUGGUUACGAUUGAAAAUACACACUAUUUAAGCGCUUAAGCUUACCAUGAUGAUUGCAGAAGAGGAAGUACGACGAGUACGGUAUGAAAUAGGUUGGCAAAGAACACAGAGUCGUUUUAAGGUCUAAAAACCCGACAGAACUCUUUCUUUCCAGGAAGCCUAUCCCUCUUUUUAUGUAUGAUACCAGUCGAGUACAAAAACGUAGCAACAAUUGCUUGUAAUUGGCCGUUUCCCUUCAUCGACAAAAUACGUUUCCAGCGAGAGAACAGGCUCAGACGGGAGCAGAGCCGAAAGGAGAUCCAUACGUUGAUCCAGUCAAAGAACUAGUGGAUCCCAAACAAGAGUUUGAUUCGUUUGUCUCGAAGAGUAAGAUAAAGGCCUAUUCAACCAACUACUCUUUCUCAACUUUAGGGAUAUUUCAUACUUAUUCCAACUACGGUAAGGAGCUUAAGAACUACAUGAUUCGCCCACUCGUCCCGGAAAGAAUACAAAUUUUUGAAAAAACAAGGUAGGUUUACCGGAUUGAGCUUUAAGCCUAGAACGCCAGAAUGGAUAGACUACCUUUUUUAUUGCCGCCUACCUCUUCCUCAAGCUCUGUCUCCCACUUCUCUGUCACUGCUUGAAAAGAGCUUUUCACCUGAAGAGAGAGAGCCCGCUAUAAGCCCGUGAUCGGACCUUCUUACCAAGAGGGAGAGCCCACCUUUUCGCUUACUGCCUAACUCAAGCUUGUCCAUAGAACGAGCUCCGCUAAGCGACUAGUUUACUGUUGAGAGGUAGCGAAGAGGACAGAUAGGCUAAAGAGAGGUUAGCGCUAGCUAGUGUUAGAGAGCUUGCUGGAUGAGAGCAGAGCAGACUAAUUAGAGGAAGGCGCGAAGCGUAGUAACUUCCGGAAUGAAUGAGUGCAGCAAAGUCUCUUAUCUUCCCCCUACGCCCUAAGAAGGAAAAACUGAGCAAGAUAGCUUCAGCUUCCAUUGAGCGUUGAGAGAGAAAUCGAGAUGUGAGAAAAAGAAUAGCUUUUCUUCAGCUCUUCACUAGCCAUUGCCAAUCCUGUUCUCGAUGGGAAAGCUUUACCUUAAGUGGAGUGGCCAGGCUCUGAUCUGAUUCCUCUUCGCGACUCUGAACGAAUGCUGUCGGCAUUCAAUCAUACAUAUACGAAGUGUGCCGCGAGUCACCUUAGAGAAAGAGAAAGGAACUUAUAAUGAUUGCUAGCAGAUGUUAUGAAAGAAGGGAUAGAAGGAGAAGAGACUGGGGAAUGCUUUUUCACUAUACGAGAAUUCCUCUGAUUCCUCCAUUCCAACCAGGUUUUCAGGAAUAAGCACUGCAAGAAUGGCGAUACCCCCUGCAGUUACCUCUAAAAGGAAUGAUCUCGGGCAUCAAUCUAAAGAGAGUUUGGUAGCUUUCCGGGAAAUUGCCUUAUCUUAUUAAAGGAAAAGGAAGAACUCGCUUUCGCUAGGCACCAAGGCUUCUUACCCUUCUGCUUCUUACCCUUCUGCUUCUUACCCUUGGUAGUGUGCUUGUACAGAGUAGUUUGUUUCACCUCUAAUACCGUUUUGGAAUCAGUAAGAGUUCGCAUCACUGUUUCCUCAGGAAGCAACGCAGUAGACAGCGAUUUCAUCUCAUGACGCAGUUUAGCAAUUUCUGACUCCAUACUAGCAAUACGCUGAGCAUAUUCUUUCUCUUUCUUUUCAAAGAUCUCUUUAAUGAAAGCAUUUUCCUCCUUCAGAAUCUUCAAUUCCAAUUUUAGAAUAGAGCUUUCUUGACCACCGAAGUCUAUUACAUCCUUAGGUUGUGUGUCUACCCAAACAUUGUUAUCAUCAUACACAGGGUCCCUUUUUGUAUCCGCUUGGAUUCCAAGGCUUACUUGGAAAGACUUUUUGGCUAUGUUUAGGGUAUGCCAAUCAAUUCUGAAGUUACCUUUUUCAAAGAGCUGAUUCGGUCACAGGAUUCUCUAACAGGAUUCGUUCAAACAGAAAGAGAACUGCUCCUGCUUCUUAUAAAAGAGAAUCUCUCUUUCAACUCUAGCCAUUCUUGGCUUGGUCACAUGCAACCAUCAAGAAAGAAGCAAGCAUUUAACAAGAAAGCAUCAACCGGAUUCAUUGAACUUAAAAAGCAUUUCGACAUAAAGCAUUUUCACUCGAGCUGAAACAAUUGAUGAAUUACCCGAGGCUUUCCCAGGGGCGGCUGGGCUUGGGUGGGCCUCUUUCUCUUCCUUGCUCUUCGAUAAGGGCGUUGGGCGUCUUACAGAAGAAGAAGGAAAUAAAGUAGGUCAUCCCAUUAUUGCUAAUAAGAAAUUCACGUCCGUCUCUGUGCCUUUUCUGCCUUUGAGAAUGCCCAUUGCUCGGACCUCCUUCUUUUAUUUCAAUAUAAGUUAAAGGCGCUUGUCCGUUGGGGGGUCAUUCCCUCUAGCCGAACGUAGUUUGCGAGUUGGGUCGUUGACUUAUUGGCCUUUCAUCGAAGAGAUCGCGCAUGGGGAGUGAACCUUAUCCCUUUUUUGGAACUUCACCGAGGACAUCGCAUGCUAGAAAGAAUGUCCUUUCUGCGCGUCAUUACGGUUACCUGUUCACUAGUAAUCUGGUCGAAAAAGAUCCAAAAACUAGAACGUCGGUAACAAUCCCGAUCAAUUAGAGGAACGGAGAACUCAUCUCCCACAAUAAGCAACUAUAUAACUCUAAGGAUCGUGUCAUACUGCCUUUCGCUGUGCAACUUCCACCAGCAGUAUGACCUUCUGAAUGCUGCUAGGUUCGGGCCCCAUUCGAUUCCUUUAGAAAAGGAACUUUUAUAUAAAAGGAAGCCGAACCCACCUUCGAUGAUCUUAGACUUCACGUUCUCUUAAAAUUCCAAAUAUCAAUAAAGCUAUCUCAGCUCGACUGUCAUUUUGAAAGCCGAGUCUUCGAGAGGUCUACCGUCUACCGCAUUCACAGACCCUCCUCCUAUCUACCUCCUAUGGGUCCGCGGAUUGCUGCCUGGGGCGAGGCGUGCCUACCACUUACUGUCUGACGGACAAAGGGGCCUACUCCAAGACCCGGGCAACACAAUGUUUCCUCCACUCCGAAGGUCACACUUGCCCUCCGAAAGCCAUUCGUGAGAGGCCGCCCACUAUACUCUCGCUUCGAGCCUUUAUUCGCAGGAGGAUGGCUUGAGACCAAGAUCCCACCCCCAAAGGCCGAUAUCACGUAACCAAAAACCAACUGCCGGUCUGAGCCCGCCAGAAACCCAAUUCGAUUCCAUUGCUUGGCGGCUAGCGUUCCAUUGCUAGGCUUCUAUGCUGGCUGCCGGCUACUAGGAUCAGUGGUUUUCACCCGCACCGAGGUCCCACUUCGGUGACAACACGGCCUCGACCCUCAGUCUUCUACGACCACAGCGGACCGCCGAGGUUCUAUACUAAAGUACGCCCCCUUAAUGAAGGUGUUCGCCUUUAGGACUCACGGUUCAAACGGGAUGCAACCAAGCUCCGUCCCAGGGAUUGCAAGCAACUCGAGCCGCUACGUCGCUCCAAAGACCUCUGCCUACACUCAUGCCAUCUUCCAAGCAAUUCGUUCUCCUCGGCCGCCUUUAAGGCCGCACCCCCCGAUAGAUCCUGGAUAGCCCCGGCGCGGAAAGAACAUGAACGCAUCCGUUUUCUUUCUGUUUGGAUGGCCAGCGGUUCCCGCGUAGACAGGCCCCAGUAGAGUCCGGCUGAGAAGGAUCACCUUUACAAUUCCCAACACAACCCAGAUAAGUGGGCAAGACGCUUCUGCAGGCAGAGGAAGAAAAUCUUCGGCCAAUAUGAGGUCCCCCAUACCUGCACCUGCAGGGCGCCCAAGACAGACACAGAGGUCUCUUUUUUCGGAUUUCGUUUCUCGGAUUAGGGAAAUCCGUGGAGAGAUCGUAGAAGCAGAGAUUCGCCUCGACAGCAAGAAUUUGAAAGGUGACUCAAGGUUAUAAUCCCGACCAGCAGUAUUAAGGGUCACGUUGUCGGAUCCUUUUAGGGGUUUCGAUUUAUCAACUUCUUUCGAAGCCGUGGUUAGUGAUAUCUGGACACUUUUCCAGCCCAACUACUCCGGGGAUAACCGGAAUAGAGCUCCGAGUAUACCUACGAGUCGUUCUAUCUCGUCAUGGGUUUGGCAGCAAGCACCGUACGCUCCUGGGGCGGGACCAAGCCCAUACUUUUGACACCCUUUUCUAUUGAAAUCCCGCUCCUUGGGACCACAGAGCUGCGAAGAUGGGGGGGCUCCUGCGGGUCUACCAUUGGCCAUUCAUUGGGUUACUGGUUCCCGCACGGUCGUCCAUCGGCUUGACCACAGUACGGAUUACCGGAUCGAUAGACUUAAGACACGACCCUGCACUGAGAUAGUUACAUUACUAACAUUUUGAAUUCACUGCAGAACGAGAAGACUAGGAACAAGGAAGAACAAGCAUUGCCGCUUUCCUGCAUUACUCCGUCUGUCCAAUGCCAGUUUGUAACUGAUAUGGACAAUGGGGGUGAUGAGCCAUCCGCAAUACGGUAGCAGUAAGCACGGCUGUCCACCAGAGCCGUCGGAUUCCGUCGGUCGAUCGUCUGGUUCGAAUACCUACCUCUCGCGGAAGGAUUCAGUAAUCGAACGAUGCUGUCGGCAGCGCUUGCGCACCCCAAAGAAUGGAUCCAAUCCAUCCCAAGCACAGCACCAAGUGCCCGCCCGUCUGGCCUCUUAAUAGAAGGAGGUCCUUUUGCGGACCUGCCGAUCUAUACGCUCCCACUCUUUCAAGCAGAAUACUACCGGCUACAGAUCAAAGCACGAUAGCUUAGCCAAACCAAUCCUCACUUACCGACCCUUAAGAAAAAUGACAACUCAAGGGCGUGCCGCCGAGCUCCGGAAUCUCUUCCGCGAUAAGCUAAGAUUGGCCCAACCACGCAAAGGCGAUUUCGAGCACUCACUAUAAUUAUUUUCAAAAAAACUAGGAACAGAGGUCAGAUCCAAAUCCAAUUAGAAAAUAAGGAAAAAAGAAAUAAAAAAAGAACAAGAAAAAACUUGUUUGUACGAGAUUCAACAACCAAUUUAGAUAACCAGACACAUUUAAAGCAAAGAGCGAAUUGACCACUUCCACACAGGACUAGUUUGUAGUUCGAGGUCUGUCCCCCUUGUCGAUUUAGCAAACCAAUGCCUUAAGCCACUCAGCCAUCCUUCCUACCGUAUGGGUGUACUCAGAUAAGAAGUCAGGGAAGUACAGCUAUACGGAAUACGAUGAGAAGUAGAGCAGGCGAAGCGAAGCGAUAACGGAUCUUACUGUCUGGAGAUCGGGUUACGUCGCUAAGGAAGCUGCAGGAUCCCAUGAAUUCGAAGAUUGCCUGCGGAAGUGGAAUAAGCCGAAAAAUGAUGCCUCUCCCUUCUGUCUUGGCUACCAUGCUCUUGCGCUAGAGCAAUGCGAACAGCUUCUUCUCAAGCAGGGGAUUCAAUAAGAGUGGAUUCUGGGCAUCUGGCAUUUGUCCUGAGAACAGCUCCUUCUCUGCUCAGAGUAAAAGAGGCAAAGUGCUAACUACUAAGGAAAGAAAUUCCAUUCCCUAGGGCAGAUCUUCCUCUACUGGGAUUGACUCGCUUAGAAGGGGUCCCAUUCCAUUCCUUUGGCAAAGACCCGCUCUGACUAACUCCUUCUCUCAUUGAUCCGAAAAGAAAGGCAUAAGUCCCACAUCUCUUAGGCGCCAAGAGUCUCAGAUGUCCAUUCAAAACCAAUAGUAGCUCGGCAUCGGGAAUCACUGACUUUAUAAGAGAAUGGUCUCUUUGCUCUUCGCCCCUUGUCCAUUCCGCGCUUACUUGCCAAAGCUUGUCCACCCACCGCCCAUGCCCCUCUUCCUUCUGAAAAAAAAAGUCAGCCCCUAUACUUCUUUCUUACCUAACAGCCUCGUAGACGCGGGGAAUCGCUAAAAGUAUGUUUGAACGGUAAGGAAAGAGUCAGUUCGAGUCACUCUGCCUCUCUUAUACACUAUUUUCAGUUCCUUCCUUGGCUGACUUUUAUUAACAUAAAAUCUCUGUCUCGCCUUUAUCCCGCUUCUCCUAAGUUCCCUAAACCCCAACCUUCAAAGACUAAAACUCUUUCCCUUGUCUACUAAAAAAAGACACUACAAGAUCAGAUGAACUUCUCGAUUUCGAUUAUACGUCGUUCCUCUCUAUUAUUUUGGGGGCGCCCUCCUCGGUGACAAGAAUACGUUUCCAUGCAUCUUACUUAGAUUUUAAGAGCAAUAGCAUUCAAGGUGACUAUAACGCUUAAGACCGAUGAUCCAACCAAGACCGCGAUGGCCUUAGCUUUAGCGGCCCUAGUUGAUUGACUUGCUACCGCUAACUCGCUGUGCGCUCCCCCCGGCGCUUCGACAACAUUACCGCCUACAUCUGUACUACUUAUUCCGUCCUGAAUAGAAGCAUGGAGAGUCCGCCUUAGAUCGUCAAAAUCUAAAGCGGGCACGAACGGUUGAUUUAUUGUUGUACCAUGCUCUGGCAGGGCGGUCAACCAAAUGAAAAAGCCAAUGAAUAGAGGCGGCAAUAGAAGAUUCAAGACUGAUAACAAGACUCCCUUCGGAAUAGGCAAGACUACGGGAUUACGAAUCGCAACAUAAGGAUGAUUCGGAGAAAGAUUCACCUCUGGCAGAUUGGAGGAGAGAUUCCACUUUUGCAUUAAGAUAUACCGCUUGGGGACUUUUUCCCCAACGAAAUGACCCAAGCCUCGUUUGGGGGAACUAAGGUUGAGGUGCCCCCACUCUCCUCCUUCAAUAGGGCGGUAGAAGAUAGUGGGCCCGAUCGAGACCUUGACAACCCUUAUGGCCUUGAUCCCUUUCCCGCGGGGGAGUGCUCUAUUCAAUAAGUGCCCCUUGAGCCCUUUCUGGCCUGCCCAGAAAGCCCUUUGCGCGGUACUUUCGACCAAGAAAGAAUAGGUCAUGCUGGUAGCCGGAGGCAUCCCUCUCUUCAGGCUAGGUGGGUCCCCCCGUUCCGGCUCCCAUCUUGAGAAGAGAUCGUGAUUGCGACUGUCCGUCAAAAUCAGUCGCAAUCUUUUGGCAUAAUACUGGAGCAGCUGCUUUGAGUCUGCGCGCGCGCUAACCCGAGCGGGACUCAAAAUCUUCCCCCUCCGAUUAAACAUAUCUUCCCCUCCUUUGAGGGAUUGAAUAUUCAUCUCUUUGUUAGGAAUAUAAAAAGUGGCAAACAUUUCGAUCCUUCCUUUUACUAGUCUUCACGGCUGGAAUCAUAAAUGCAUUGUCUCCUUUUUUUUUGUUUCUUUGCUACCCCUGCUACCUCUCAUACCUGUUUCCUUCUGUAGUAUGAGUUGAGAAGAAAACGGAUUCAAUCCAGCCGUAGGUAGGGACGCCCACGGCUACCUUGUUUCGAACGAAUCGGAGAAGGGAUUGCACCCCACCCCUAGGAACGGGAACGGAGUUUGUCAGAGCUCGGGUAAGCAUUUUCUGACCGGCACGCUGGACCCUUCUAACAGAGGAAAGUCCUUUCCGACGGGUUUUUCGUAUUAGGCCAGGUCACUCUCAGCUAUACGACUGACACAAUUAGACUGAGGUAUGGCUGAUAAGAAAGCGUAGUGGCUAGCUACCGCUGAUUGCUUCGGGAAUCAUCCUCCAUGGUGACUGCAUGGAGGCCGGCUUGUCGAGGCCAACACCAUCCAGCCUGGUAUCGGAAUCGAGCGUGCAGGAACCGAGAUGCCGAGUUGUGGUCAGCGCGAACCGAAAUGAGGAAGAAGUCCCGACCAUCUCGAUUCCGGUGUGCAGAGGCCAGCUUUCCGCUCAGUACUUUAGGGCUCGGACAAGCAACGAGCCGGCUUCACGGCGCCCGAGGUGGCUUCCGCUCAGGAACAGAACAGGAAAAGGAAGUAGUAAUCCCGCAAAAUACACUACUCUCAAAAUAUAGACAAAGCUGUUCCCUUCUAAUGUAUGCCCCCGGUAAGGGGGGAAAUAUAUGACAUACACCUUUAUCCUUUCGUGUGAGAAAGAGAGAAGAAUUUUUUGAUGAGAACUUCUUCUUCUUCUCAUAGCACGAAUCCGGAUAAAAGACAUAAGACACGCGCGGGUCACUAUCUGUUCUUCGACCGCAAGAGGAGCUGAUUGAGAUUGUUUGAGCAACUCGCGUAAUCGUUGACCUCUUUCCAAUUGAUUCUGAAUAGCUUUAUCGAGAUCAGAAGCGAAUUGUGCAAAGGCUUCUAACUCUGCGAAUUGAGCUAGUUCCAAUUUUGAUUUGCCGGCUACUAGUUUCAUGGCUUUAAUUUGAGCUGCAGAUCCUACUCUGGAAACAGAAAUAAAAAAAUGAAUAGCAGGUCGGAUUCCAGCAUUGAAUAGAUCGGCGGAUAAGAAUAUUUUUCCAUCUGUAAUGGAAAUGAAAUUUGUAGGAAUAUAAGCUGAAACGUCUCCAGAUUGAGUCUCAACUAUUGGUAAAGCGGUCAUACUUUCUUCAUCUAAACGAGAACGUCGAUUUAGCGGCUCUUUCCAAAAGGCGUGAAUGCAAAAAAAAACAUCUCCUGGAUAAGCUUCACAACCAGGGGGUCUUAUUAAUAGAAGAUCAAUUUGGCGAUAAGCUUGUGCCUGUUUGGAGAGAUCAUCAUUUAUUUUAUAAUAAGUAUGUCGUUCACGGUACAGAAAAUAUUCAGCCAGAGCCGCUCCUGUAUAAGGAGCGAGGUAUUGUAAUGUAGCAGGUGAAUCCGCCGUUUCGGCUACCACAAUAGUGUAUUCCAUCGCUCCUCGUUCCUGGAAAGUAGUCACUACCUGAGCCACAGAAGAUGCUUUUUGACCAAUAGCUACAUAAACAUGUAUGACAUUUUGCCCUUUUUGGUUAAGAAUCGUAUCUGUGGCUACUGCUGUUUUGCCGGUCUGUCUGUCCCCAAUAAUGAAUUCUCGCUGACCGCGUCCUAUCCUAUAGGGAUCAUCGAAUCAAUAGCAAUAAGCCCCGUUUGAAGAGGCUCAUAUAAUAUACACGGAACGUCUCGAAAGAAUACCUGGGGCAGGAGAUUCAAUUAACCGAGAUUCAGAAGCUGAAAUUUCACCUCUCCCAUCAAUAGGUUUAGCCAGAGCAUUUAUAACACGACCCAAAUAAGCCUCACUCACAGGUAUCUGAGCAAUUCUUCCUGUUGCUUUUACAGAACUUCCCUCUUAUAUCAUCAAACCAUCACCCAUUAAUACAACGCCAACAUUAUUUGAUUCAAAAUUCAGAGCAAUGCCUAUUGUACCCUCUUCAAAUUCUACUAAUUCACCUGCCAUUACUUCAUCAAGACCAUGAAUACGAGCAAUGCCGUCGCCUACUUGAAGUACGGUGCCGGUAUUCACAAUCUUUACUUAUCUAUUAUAUUGUUAAAUACGUGCACGGAAAAGAUGACUUUCAUCGUCGGCUCGAAUGGUUUCAUGGUUGGAAGGUAGAGUGAGUCUGGGGAGGCCCGGAUGAAUGAUUGAGUCAGACUAUCUGGUAGAGCUUAAGAGCUUUACAACGCGGGCUUGGUUUAAGAUUUACCAAGUUACGAAGGCCGGAUUGAUUGAAGUGGGUGAUACGAUAGGAAAGGAGCCGAGAUUUGGCUAAGUAAGGAAGAAACAACUUAGUAUCCAAUUUCACUAAGUGAGGCCACUACUACGAAGUUGCGCGGAUACGAUAGCUUUCUUCAAAGACGCGGACGGAGGCUAAGUGGCAGAAAUCGCAAGCUUUUCAAACGUAAGGAGCAGUCGUCGUACGGACAACUACGAAGUAGAGGCCAAGGGGGCGGUGCGACUUCGUAGAAGUCAGAAGAUAGAAAGAAGUCCGAAAGAGAGAAGGCAGGGUCACGUCACGCGGCUCGUAGAGAAAGAUAACGUAGAAAGAAGUAGGCGAAGUAAAGAUUCAGUCGAUCAAUCUGCUUUCUGUCUUCAUUUCAAUCCCAUCCUUCUUUUCUUCUUUCCGUUACUCUCCAUUACAAAAGGCGAACAGCUAUUACUUUAGAGGCUCAUCCGUUUAAUUACCCCUCUGGGGGCACGGGGAAGGGAAUAGGACAUUCAUAUGGGUAUAGUGUAAUCAAGGGAGGAAAGCAAAAAGAGUGAUUGAUCAGGUAUCAUUUCGAUCCUGAUAGAAGAAGAGUACGCGCACUACGGCUUUUCAGCCUCCGUUUGCUGGAAGGCAAAACUCUUUUUUUUUUUUCUUUUCUCGACACUCAUAGAGUGGAUUCCAUUCCGAUGGGGCAAGAGUGGGAGACCCAUAUUGAGAUAAAGAUCCCGCGCCGCUAUUAAUAACCCUGGAUUCUUAACCACCAAAAGGAUAGGGCUUUAUCGGCCACAGAAACGGAAGAGCCGUCACAUGACAGCCCUAAAUAGUUAUAGGCUCUGACCGAAGAGCAAGCGAAGCGAGUCAAUUGCGUUGAGGCCAAAAUGCUUUGUCCGGACUCCACCCAAAAAAGAGAAAAAAAAACCAGCUCGGACCGUACCGUUGAGUUUGUUGCCCAUUUUUAGUAUCACAGUUGGGAGAAAGAAAUAAAGGUGAAAAGAUUAUACUUCUAAGAAGAGAGAAUUUGUUGGGAUUGUGGACUUUAGAUCAAGGAGUAAAUCGGAGUUUCAAAUCCGGAAGGAAGAUUGAGUUCGUAACCAUUUUUUCCUUUAAACUUGUAAACACUUUCGAAUCAGAGCCUUACCUUACAUCAGGUAUUGAUCGUCCCUCGACUGAAGCAGUGUCGGAAAGACGAGCGAGGUUUCCACUUGUGCUUUUCCCGGAUAGGUCAUUCUAAAGCAGGAACACUAUUUUGGACAGGAGUCGCGUACUUCUUAUAAAGGCCGACAAAGCUCUCUAGAAAACAGCCGCCGGAAGCCACACAUGGAAAGUCAUGUUCCUAGAGUAAGGAUUUCCACUCUUUUUUUUUCCGAUGAGAAAAACGAGGUUUAUUUUUUCCCAUUCCUCCAAACCCACAACAUGAACCUUUUUAUAUACCUAUUAAAAUGUACCCAGAACAACCGUCGACUCAUAAGCUAUGGCAUGCAGGUAUAACCGCCUAACGACCUAGAUAUUUCAUAAAGAGCUAUUUCUAUUGAGUUACCAAGCCCACCGAGAUCUAUUUCAGUAUUCGAAACACUACCGGGGCUCACCUCCCCUACUAAUCAAAAGCUCUUCGGGACAUCAGGCGAGAAACAACUACUCCGCCCAUCCACAGCUAUUAUGAUGAUAGAGAACCCGGGACACAGGAAUCACCUGGAUCUCAGCAAAGGGAGAGGAACCACUACGUACAGAGUUUGUAAAACAGCAACAGGGACAAGCCCACCGGGUUGAAAACCACCAUACUACCUAGAAAACCUAAACCUUUGUACAUGAAUGAAUGCACACUCACUACUCCCUAUAGUUAUCUAUCUAUCCAGAUAUAUACGAGAUCUCCUACCUAUCAGUCACCAACUUGAUACAUACGGGAACAACCCACCAACACAUCAAAGAUAAGUCUUAUAUGCAUUUUGAGCAUGGCACCGGUAGCUCUAAUAGCGAAGAAAAGGCGUGCGAGGACCCAUAGCUCCAUUUCACAGUCCUAUAAUCUAUGCUGUGCUGCAUUUCCAACACACUGGACCUUAGCUGUUCUCAGUAGGGGAAAUAGCGACUUCUAGCCGCAUGAAAUCAUGGAGUUGGCUUCUUCGUUACCUCGGGUUGGGAUUUUUCCCCUAUAGAAGAGAUGGCUCCCGAUCAUAAGCCACAGUUUUCUCAUGACUUGCAUAAUAAUAUUCCGGCCGGCCGGCCCUGUUUCGUCUUUCGAUCUUGGCAAAGAAGUUUCUAACCAGCACCAACUCAGAUUUAAGACGGCUUGCUAGUCGAAGAGGCAGUUGAUGUCAAUCUCGCGAGGACAGCCCCAAGAUGCCUCAUCUCCACCAUAAAAAGUCAUCCAUGUCAUUGUCGCGGAAGACUACCAUUCAAGAAUAAGAGCUUUUUCUCUUUGAUUUCGCUGGAUCCGACUCCAUGGAUCAUUUGGGACCCAUAAAUAGUCAAGUGCCAGCCAUCCGACGAGGAAAAAUAAGUCAUAUAAGAGCUGAAUAAAGAGAAAGAAGUGGUUGCUUGUUUGUUGCCAAGAAGAGGACCUAAGCGCUAGCUCUAUCCCGUCCCACUGGACUGCCCAGAUAUCAAUGCUCUCUCUCUCGUCUCUUGUCCUAGAGCGCGCCUCAUCAAGCCUAAUUCUCACUAGGGGGAGCCUUCGCUCCGCCUUCGGAGACUGUUCCGUAUGCUCUCCCUUCAUCUGUGCCUUUGACUGAGCUGUAUUCGACCUCUGUUUCCAUCAACGAUGUAACUAGAUCCGGUCGAAUAUACCAACCUGCUCAGUUGAGAGGAGCUGCGCCAGCCAUGCCAGAAGCGCAUGCACCCGCGCCAAGCAAGAAGGGGAGAUAUCCAAGAAACCUAUGAUGUGGCCCAGCAUUUGAAAAGGAUCCCGGCCAAAAUCUAUAAUCUCUAUUUUUGAUCUGUCUUUUGCAGACCUCGAAAUCUCAUCGCGAAGCCUUCCUCCAGGUCUACAAAAUGCUCAUGUCUCGCAAGGCACACCCCUCUAUAUAAUCUCCAAGAGAUGAUUGGCCAACUAGUGGCCCCACAGCCUAACAUUUUCUUUUCUCUUUCUAUUUUCAUUCUAGAUAGAGCAGUAAGAAGGAUCUCUUAUGCAAGCUUUCUUGAUGAAGGGUACCUCUUUCUAAAACAAAUUGUAAUCUUCCCUUCCUUUUAUAAUGGAUUUUUCUAGCCUCAAUGGCUAUAGCAUUUUCUAAGAUAGCAAUCCAAUCGUAAACCGUAAUCAGUGACACACAAAAGCCAAAUCAUAAACUUCGGAGCGAGUUCAAUAGUUUUCGAAUAGCUUCCGUCGAAUUACGCUUGAUGAUAAUUAAGUAGUGGAGUGGCAAGCAAGAGCAGAAGGAGGAAGGUGAGUAGGGUUGGUGAAAUGAUGCAAAAAGGCAUGAUGAGAUCUGAACCCCUACCUUGACUAAGAGAAUUAGGUUAUUCUUUUGCAGUUGGUCUUUGGUGCCUAUCCAUCCUAUGCCUCGUACGUAGUAUAAAUCAGAACUGAAAACUCUUUUAUACCCGGAAAAAACUUUUAUUCAUUCCCUUGAUUUGGCUAUUCAUUCUAGCAACAAUCGUCAAACACGGCAUAGCAACAGCGGCUAGCUACUUCCUUAAGUUAGAAGCAGAGGUAGGACUAGUCUGGGUAUGAAUCAAAUCCUUUCCUAGGGUGAGUCCUUAUGUAAAUGUAAGUAGAAGGCAGCCAUCUAAGAGAUGUUACUAGUCUGUAUGCAAAGCCUCCUAGUCCCAUCCCCUUCUGUAAUAGGAACUCCCUGCGGGCGCUAUCCUAUAAGCAGACGCAACUAGAAGACAUUAUUGUCUUUAUCUAAGUUAGAGGCUUUUAUAUAGCUUAAACCCUUUCCUUUUCCCAGGUAUUCAAAAUAAUCUUUCUAAAGUGCGGAUGAGAGAACCAGACAGCUUCACACCUGAAGGGACGAUUAGAGGGUUUAGCAGAAUGCAUACCUUCCAUGUAAAUGAUCAUAGGAUAGUAGUCUGAGGUGGUACGAGGGAUGUUUCCAACCACAGCUUAUGGUAAAAUCUCUUUCAACUUCUACUUUACUAAGGCUAGAUCCAAUCGAAGCAGCGUCUUAGCUAACCCUUCCCUACCAUUGGUCCAAGUGGUCUAGGACUACAGCAUGCCAAAUCCAUUAGACCACAACGAUGAAAUUUGAUGCAAACUGAAUCAGAACAGUCUCUGAUUCAGACUGGAUUUCGAACAUCGUCCCGGUUCAACAUAUAAACCUAUUUCUUGGUCAACAACCUAUAAAAAGGAAAACAAAUAUUAGUACAGGAAGGACUCUUUUUUUGUACGGAGAGAAAAUAAAAGCAAAUGAGCUAAUGGGAAUAUUUAAAGUUCAUUUUUUUAGACAACUAUGCUGACAAUUCUUAUAUAUGUUGUUUGCCCUCGCGGGGAUACCUGCGCGGGAGAGGAUACCUCUCAUCUUUUUUUAUUCCAAUAAUGAAUGCAUUUUUUUAUUGGCAAAAGUGCCAUCCUCUUUUUUUGGAAGAGAGGAGGGACUCCAUAUAUGCCGACAUUACUGAGGCGCCGCCCUUCCAUAUGGAUCCUCGUGGAUGUGGAAAUCACACGUGUGUUAACCUCCUUAUGUUCAGGAGAGGUCCCUUUUCUACCCGACGGGUGGUAAACAUGGGGGGACAUCUCCAAUUGGGUAAAUGGCGACUCACAUGACCCCGAUUUUCUAUUUGUUUGAAAUAGUAUAGACGAGAUGAAGAGGAAUGGGGUCGAUAGCAAAUGGUUCAAAGAAGCGGUACGAUUCCUAACCGAUUUUUUGAACUUAAUCAAUUCCUCUCUUCCCCUUUUUAGCCAACACCAUCAACCUUGGGCAAAGCCAAAAAUUUGAUGAAUAGAAGGAGAUCAGAAAGAUACGCGGACGACUUGACCAUAAGGUCGGAUGUUUCCGUGAGCAGUAAGCUGCGGAUCUCCCCUUUUUGGGGGGGAAAGCUGGUGGCCCUUUUGGCGUGUUAAUUCUUUCGACGGGGCGGCCUGAUUCGUUCGGUAGAUCCGGUCGAGGUGGUUUUCGUUUACCAGCGCGUAGGUGGUCUAAGUUCCUAUGACCGAGUCUUUCUGGCCCCUGUGAACAUAUUUUCUUAAUGUAUUAAAGAGGGCCUCUCUAACCGGUGAAAAGUGGUAGGUGUCCACUAACGGCUAUUCCUGGCUCGGCUCCGAUAACGCAAUUCCGGGAGGAGUCGGUAGUUGGGCACUGGAUCCCUUCGGACCUGGAGAACGUGUGACGCUGGGUCGGGGUUUGGUGAACCAACAGGUCGCUCCUCUAGUUGAAGUAUCGGGCCCCUUUUUCGUUGCCUAGGUUACACCUUCGGAAUACCCCAGACGGGGAUUUCGCUCUACUCCCCCCAAUCUUCACUUUAGGCCACGCCGACUCUCCGUCGUGGAAUUAGACCAAGGGGAAUCCCCAUAGGACCCCGUCUCCCGUAUCUUAUCUUUCGCACGUAGGAGAUCGAGACACAGCCUCAGGGCUAUGGGGAAAGUAGAUCGAUUGCCCUAGAUAGACAACUACAUAGAGGGUCUCUACAAGUCUAUAAAGAAGUUUCAAAAAAUUUUUCGGUAGUAGUCCGGUCGCACCCGAACAAUAAUAUUCCAGAGGGAAAUGCACCUAAGAUCAAAUAUUUUGAGCCGGCUUCCGUGGAAAAUUCAGACUUUCUUUUUGAUGCUGCGAUCACAUAAAAACAUAAACUUUGAGGCUCAAUAGCUAAAUACAUGGCAAUUGAAUCAUGAGCCGGGAUCAUUAAGAGCAUACUGCGAGUAGGAAGUGGAAUUAAUACAAUGGAUUCAGAAGCAUCAAACCUCUCUUGUUCGAAAGAAUCGAAACACAUCGAAAUGGUACCAGCCGUACUUAAUAAUGGAAGGAUUUGGCAGAAAUAUGUAGAAUUGUCCCUCCUAAAAAGAUUAUUCCGGAAUAAAUGGGCAAUAGUUAGGAGAGGUGCGCCAGCGGCGAGCAGAAGCAAGGUUAUUAGAUACCGAAGGAAAGCCCGGCCAGAACCACACGUGCAAGUUUCCCUGCAUGUGGCUCGUCCGUGAUAACUUCUUCGGAUUUGCGUGAACUAGCGGACCGAUCACUAAGUGGGAUGCUCCCUCCAGCAUGAGCGAACCUUUUCAGAACUGCUUAGGAAUGGGCGCCACUAUCCCAGCCCGGAUCCAGCCAGGUUCUAUUGAUCAUGUCCCCUUCCCAACAGUUGUACCUUGUCUUGGGGCGUCUUUGGCUUUACUCGAUCAAGCCCGCCGGAAAAAGAAAAGUCUUUCUCUUCCCGUCCCGGGUCAUAGUGAGGCGGAGGUGCGUCCACAGAAGAGGAAAGAGCAAUGCAUCUUGCUCAGCAGGCGUAGCUUGGAGUGGGAGUGUUGCGGGGGAAAGGUAAGGAAAGUGGCCUAAGAGAGGAAGCCAAACCAACCAGGGCCUAUUGAGCGCAGCUAAGCUAAUAUGCGCCGGAGAAAAGAAAGCUUACGGAGGUAAGCUCUAUUCGGUCCGGAGCAUUGAUUCCCCAUAACGAAUAGGCUAACUCUAUCUCUCAAUUGCCUAUCCUGUGCUCGAGAAGGUCCCCCAGUUCCUCGGCUGCACCUCGAGGUGCAUUUAGUUGUCUAACUUUAUACUCGGGAUAUUCCCCACUCCAUGGCACCUUUCGCUCAUCUAUUCAGCCCGCCCGUCCAGACGCGGUGCCCUUUCGCAUUAUCAUCUACCGCCCUUUCUUUCCUCCCGUCCCUUCACGCAUGAAGAUCGUCGUAUGUAUGUUCGACUUCGGUUGCCGGUGCAAUAGAAUAGGUAGGAGUACAUUAUGGCAGGAUCAGUCACCUGGGCAAACCAACCUUCCUCCAAGAAGAAUUGUGCUAUGCCCCCCCGAUAUCCCUAUAGAGCGAAAGAGCUGCCUGGUGAUCCCUAGGUUGCAGCACGUCCGGUCGUUAACUCCUCGCGCCGCUGCCGCCGUUUCUAGGACCGACCGACGCCUCACCUGCACAGGUACCUACGUAGUGUAGUGUCGGUCGCACAUUCAUAAUAGCGUUCGGACUCAUGUGCCUUCCAGAACCAGGGGAGUUCCCUUGCUCCUGCUGCGUACGAUUAGCCAGCCUUGCGGCGGCAAAAGGAUUAGGACGUCCCCCCAUGCUACGGUUCCCUGCGGUCCGGCCGCAUUAGGUUAGGGAGCUGGGCGAUAAUAGCUCCUCCGCAUCCCAAGCGCGCUGCCCUCCUAGGCGCGCAACACUAAGUAAUCCAAGCCAACCCACAUUACUGACUAACGGUGGAUAAUCAUCUUUCUUAGAGGUACUAAAUACAACUCCAUGAAUGAGCAAAAUGAAGGUUGCGUUAAUGAUAAAGAUCUCUGGGGAAACCGCUAAAAAAAGAUUGAACAUGUGGGAGGGAGGAGAGAUAACGAAUUCUGCUUUCAUUUCCCCCGUUUUCAAAAUCACAGAGUUACUUACGGAAUGUCAAAUCUUUCUCGACGCCGGCCAGGCCGGACAUCAAAUUGAGGGGGCCCACCUCACCUCUCCCCUUCCCCUGGUCAAUGGCGGUGACUUGAUUGACCAGGGCCGCCCCACUACCCCCCUACGACGAUUUUUCGAUUGGUCUUCGGACCAAGUCGAAGAGGAAGCGCUCGUUCAUGUCGUCCCCCCACCGCUCGGGUUGACUCUCUCUCUUGAUAGCAUUUAAGAGAUUUCGGAGAGCGUUGACAUCGGCUUCCGGGGACUGAUACUCAAAAUUCUGGGCCAUUUCAUCCGCAGAUCCGAGAAAGUCGAAGCUUUCUCUGCCUCUUGCGCAGUAUUUGCCGCAGAAAGAAGCCCAUACCCCCACAAUAAUGUUUGCAAAAUUUUUUUAGGAGUAGGGCGUCAGCCUUACGAAUUUGCUUUCGUAGUUUCUCCUUUUGAGCAUCAUUAUCGUCGUUAGGAAGGCCGGGGGCGGCGGGCCCGCGUGGAGCCGGGGUGCCGUCGGCACCAAUCCGUUGGUCUUGCGUUUCCAUAAGGUAAGUCCAAGCCGACCUCCAUAAAGCGCGAACCAACAUCCGUGAUACGAAAACAAAAAGAAGAAGUAGGACCAAACCGAGAGUUAGCAGUAUUUCCAAGGAUGGACUUCGCGCUACGGAAUGAAUCGAGGAACUGAGGACAUUUCCAAUACCGAAAAAAUCGGCACCACCCAUUGAUUUUGCACCUUCUAACAUCUCGAGACGAUAAUUUGCUCGUCACGUUCCUUCGCUGCUCUUUCCUGGAUUCUUCGUCGAUUCCUCUUCCCCACCCCGCGAUCCAUAGUAUAUUCCAUUGAUAGAGAGCCAAUUCCA
rnacentral:lncRNA from 1 species